rnacentral:lncRNA from 1 species
UCCAAUACUUUCAGAAACUUAAAUUUUGAAGCCAAUGUGCCCAGAGAAAACAUCUCAGAGUUGUAAAGAAAAAUGGAGCGGAUGUGAGACUUUUUACUGGGAAUGUCUAGCACAUUAUUUGAGCUAUUCUGAACUGAUAGGCGCCUAAAUCUUCCAUCAAAACACGAGGCUUCUCCAGCCAUUACAGAAAAAAAACUCAACUCCUCAGCCUUUUUGAGAAUAAUCUCACGCAUCAAGUCAUGAAUGUGGCAUCUUUUAAUAUUUCCAUCGAUAUAUACGUCUGACACUUGAACUAAGCUCCUGCGUAUGAGCUCAGUCAAGAAUCCUUCUGCAGUCUCUUCUAGCGUCACACCUCUCUUCGUCUUUACAAAACCCUCAGCAAUCCACAGCCGAGUAAGGAUCCCACAUUUAAUUGUGUAGUCCUCUGGAAAGAUUGCCAAAUACAAGAAACAUGACUUGAGGUGGUAAGGCAGAUCAUAAUAACUGAGAGAGAGAAUGGUAUUGAUACUUUCAAGAUGGGAAUUACUUUCCAACUCAGACCCAAGGCUGUCACUGAAUUUUUUCCAUAAGGACACAAUCUUCUCUUUUCUUGACAAAAGACCACCAAUUGCUACAAUUGCUAGUGGCAGUCCUCCACAUCUUUUGACAAUAUCAUCAGACAAUUUCUUUAAUUCUGGGGGACAUCUACCCUGAAAUGCCUUCUUGCAAAAGAGUUCCCGGGAACUAUCAGGUGAAAGAUGUGGCAGCCUGUGGAUGUAAUCAUCCUUACAACAAGUGGCUACGUCAUCUUUACGGGUAGUGAUUAUUAUCCUGCUGCCUUUUUUAUUUUCUGGUAACGCAGGUGUAAUACUUUCCCAAAAUCCUGCUUUCCAUACAUCGUCAAAAACAACCACAUACCUCUUAUCUUGUAAAUAUUCCCUGACUUGGGUAAUCAGCGACUCGUUGUCCAUUCUGUUGAUAUCCUCAGGAACUUUUUCCUUCCUUGCUUCAUAGAAUUUCUCCAUCAUACGGCGCAGCAGCUCCUUCAUCUGGAAAGACUGAGACACAGUGAUCCAAGCAUGGCAAUCAAAGUGUUUCACCACUCUCAUAUUUGCAUAAACCUUCUUGGCAAGAGUGGUUUUGCCAAGUCCACCCAUUCCGACAACCGAAAUCACAGUUCGUUUUAGAGUUCCCUUCACCAGCCUGCUUAUCAGUUCAUUUUUCUGAGAUCCGAUGCCAACAAUUUCAGAGUCGUCGAUGAAAAGAGAAGUCACUGGAGGAUCAGGCUGUGGAGCACUUCCUUUGCUGCUGGUUGAACCUGAUUCAAAUGGUUUAUUAAAGCCAUUACUUGAACUUAUUUCUCUGAGCUUAUGAACCUUUUUCUGGAUAUCAUGGAUCUUGGAGGCUAUCUCAUGGCGUCGUAUUAAUUUUUUUAUCAAGCGAGCAACUUUGUAAAGGAAACCAAUGAAACCAUGCCGUCGAUUUGGAUUUCCCAAGUGAAGCAAGUAUUCAUCGAUGACAUCUUCUAUGGAAUAAGCAGUCUCCCUUAAGUCUUGAAUCCAAGUUUUAAGGCCUUGGCUGACAUCUGCUUUCUCCGCCUUUGCAUCUGCAUCCAUUAGGAAAGCUUGAAUAUAUAGUAGCUCUGUUUUAAUGUCUUCAACUUGUGUGUGGACGCCUCCCAAUAGUCUGGCUUCUUGAUCUAGUAAUGGGAGCAACUUGUCGAUGACGAGGUUGACGGCAAUCUCCGCCAUUUCUCCUUCUUUUCCCCCUUUGAGAAGGCCAGUGAACAACAAAUGCGUUAGCUCAUUUCAGAUCUAAUCUUCCAUCUAUCCAAACUUUGUGGCCGUAGAACCAAUGAACCCAACACCACUACUGCCAAAAAUUACAGUGUCUUUUUCUAAUACCGGAAAUUCGGGUACACUAAAUUUUUGUCAAAGUAAUCACAAAAUUUAGUCAAAAAGACAGGUGUUGAAAACUAACAGGACAUUAGAAAAGUUGAAAUUAGGCUGAAGUGUAACAUUUGAAUUCUUGCAUGUCAGCUUUUGAGAGAAUUGAAAUAAAAUUUUUAUAAUUUAAACUUCCACGCAAAUAAACUUGGAAGUUAAUCUGAAUAAAGUUUUGACCAUUUACAUUAGAAAUGUCAGCUUUUAGCAUUAGUGAGCUGCGUUCACAAGUCUAUGUACGAAUGACAACAAUAUUGACCAUGAAAAUAAAGGGUGGGCCAUGGAGGCUUUGGAUCAAAGCUGAAAUGUUUCAACUUGAACCCAAUAAUAUCUAAAACUUGAUCUGUCGGUCUUCAGAACUUUGGACCUCAAAAGCCAAUAAUUCAACCACCUUUUAAUAUCCGACAUAUUCUCUGUCCAUUUUCUAAAUUUGGACACAAAAAGCAGGUAGAGAAUUGGGAUCACACAAUAAUUCCUUCCCAUCAAAGCUGACAUUUAAUCCUUCAUUUUCUAAUCUUUCACCAAAUAGAAUAUUGCAAUUUGUAUCACAAUUAAAAAAUAUAUAUAUUAUUAGAUGAUGAUUCUUAUGUCAAAUUAGUUGUCAAAUCAUAGUUGAGUUAUUACAUUAAUACAAUAAAAUAAAUAUAUAAUUUAUAUAUUAUUAAAAUUUAAAAUAUAAAUAGUUAAAAACUUAAAAUAUUUUAUCUUUUUAUCUUUUUAUCUUUAAUAUUAACUUAUUAAUUCAAGAUAAGAAUAAAAUAUUGUAAUCUUUAUAAUUUUAUUAAAUAGAAAAAUUAUAAUAUUUAAUUGUUAAAAGACAAAUCAUCUAUCAAAGAGAGAAAUAAAAUUUUAUUAUCUAGCUUCAUAUUUUAUUAUUAUGUUAUCUUAAUACGAUUUUGUUACAAUUGAAUGUGAAUAAAUAGUUAGUUACCUUUAUCCUAAACGGUCCAUAUAUGUAUGCUAUCAUUAUAAAAGAAAAGUCUACUUACUGAUAUGCUUACCAUCCUUUUUAGAGCAGGCCUUUGAGCUCACUGUCCCUACCUCUCAAAUCUUUAUUUAAAAAGUAGUUCAAGGAAAGCAUAGUUUAGUUGAUGUUGGUUUGUUUUAUUUUAUUUAAUUUUAAAUAUAAUUUAAUUUAAUUUAAGAUUAAAUAAUAUUUAAUAAUAUUAAGUACUAAAUUGUUUUUUAACUCACUGUCUCAUACUAAUUUUAUACACUUUUCUGUCUCUCUCUAACUCUUACAACUUGAGCUCAUGUCCUAUUUAUUUAGUAAAAUAUUAAAUAGAUUUUACAAAAAAGUUAUGAAAGAGUUAAAGGAUUUUGCCCAAGUAAUUAAAAAAUGAAAACAAAUCUCACCAAAAACUUUUAUAGAAUUUUAAUAAUAUUUUUACAACAAAAAGUCUUAAAUAUUAUUAAUUUCCAUAGUGUGAAUUAUUAGACAAGAUUAAAUUUGUAAAACAUUAAAUAACAUGAAACAUAAUAUAAUUGUAUAGUGCUUGUACAUUAGUCAUUGUAUGGCUAAAUGUAAAUACGUUUUAAAAAUCUCAAAAUUAAAUAAAAAUAAAAAUUUAAACAAAAAACCCAUCCAUUAAUAAAACAUCAACAAUAUAGUAAUAAAUAAAUAAAUAAUCAAUUUUCUAGAAACUUUUUAGGAAAUUUAUUUAAGAUUUUUAAAAAAUAAUCUUAUAAAAUCUGAAAUAUAUAUAUAUAUAUAUAUUUGUAAAAUGUAUUUAAUAUCACAGGGGCAAACUUAUCAAAUGUUAAUUGAUAUAUAAAUGAACUUAUGUAAAAUUUUAUAGCCAUCAUUAGGUUUUGGUGGCACUAGACACAAGGACUAUGCUUCCAUACUACCUUCACUCAUUCCAAAAUCAACCUUGUGAUGAUUUUAAGAAGACUACUAAUAUGUAAGUUUUUCCCUCAAUACUAAAGCAUGAGGCUUAGUUGGUAACAAAUAUGAUUUUCUUCAUGUAGGGCCCUCAGAAUUCAUCCAGGAAAAACAUAAAUCAUCAAAGAGGGAGACUACUCAGGUUGUAGUAGGGGUGUUUAACUCAUAUAAAUUAAGUAAUGCAAUUUUUAGUACCAUUUCUUAAUUUUUAAUUAAGUACAAAAUGCCCUACAACUCAUAUUCACUUACAAAAGGAGACCCAAACAUACUUAACUUCCACCUUUCAACAUGUCUUUGUAUGUUAUAUAAUUAGUAAUGAAAUCUCACUACUUGUAGUACUAAUUUACCAUUUUUUAUAUUGAGUGUUCUAUGUUUAUUGAAUAAUAUAUUUUAUGCCAAAUAUUUAACUUGUUUUGUGAAAGUCUUUCUUUAUCUUUACCAACUAUGUGAUAAAAAGAAAUGAAGUCAUUCAAUAAUUAAUAUGUAAUAAAUGUAGUGAAGCAUAUAGAAUGAAACCAUGUAUUAUAUUGAUUUGUAUCCACCAAAUGAGAACAAAAAUGUGAAUGCAAAAGGCGAAUCUAAGUCUAGAAUGUGCAGCAUAGUUUUAGUCUUGCAAUUUGUGAUAUACAAUAAAUAAUGUGAGACACAUAGAAAGAAAUAAUUAAUAUCUUUGACUUAUUGGUAUCUACUAAAUGAUAAUGAGAAUGCAAAUCUUAGUCAAUAACGCAAAUUAUGGCUUUACAUUAAAUUUAAUUUUUGGCUAAUUUAAUUUGGGACGAAGUUGAAUCAUGUAUUUAUCUUUAAUUUUAUCAUAAAACUAAAUAAUCGAUAUUACAAUGUUAUGACAAUUAUGUUUCAGAGUAAAAUGAAAUAAACUGAAAAAAAGAGUCGGUGUAUUAUUUAUAGAUCAUUGGAAAUUGAUGAGUGUUUAAUGACAUGUAAUUGUGUCAUAGUGGAUUAAAACACCAAUUUAAAAAUAGUUUUAAGGGUUUGAGGAAAUCAAUAUCAUUUAGUUUGAUGCAAUCCCAUUCAUGUUCUCAACCCUUUAAAAUGUAGGAUCAGAGACUCUUUUAAUUGGAAUUAUCCUCAUUUAUGAAAUAGGAUUCUUUUCAUUGGAAUUAACCUCAUUUACAAAAUACGAUUAGUUUUCCAAAUAAGAUUCUACCUUUAUUGUGUUUUUAAUUUUUAAUUUUUGUGCAUUUAUUGUUGUCAAGUAAAAUAAUAAUUAUUUUUAGACGAAGACUUGAUAAACCUAACUUCUACCAUCAAUAUGUCUUUAUAUAAAUAAAAUCUAACCACUUAAAUUUGACUCUACCAUGUUCUCCACUAAAUGCUUUACCAUUCAUGCAUUAACAUUAUUUUUAUUUUUAUUUCAAAUACAUACUUAUUAUGUCAAAGACUUUUCUAAUCUUAUUCAAUUAAGCAUGUGAUACAAAAAGAAAAGACCUUUUGCAAUUGAAUAAAUGUUGUGAUAAAUAUAUAGAGGAAGAAAUACUAUCUUAUAUUAUUGGCAUCCACAAAAUUAGAAUAAAAAUCUCAAUCUAAGUCUACAAUGCGAAAGAUGGUUUUUUAUUUAAAUUUAGUUUCUAGUUCAUUCAAUCUUGAAUAAACAAGAACAUGCGCUUUAUCUUCAUAUUUGUCAAAAAAAUCUAGAUAAAAAAAAAUCUAGAUAAUCAAUAUUAUCAUAUUAUGAAUAUUAUGCUGAAAAGAGAAAUUAAAAACAAUGGAGAGCAAAAAGAUAUAGAAGUCCAUGUAUGAAUUAUAGAUUAUCGACAAAGUUUAAUGAUGGGUGAUUGUGUCGUAGUUGAUUGACAAACAAAUUUAAAAAUGUUUUAUGACUAGUCAAAUUUGUUUUCAACAAUUUAAAAUGACGGUAAUUGGCAAAUUAGAUUGGAAUAUUUUUUUUUCUUAAAUGGAUCCAAUAAAAUUUAAAAUUUUGAAAAAUCAAUUUGAUUUGACUUUGUCUAAAUCAAUUUAUUUUUCCUGGCCCCACUAAAAAAUUGUAAGAAAGACCCUUCCUAUGUAAUAUAACCUUAUUUAUGAUCCUAGAUUAUUAUUUUAUUUGAGGUUUUAUGUCUACUUAUUUUUUUAUUGAGUAUUAGUAAAUGUCAUAUAACAUAAUAAUUAUUCAUAGAAGGUGGCCUAACAAACCCAACUUUUACAAUCAACAUAUCUUUGUAGAUUAUAUAAUUAUUAAUGAAAUCUUAUAGUGGUAGUGGAUUGAAACACCAAUUAAAUAAUUAUAUAUAUAUAUAUAUAUGUAACCGAUUUUGAUCAAUUUUAAAAUGUUGAGAUGUCAUCAUAUAUUAGACUAAAAUAUUUAAUGAUCUAAUAAAAUUUAAAAAAUUUUAAAAAUCAAUUUCAUUUUGUUUUAUCCACUCCCUUUCAUGUUUCCAAUCCUUUGAAACUUAAGAUUAGAGGCUCAUCUCAUAGAAAUUAACCUCAUUUAUUACAUAGAAUUAGUUUUCCACAUGAGAUUUCACAUCUUUUUUUAUUUUAUUUUUUUUAUUGAUGUUAAGUAACAUAAUAAUUAUUUAUAAAGGGAGACCUAACAAACCUAACUUUUACCAUUGACAUGUCUUUACAUGUAAUUUAAUAAUGAAUGAAAUGUGAUCACUUAAAGUUCACUCUACCAUUUUCUCUGCUAAAUGCUUUACCUUAAUGCAUUCAAGUUACUUGUAUUUUUAUUUUAUAUAUAUGACCAAUUAUGUGAAAGUCUUUCCUAACCUUAUUCAAUUAAGCAUGUGAUAUAGAAAGAAAUGAGGUCUUCUAAUUUAAUAAAUGAUGUUAUAGAUAUUGUUAGGACAUUGAGUCUUGUUUGUUUGAUGACAAUUUUUUUCCAGUUAAUGUUUGACCAUAAAAGUCUUCUUAGAUAAUAACUUGCUCUCCAUUGAAGAUCAAAGGUUGUUGUUUGUCCAACCAUGAAGUCAUAGGUACAUCUAAAGAAGUUUGGCUUAUGUCAUGUUAGGCUCCUAUGAGGUAUAAAGAGAAUUGAUUUUGUUUUUGAACUUAAAAUGAUUUAAAAUUAAUGUUUUCUAGAAGACAAGACCACUUAAGUGACCUGAAGUGCUUAAGCACUAAGGACCGCUCAAGUGCUCCCUAUCACUCAAGUGCUCGAGGCACUCAAGCGGUGGGUUAGUUGGCUCGAGUGGUCAUCCUAUUUCUAUUGAGAAUUUUUCAUGCAAAUUCAAUUGAGAAAUCUUCCAAAACCAAAACUCUUCGACUUAGUUGCCUAGAUAUACCUCAUUAUAACCCUUUAAGGGUAAGAGAUUAGACCUUUUUAGAGAGUUUCUUUGAGGGAAAAACCUAAUGAGCCACACCAUUCCCGAUCUCUCAUUUGAAGGAUUCAAGUGUUGAAUCUAAGGUUGAAGACCUACAUCCUUUAGCAAGGCUAAGGUGUAUUCACUGGAGCAAUCAAAGGUUAUUAUGUUGUGGACGUGGAUCAAGUUGUAGGUACUGGAGAGAAAGUCUUUAGGGUAAAAUGACUAAGUAAAUCUAUGUAACUCGAUCUUAUAUAGUGGAUUUAGAUUAAUAGUUUUAAACCUCAUGGUUUUUUUUUCUUCAAAGUUAGUGUGAGGGUUUUCCAUGUAGAAAUCUCUUGUGUCUUAUUGCUUAUUAUUUGAUAUCUUGUUUGAAUUUAUUACAAUAAGAAUAAUUGUUAUACCUUGAUAACUUGCGGGAUAAAAAUUGGGUAUAACAUAUAAAUCUUUAUUUAAAUUUUUUAAUACACCUAUUCACUCUCCCCCUCCCCUUCUCUAGGUGUUACCCCACUGGACUUAGAGGUUUUUUCAAUUAGUAUCAUAGCAGAAUAAAAAUUAAUUUUUUUUCUUAUCCUAUUGAUUAAAAAUCAAUUUUUUAUUGAUCCUAUUAGAUAAAAAUCAUUUUUUUUAUAUUAUUCAUAUAGGAUAAAAAUAGAAUUUUAUUGAUCAUAUAAGUCCGACAUGGAACAUUAAAAAAUAAGAGCACCUUUGAAUAGUUCACCUUACUUCGAUGGGAGUAAUUAUCCCCAUUGGAAAGCUUGGAUGCAAUUCUUUCUUAAAAUGUAAGGUGAAUAGGUAUGAAAUUCAUUGGAAUAUGGAUGAGGACCCCCAUUGAUUCUUGAUGUCCAUGGGAGAUCAACUAGAGAACUUAAACCUAAACAAGAUUGGGACAAAGCUGAUAAUGAAGUGAAUGAAGCCAAUACUAGGGCUUUAUUUAAUAUCUUUAAUGGUGCUUGUCCAGAUGAGUUUCACAGGAUUGCAAAUUGUAUGCAUGCUAAGGAAGCAUGAUAUAUUCUUCAAGUCACUCAUGAAGGUAUGUCUACAAUUAAAAUUUCUAAAUUGCAAAUGCUUACUACUAAGUUUGAGAAUAUUAGGAUGCAUGAAAAUCAAAACUUUUCUUUCUUUUAUUUUGAACUAAGUGACAUAGUUAACUCUUCUGUUAACUUAGAACCUAUUCUAGAUUCAAAGAUAGUAAGAAAAAUAUUGAGAUCUCUACCAGAGAGACUUAGACCUAAGGUUACUACCAUAGAGGAUAGCAAUGAUAUUGAUUCCAUGAGAGUUGAUGAACUUGUUAGCUCUAUAUAGACAUUUGAGAUGACCCUACCUAGUUCUCAAAUGCCUAAAGAUUAUGCUUUUAAGGCUUAUGAGAAUGAGAAAAAAUAUAUUGAAAUGCCAUAUAAUAUAACUAGGGAUGAAUUGGGUCAUAUGGCUAAAAGAAUUAAAAAGGUUGUGAAAUUUAAUAAAAGGUUUUACAAAAAUCAAGAAUCUAGAAUAGGAAAAAGACCUAAUGAACAAUCAUCCAAAGAAAAUGAUAAAGGUUCUUCCAAUGCUAAGAAAGUUGAAUGCUUUAAUUGUGGAGGUCUAAGACACUUCACUAUUGAAUACCCUAACCCUAAAGAUAUCAAAAAGUCUAUGCAAGCUACAUGGAGUGACAUAGAAUCUAAAGAAAGUAAUUCCACAACUUUUGAAAAUGCAAGGUACAAUCCCAAUGACUUUUUAGAUUUUAUUGCAUCUAUGAAAACUGUGCAUGAUAGUGAUUGUGAUGAUGAUAGUGAUAAUGAAUUCAUUGAUGAACAAAAAGCUGCUUUCUUGAAUAAUCUUUUUGUUGAGCAUGAAAAACUAAUUAAAAAUUAUUUGAAUCUUAUAAAAUCAAGAUAGACAUGGUUAAUUUAGAGAGGACUAAUCUACUUGAAAAGAUUAGAUUUUUUGAGUUUGAACAUCAUUCUCUUCUUGAGAAAAAUAAUGUUUUAACUCAACAUAUAAAAAAACUAAUAAGCCUUCUUCAUCUAUGAAUGAGAUCUUUCACCUUGGAACUAAAGUGCUUAAUAAAAAAAAUACUUGAUAAAUGCAAAACCCAUGGUGAAAAAAAAGAGGCUUGGGGUACAUUAAUAAAGAUGAAGUUCCCUCUAGUGGAGAAACUGUGUUUGUCAAAGGUAAAGAUGAAACCCCUAACAAAGUAGAUUCUCAUAAAAAUCCAUCACUAUGCAUUCAUUGCAAGAAAACAAGACACGAUUAGUUUAAAUGCUACACCAAGUUCCUAGAGAGGUUUGAAUCUCAAAUGAGUAGGCUAAUGAAUGACUUUAAUUCCCUUAAAAAUAACAUCUUGAAUAAUGGGAAAAGAAAUAAAACUAAUUAAAAGCCUAGAAGUCAACAAAGCUCCUCUAAGUCACCACCUAGGAUUGAACAAGUUUAGAUGAGAAAAGACAGGGCUAAAUGUCAAGUAGUCUCCACAACACUUCAAACUAGAUAUUCUAAUUAGUACUUUGAUAGUGGUUGCUCUAAACACAUGAUAGGAGACAAGUCCUUUUUCAUUUCUCUUAAGGAUUAUAAUGGUUGGAUAGUUAGUUUUGGAGAUAGGAUCUUAGCUCAUGUAAAAAGAAAGAGAAGUAUAUCUAUCACUGAUUGUCCUAAAUUAGAUGGAGUUUUUUAUGUAGAUGGACUCAAGGCAAAUCUAUGACAAAGAUCGUAAGGUGAAUUUUUUCCAAGACUUAUACGAGAUAGUUAACAAAGAAGGAAAAAUCAUUAUCAUAGGACAUAGAAUAGUUGAUAAUUGUUGUGCAAUAAAUCCUAUAUUUAAAACACCUUCUGUGUGUAGUAGGGAAAAGCUAGAUCUUACCUAACUCUGGCAUAGAAGGCUAGGUCACAUAAAUAUAGAGACCUUGUGCACUUAGUAAAUAGUGAAAGAGUUUGAGGUAUCCCUAAACUAAUUGGUGAACCUAAACCCAUUUGUGGUGAGUCCCUGAAAGGUAAACAAACUAAAAAUUCACAUAAAAAGGUUAAGGAAAUUAGGAUCACUAGACCUUUAGACUUUCUACAUAUGGACCUUAUGGGUCUCAUGUGAAUUGAAAGUAGAGGUGGCAAGAGAUAUUUGUUAUGAAUGAUUUUUUGAGAUACUCCUUUGUGAGUUUUGUUAGAGAGAAGUUUGAAACCAUAGAACACUUGAAGUCACUAUUCAACAUAAUACAAGUGGAAAUAAGUCAUUCGAUUGUAAGGAUUAUGACUGACAGAGGGAAAGAGUUUGACAAUGUUGAUGUGGACCUUUUUUGCAAGUCAAAAGGUAUUAAACAUGAAUUUUUAUCCCUUAGAACUCCUUAAUAGAAUGUAGUAGCUGAAACAAAAAAAAAAAAAAAAAAAAAAUAGAUGUUACAAGAAAUGGCUAAGGUGAUGAUUCAUAUGCAUAAUAUCCCUAUGUAAUUUUGGGCAAAAGCUAUUCAUAUAACAUGCUUCAUUGCCAAUAGGAUUUUUCUUAUACCCAAAACAAAAAAGACAUUUUAUGAAUUAUGGACUAAGAGAAAACCUAACCUUAAGUAUUUUAGGACUUUCGAUAAUGAAUUCUAUAUACUCAGGAAUGGGGAGAACCUAAGGAAGUUUGAUGCAAAAUCUAAUCAAGGUAUUUUUCUAGGCUAUUAUACUUCUAGUAAAGCCUAUAUGAUGUAUAAUCAAAAUUCACAGAUUAUUCAAGAAUCCUCUAAUGUGGUUAUAUAUGACAAUGAGUAUGAUCAGGAAAUAAUUGAGAGUCAAAUUUUAAUUUAGAAAUCAAUUGGGGAUAAUCCUAAAUAUGUGGAGAUCACAAAAGAUAACCUUGAAGAUAUCCUUGAAAGAAACAUUAAUCCUAAUAAGGAUGAAUCUAUUCUUCAAGAAGACACAUCUGAAGAAAUGAGAAGUAUGUUGGGAACCCUAGAUUACUUUGUUUCUAUGCCCUAGAUCUUGUAGGGUGCAUGCAUCUAUCCUUAGGGAUUUUUAGAUCUAGCGUAGUGGAAAAUAAUGGCUUCAAAACUAAUUUAUAAUAAAGAUAUAGAGAUUUGAAAUUCAUAUUUGUGAUCUAGAUGUUCCCAAAUCAAAAUCCAUCCAAUGAAGAACAUGCUUGGAAAAUCUAGAGGUCUCAUACAUCUAAGAUUUUUGUCCGAAAUUAAUAGUGAGUAUGAUUUCUAUGAAUUUGAAUUUAAAUAUUUCAUUAUUUAUGAUUGAGAUAAUUAAAAUUUAUGCUCAACUUUAAUUUCAAUUAUUUCUUGGAUAAUGUGAGGUUUUAUCUAUUUAAAAACCAAAAUAACAUGAAAGAUAUAUUUGGAACUUUCUUUUUCUCUUUUCCUUUUUGCAUUCUUUUUAGAAACUAAAAAGAAGUAUAUUUUUAUAGUUAUUUAGGUCCAUAAUAUAAAAAGCACAAUAAUUAAACUUAGAAUUCAUUCUUAAAAAUAUUUAAUUGUAGUUAGAUAUCUAAUUUCUCAAUUUGAGUUUUCUUUUUGUUAACAUGGUUUGUUUUUUCUAUCAUAGGUUUGAGAUAGAGGUAUUGGCAAAUUUGGGGUCUUUUUAGAGGGCAGUGCUUGAAGAUUAAUGCUAGAGAUAUGAUAUCUACAAAUUGCAUAUAUGUUUGAUGUAUUAUUGUAAUUGAAAGUACCUUAUAAUUUGAAAAUGGCUAUUUUGAUACUUGUUACUUACUUUUCUAUUAAUGUUGUGUCUAUCCUAAUAGGUAUCCAAGAAAUAUAGCAAAAAAAAGAAUAAGAUGAUGUAGAAUUAAAGACCCUCUUACGAAGAUAGUAUUGUACUUUUUAAUUUAAGUUUGUAAAUUAUCUUAAUUGAAUGUUUGUAAUUAAUUUUUUUUUUUUUGUAUAUAGAAACUAGAGAGUAGCUAGAAAACUAUUUAUUCCAUUGUGUUUUUAAUAUUCAAAUGUAUAUAUAAUAAUUUUUUCCCUUGAGUAAUAGUUUAUUUGUAUGGUUUUAGGACUUACUUAUUAUUAUAAUAAUUAAAUAGUACUAAAUAUGGUAAUAGGUUCAUUUUCCAUUAAAAACUAAAAAUUAUAAUAAAAUAAUAUUAAAUUUUUCAUAGGCAACCUUGACAAAUGGCUAAUGCCCAACAUUGACAUCUGCAAUAGCUACAAACCUUGACAUAUUAUACUUAUCCUUAACAUUUGUUGCAACAAACUUGACAGAAAAGCAAGUUAACAUUAACAUAAGAUAAAAGAAUCUUGACAUAUGUUGAAUCCAACCGUGGCAAAAGUGAAAGAAACGUUGACAUAUGUCAUACUAACAAAGAUUCCAUCAUUAGUAGAAAUAGAAACAAUCUUAAUAUAUGUAAAUGUCAAGGUAGAUUUAAACUUUUCUUGACAGCAUAGAUGACAUAUAUGAAUAGUAACAUACCUUGAUAGAUAUACCCUAUCUUGAUGGUGAAAAACUGUCAAUGAAAGCCUUUUUUCUUGUAAUGUUACCAAGCUGCUUCAUUGUGUUGUCUCUCAACCUUAAGACAAUAUUGAGUUUAUGCUAAAUUUAGCAAUGACUUUGAGUUACGGGUGAGACUGUAAGCUGAUCAUAUAUUCCCUAUGGAUUAGGUCAUUGUUGAUGGAAGCGGUAGCAAUAGGUAUUCUCAAUAGAUGUACCAUGAUAUCUCUUGGGAUUGAGACAACGUGUUCCCUUGGGUGAUCCUAAAGAGGUGUGUUCAUGGAAACCAUGGCCAUAGUAGUUCAUUAAGUGGAACUUGACACAAGCUCUUUGAGAGCUAAGAUAUGUCAAUUGACUUCACAAUAGGAGGAUCUAUAAGUCAAGGUUGGUAGAGGUAGUCUUGAAAGGCUAAUAGUUUUCACCUUGUUAGACUACGGACACCAAUUCAUGGAGAGACUGAACACAAUGGAUAGCAGGUCGUAGACCCGAGCACUUGGUGUCUCAUUGUUAUUUAUAUAGGAUAUUGGAGUUCAGUUGAUUCUUAGUAGUGGGAUGUUGAAUCAACUUUAAAAAUGGAUUUUGAGAGAGCCAAUAUUCCUAUGGGUCCCAAUGGUCCCUGCUCUAAGCUUAUAUACCUUGUUGGCACGAAUUAUGAGGGUCAGAUUAGCUCUAGGUUCACUUUUGUGCAUAAGGGUGUUUUGGUAAUUAUGUAAGGUUGCACAAGGGUAAAUGAACAAGGUCUCUGAAUAGGGCUAAUUGAUUAAUUAGUAGCCUUAUUGGGUUAAUUAAUCAAUUAAGACCAAUUUUGGGCUAGAUUAAGUGACCCAAGCCCAUGUGGGCUCAAGUCACUUAAGCCCACUUAGGAACCCUAUAAAUAACCUCUAGGGAUUAAGGUUUUCAUAGCUUUUGUCUCCCACAAUCCAAAGAGAUGAGAUUCAUGGCCUUCACCCUAUUUUCCUCCUCACCGAAAAUGUGCCAAGAUCAAGGUUCGAGUUAUCAGGUCAAAAAUAGCGGGUUUACGAAACUUCUACCAUUUUGUUCUUCAUCUUCACCAUAUGGAUUUGAUUCGGGAGCAACCGAAUCUACGGUAUGGUUUUCAUUAGCACUUUAUGAAUCCUUUUAAAAUAUAAAAAUUGUAUUUUUCCAUUGUGCAUAAGAUUUAGAAAAAUCCUAGGAUAGUUAUGCACAUUCCUAACUUGAUCCAAACUUGGGAAACAGAAAGAUCCUGGUUUUUCCCUUCAACUGGUAUCAGAACCAUAGGUUAGUAAUCGUGUUAGAACCAUUCUAGGGUGUGCUAACUUGUUUUUACAGGGUUUUAAUUUAUCUCAUGGCCCUAGGGAUAAUUAAUGUGUGUUCUUUAUUAUGAUCUUGUUGUAGUAUGAUGGUUAUAAUUGUGAUUGCUUUUAAUUGGGGAUGUAAUAAUUACUUGGAUUGGUUUUUACCUUUCCUAAAUGGGUUGUAAGCCUCAUAAGAGGCAUAGAAUUUUUGUUUUUUUUUUUUGUAAAAAUCCCUAUUUUAUCUUAAAAUGAUAUGUAAACUUUAAAUAUUUGGAGUAUAGGAUUUUGUUGUAAAAAUCCAUAUAUAUAUAUAUAUAUAUAUAUAUAUAUAUAUCAUUCUUUGUAACCUAUGGAGAGUAUGGAAGCAAUCUGAAGCAUCACAAAGUAUUUGUGCAUAUUUCCUUGUUGGAAAAGAGAAAAGAAGGCUUCUUGAAGUUUCUUUCAUGAGUUCUUAUGGUGAUUUAAGGGAAAAGAAAGAAUUUUGGAAGUUCUUGAUUUGAGAUCCUUGGCAGCACAAUUUCAUCAUUUUUAACUUAAAACUAAGAUGAAUUCCUAUGAGUUUCUUAGAGCAAGUCGCCUAUGAUUUUGAAGGUUAAGAAAUACAAGGCUUCAAACAGAUCACAAUUCAGAGUUGAAACUAGAGAGUUAUAUCCGAUUGAAUCAAGGUUGCGCAAAGAGCAUGGUAGCAUAGUGACGCUAAUUUCAACUCAAAAUUGGGGCUACCUCCUAUGAGCUUUUUGGAGAAAACCACAUAUGGUUUUGAAGCUUAGGAAGUUAGGAAUCCAGUGCUUCAAAUGAAUUUCAAUUUGGAGUUGAAACAAGGGAUAUAUGGUUGAUUGAAGCAAGGCUCUGCAAAGGGUAUGCAAUUAUGGGAUUGAGUUCAGGCCAAAUUGUGUUUGGUUGUUUGGGCUUAAUUUUUGGGCUUCUUUUUAGGCUAUUUUUGUGGCAUUUUGGGCCCGUUGGGUUUUUCUUUUUUUUCACCAACCCCAUUUUUUAUUGCAGGGCUUUUUUGGUAAUUUGGAUUUUAUCUAAGUUUUAGUUAUCAAAUUUGCAAUAGGAUCCCUAAGGCCAUGAGAAUUAUUUAUUUAAUUUUCUUUUAUGUCUUUUAUGUUUUUUUAUUUUAGGCAUAGAAUAUAUUUUGGUAUUCUUAAGUUAAUAAAUUUUCAUUUUUUUUUUCCUUAUUUAAGAUAAUUUAUUAAAUUGGAAUGUGCUAGGAAUAAGGAAAUUUUUUAUUUUAGGUAAAGAUAAUCUUGAAAGAAAUAAGGAACUUACUUCCUUUCCAAAAUUAAACUUUUAGAGAUUUGUUUUUAAAUAAAUAUUUUUAGAUUUUAGAUCUCUAAGAAUCUUUUUAUUUUAAGGAAGAAGUUUUAUGUUUCCAAGCCUUUAUGAAAUAAUUUUUUUCCUAUUUAGAACAAGAUUCUAAUUUAAAGAAAUAAAUUAUUUUUGGAAAAAUAUAUGAUAGAUAAUUCAUCAUUAAGAUAGUUUACCAGUAUAUUGUUUCAAAUAAAUUAAAUUAAAAUGGUAAUUUUGAAUUUUCUUAAAAGAAUAAAUUUUCAUGAGUUUUAUUUCCAUUAUUAUUUAUUUAAGGAAUUGGUUGUUGUCAUUUGGAAUUUCAAAUUCCUUUUGGGACUUUCCUUUAUUUGAGUUAAGUGGUUCUCCAUUCUCUCUCCCCCUUCAAAGAGAAGGAGAAUGACACCUAAAUUGGUCCUCUAGGCUCUUCCCUCUUAAGAGAAUGAGGAAAUCGUUUAGUUUGAAAAGAAAAAUUCAAGGACAAGGAAUAUGAAAGAUAUCCCUAUUUGGCACAAGGGUCCCAAUUCAAGUAAUAAAUAAAAGUUUUGGAAAUUCUUAUGAUAGAUAAUUUAUAUUAAGAUAGUUAUCAAAAUUAUCUUAAAGUCUCACUUCCAAAAUAUUAAGUGGGAGUGGGCCAUAGGCAAGCCCAUAGCCUCCAAUAUCGAGUCCAACUUGAUUUUGGGUCCAUCACCAUCUUAAAGAUGGGGUGGGCCAAGGAAUCAAGGGAUAUGAACUAUCCUUUAUGGAUAAGACUAUAUAUGUUUGUAGUGGGAGUGGCCAAUCCUAAAGAUGGAACUCUUCACUUGGUAACAUUGAUGUCAAGGAUCUUAGUUACACACUUAACUUAGACAUGAAGUGGUAGAAUCACCUAAAGUGGUCCCACUUGCAUGGGCUAAAGACUAAACAUAAAGGUACGUUGAUCAAUGCCUUAGGAUAACCUUAGGAGGUUUAAGGCAAGUUAAUUAAUUAGAGAGGGUCUCUACCUAGUAAUGAGAGUCAUGGCUUGCCUGAAGUAGGCUUGAUUCUUAUGAUACUAGGACACCUUGCAUGGAUAUAUGUAGCUUGAGAGCACUAUAUUUUUACUAAAUUAAUUACCAACUUGCCUUGAAUUCUUAAUUUUUUUUUUAUUAACGCUUGGAAUUAUUAUAUUUGUUACAGAUAUCAUGUCUUUAACCUGUCACUUAUUAUCUUUAGUUUAAAUUGGACUUAAUUAUGUACUGAAAAUUAUCUGGAUAUAGUAUUAAUUGCAUAGAAGCUGAUUUUGGUAAAGUUUGUUAUUUCCUUUAAACAAUCCUAUCAUAAAGUAAGAUAAGCAUAUCAAAGGUAGCAUAAUAUGGAUCAAAAGACUAAGUCUCUCAAACUUAGAUCUUUAGAUAAUGUGUUGCAAAAGUAACACAUGUCUAUUGUCAUAGUCUGUGAUAUUCUCUUUAAAGUUGCAAGGGUUAUUUGGUGAUAAAGGCAAGUCAACUAGACAAGUUGCACUUAAGAUUAUUAUAAACACUAGGAUUCAAGUUAUCUUAAGAAGAUUCUCAAAGAGUAAAAGUGUGUACAUAUGGAAGUCAAGGUUCUUCAGGUUUUUCUAACAAAAAAAAGAACAACACCACCAAAUAAGGGAAGUUUAAGAAAAUGAAUGAAAGAACAAACUCAUGGACAAUGAUUCCUUUGUGACCUUUUAGGACACAAGAAAAGGAAUGCUCAAGAGUUUCAAAUGAUAGGCAAGUACACAUCAUAUUCUCAUUGUUAAAUAAAUAGUGGUGGAUUUCACCAAUUGUGGUGGAUAGAUUCUAGGCCCACUAUCUAUAGUUCUUUACAGGGUUUUCAACAAGUGAGAAGGCCAUAUGAUGGGAUAGUACUUACCUUAGCUUCAAUUGCAAAAUUAGUUAUGCAAGUUAGAGGGAGGUAUUACCUUUUUUUUUGUGAGACUCCAUUAUCACUUUGCCAAGUAAUGAGAAUAGUCAAAUCUCACUAAAAGAAAGAAUCUAGCACUAAUCAAACAUUUGGCUUCUAGUGUCUAAGUUAUAUUAAUCUAAAUAGGAUUCAAAGACAAAUUAAGUUUGGACUUUCUUAAUCCAUAAGAUCUUUCAGUCUAUGAAUCUUAUAUAAAUGGUAAAAUGACCAAGAGACCCCUUUAUUUUUAAAGGGCAUUGAACCAAGGAAUGUUUGGAGUUAGUGCAUACUCACAUGUAUGAAUCUUUUCGUGUUUAUAUAUGGAAAGUAUGGGUAUUUGAUCAUUUUAAUGAUACAUACUCUAGGUUUGGAUAUGUAAAUAGGAAAUCUGAUGCCUUUGAUAAAUUCAUGGAAUUUAAGGUGGAAUCAAAUAACUUAUUGGGUAAACAUAUCAAGACACUUCGAUUAGAUCAAGGUAAUGUGUCUAGUAGGUUCGAUCCUUUCUAUAUGGAGUAUGAGAUGAUAUUAUAGUUGUGUGCACUAAAGACUCCAUUGCAAAAUAGAGUAAUGGAAAGAAGAUAUUGAACUUUGAAAGACAUUGUGAGAUCGAUGAUUGGUUUCUCAUUAUUUCCCAUAUUCUUUGGGAAUAUAUCUUAAAGGAUGUAUAAUACCUCUUUUUCUAAAGAGGUGUAUCACUUUAUAAGACAUCCAAGAGGAUUUAGGGAUUAUUACUUUAUAGUUAGGAUUAUCAGAAGGUGUUUAUUGUUACAAAUACUAGAUUUAUGAUGAAGACUAUAUGAUAUGUAAUAAGGCAAACAAUGAUAUAAAUUGAAGAAUACUAAAAGAUAGUCCCACUAUACACAAGAUACUAUGGAUCUAGUACCAAGCAUUCCAAUUUCUAAUACACUGAUGUCUUAUCGUAGUAGGAGUGUUGUUAAACAACCAAACCAAUUCAUGUAUUUGUUAAAGUCUUUCAAGGCCAUUCUAAAGGAACAUGAGAUCAAUCACAUAGAUUACAAUAAAGAAAUGAGAAAUGUGGAUGCACAUCUUUAGCAAAAAUCUAUGGAGGCAGAGUUAGAAUCCUUGUGAUUAUAAUGUAGUCUAGGUUCCCAUAGAAGCACCUAAAGGGAUAAAACCCAUAGGUGUGAGUUGGUUUACAAGAGAAACAAAGGAGCAGAUGGAAAAAGUUGAGAUUUAUGUGGCUAGGUUGUAGCUAAAGGUUAUAGUUUGAAACAUUAUUUCAAACAUAGGAAAUCUUUUCACUAGUAGCCAUAUUCAGAUCCAUUAGACUACUAAUACCUAUUGCGGUGUAUCUUAUUUAUGAGAUAUUACAAUAGGAUGUCAAGAUAGUGUUCUUAAAUGAUUAUCUUGAUAUUAAUAGCAUAUGAUGUAACUAGAUAUUUUCAUAGCAAAGGGCUACAAGAAGGUGUAGGAAAGCAUGGUGGUCUUUAUGAUCUUGUAUGUUGAUGACAUUCUACUCAUUGGUAAUGAUGUAAGGCUAUUGUCAUUAAUUAAAAUCGGGUUGUCUACUCAGUUCCAAUUGUAGGAUCUGGGGUAAGCGUAGUAUAUUCUUGGGAUUAAGGUCUUUAGGGACCACAAGAAUAAUAAACUAGUGAUAUCUCAAGCUACCUACAUAGAUAAGCUUUUGGUUAAGUAUGUGAUGCAGGAUUCCAAGAAAGGUUUAUUACCUUUUAGGCAUGGAAUCCCACUUUCUUAGGAUCAGUGUCCUAAAACACUUGAAGAGAAAGAGCACAUGCAAUCAAUACCAUAUGCCUCUACAGUGGGUAGUCUUAUGUAUGCGAUAUUAUGUACCAUAUAUUUUCUUUGAAGUGGGUAUGGUGAGUAGAUAUCAGUCUAAUCUAGGUCUAAAACAUUGAACAACUAUCAAGCAUAUACUAAAGUAUCUUAGAAGAAUGAGGGAUUAUGUGCUUGUGCUCCAAAGUGUUGAGAUAGUUUAGAGGGUGACAGAUGGUUGACAAGAUACCUUCUAUGGAGAACCUAGUGGAUCUCUUCACCAAGACAUUGACAGGGAGAGUAUUUUUUUGUCAUAGGGAUAACAUAGGUUUCAAAUGAGUAUAUGGCAUGCUUUAUAGGAAUGAUGCUUUAGUGGGAGAUUGUUAGGAUAGAGCCCUUAAAAGAAUGACAUGAUGUAAUAAAUUUGCAAUUCAUUAUUUAUUUAAUGAUGUUCCAAUUUCACUUUUAUCUAUCCUUAUUCCAUGUAUUAUACUUUAUGAGCAUUCUUGCCUGCAUUUUUUGCAUUGUAUGUGACUUAGGUGCAUUAGGAGUUGUACAAAAGAUCUAAGUCAUGGGUUCCUUGAAAAUAGAUGACUUGUUCACAACCGGUUCAUGGGUCUAGGCAACCCAUUAGAGGUUGUAGUGCAUCAUCUCCUAAUUGGAAGGAUGACUAGUAUUAGCUAUCGGGAUGGGUUUCCCAUGGUGAGUGCACUAGUGUGUGUAUGGUUUCACAUUGGGCAGGACCUACAGUGAGUCAUGACUUAAGGCUAUCAAGUAGUCAUGACCUCACCAAGCUGCUUCAUUGUGUUGUGUCUCAACAUUGAGAUAAUAUCAAGUUUGUGCUAAAAUUAGCAAUGACUUUGAUCUAUGGGUGAGAUUAUAAGAUGAUCGUAUAUUCCCUAUGGAUUGGGUCAUUAUUGAUGAAAGCUAGUAGCAAUAGGUAUUCUCAAUAGAGGCACCAUGAUAUCUCUUGGGAUUUAGACAAUGUGUUCCCUUGAGUGAUCCUAAAGAGGUGUGUUCAUGGAAACCAUGCCCAUAGUAGUUCCUUAAGUGAAACUUGACAUAAGCUCUUUGAAAGCUAAGAUAUGUCGAUUGAAUACAUAAGAAGAGGAUUUGUAAAUUAAGGAUGGUAAAGGUAGUCUUGAAAGGCUAAUAGAUUUCACCUUGUUAGACUACAGACACCAGUUCAUAGGGAGACUAAACACAAUGGAUAGCAGGUCACAGACCCGAUCACUUGGUGUUUCGUUGUUAUUUACAUAGGAUAUUAGAGUUCAGUUGAUUCUCUGUAGUGGGAUGUUGAAUCAACUUUAAAAAUGGAUUCUGAGGGAGCUAGUAUUCCUAUAGGUCCCAAUGGUCCCCGCUCUAAGCUCAUAUACCUUGUUGGCAUGGAUUAUGAGGGUCGGAUUGGCUUUAGGUUCACUUUUGUGCAUAAGGGUAUUUUGGUAAUUAUGUAAGGUUGCAUAGGGGUAAGUGAACAAUGUGUCUGGAUUAGGCUAAUUGAUUAAUUAGUAGCCCUAUUAGAUUAAUUAAUCAAUUAAGAUCCGUUUUGGUCUAGAUUAAGUGACCUAAGCCCAUGUGGGCUCAAGUCACUUAAGCCCACUUAAGAACCCUAUAAUUACCCCUUAGGAGUUAAGGUUUCCAUAGCUUUUGUCUUCCUCCAUCCAGAGAGAUUGAGAGCCAUAGCCUUCACCCUCUUUUCCUCCUCACCGAAAGUGUGCCAAUAUCAAGGUUCGAGUCAUUGGGUGGAAGAUUGUGGGUUUAUGAAACUUCUACGAUUUUGUUCUUCAUCUUCACCAUGUGGAUUUGAUUCAGGAACAACCAGAUCUGAGGUAUGAUUUUCGUUAGCAGUUUUUAAAUCCUUUUAAAAUAUAAAAAUGUAAUUUUUUUAAUUGUGCAUAGAAUUUAGAAAAGGCCUAGGAUAGUUAUGCCUGUUCCUAACCUAAUCCGAGCUUGGGAAAAGUAGAGAUCUUGGUUUCUCCCUUCAGAGCGGUAGAUGAAUCCAACUAACCUAUUUUUGAGAUUAAUUUUCAGCCCUUGGAUUAAGGGUUUCAUUUUCAUUUAAAAUGAACUUUCUCCCAUUUUUGGAGAAGAGAGAUUACAAUAGCCAUUCUGGUGCUCCUUAUUCCCACUUCUCUUUGAGGUUGCUUGCUCCAAGAAAAUCCCAUCCAAGUUUUCCAAUAUAUGUAUAUUUUUUUUAUGGAUUUUCUGAAAAUGAACAUGGUUGAUUUCUGAAACAUUCAUAUCUCAUUCUCUUGGUUUUGUGUAAAAACCUAUUUUCUUCUUGUGUGAAUUAAAGAAAAGACUAAAGUCGAGCUUGGUACGAAUUCCAAGUGUGCUUCGAAAGAAAAAGGUGAGAAACUGAAAGUGAAGGUACUAGUCAAGCGGUACGGGAAGUAUUGGUUAGCUUGAGGUAUAACCUUGUUUUCAAUUUUAUUUUUCAGAGUGGAUGUUUUAGAUCGGUAGUAAGCUCAUGGUUUUUGAUCUCUUAAAAGGUUUUCCAUGUUAAAAUCUAGUGUCUAUUGUCUCUUUCUCUCACUCAACUCUUUGAUUUAUUUUCAGUUUUUGAUAUAUUGGAUACUUGGGCAUAUAUGUUGAAUGAAAGACAUAUGAACUAAAAUAAGUGUGACUAUCCAUGAAAUAUAUUCAAUUAUUUUUCUAUUCAUUUUGGUUAAUGAUGUGGGAUCCUAUUGAUAGGAAUAUGAUAUUACUAACAGAGUAGGGCAGGAACAUAAAGACAUGGAAGCAUAGGGGAUAGGGAAGCAGUGCAAACCUUUCCAUUCUAGGUAUGAACAACAGUAAUUCAAAGUUUGAAAGUUGUUGUGAAACUACUCGUCUAAAUGUCAUGGCAAGAAUGUCUUUAGAUGUAGCCCUUGACAAAAUAUCUUCAGUGAGAGAUCUUCUCAACCUAUUGGCUUUCUCUUUUACUUUUCUGGCAGGUAAAAACUUUUUAAACAAAAGACUCUUCAAGUUUACUUAUUGUAUUGCAUAGUUAUUGGUUUCUAAUGAAACUCUGAGCACAUGACCAAAACGAAAAUUAAUCAUCACACCACUUUAUAUGUAAACCAAAAGUCAAGGAAAUGCCCAUGAGGUUCUAUCACUCAUUCAAUUACUGGCAAAUUUAGACGAACCACAAAUGCUAAAAGAUGGUUGAAAAAACAAUGAGGAUAUGCAUUCAUGUAAUGUACGUGUGCCAAGCAACUCCAAACAGAAAACAAAGAUGAAUGCGGGAUUAUCAAUUACUCUAACAAACCACACAGGUUGUGUUUAUGUAUCAUUUCUCUUCACAAAUCUAUUGCACAAGUACAAUUUUUGUCACAUCUUAUCUAAAAUCUAAAAUACCCAAGAAAGGACCAAAUCUCAAACUCGACCAAUGUAGCAAUAAUAAGCACAUUUGUUUCCUCACUAAUUAUAUGCUGCAUCCCAAGACAUCGUUUAAUUAAAAUGCCACCAAUAUACAAUGACAUGCAGGUUUAAAUAAAAUUCUAGCAAACUUACCCUGUAUGAUGCAGUUUUUGUUGAAGCUACAUCUCCUUCCGUCCAAAUGCAUUUACAUAAACAUAGCCAAGCAUCCAUAAGAGAUGGAUUCCACUUUUGGAACAUGAAUUAAGGUGUGUUUGGGAGUGAUUUUAGAAAAUGUUUAUAGUAUUUCUAAUACUUGAAUAAUAAAAAAUUUUAAGUAUUAAAAAUAUUAAAAACGCUUCCUAAAAUCACAAUCAAACAGGCUCUUAAUCAAUUUCAAAACAUGAUUCAUAUCCUUAACUUAUGUGGAAGAGUUGAUAAUAAUUUGUUUGGAGUAAUGAGGUUAACAGUGAUUCAAAGUUCGAAAGUUGUGAAACUACUUGUCUAAAUGUCAUGGCAAGAAUGUCUUUAGACGUAGCCCUUGACAAAAUAUCAUCAAUGAGAGAUCUUCUCAACCUAUUGGCUUUCUCUUUAACUUUUCUGGCAGGUAAAAUUUUUUAAACAAUAAAUUUUAGUACUGUUGGAUAGUUAUCUAACAAAAGACUCUUGAAGUUCACUUAUUAUAUUGCAUAGUUAUUGGUUUCUAAUGAAACUCUGAGCACAUGACCUGACCAAAAACUAUUGUAAAAUAAAAAUUAAUCAUCACACCACUUUAUAUAUAUGUAAACCAAAAGUCAAGGAAAUGCCCAAAUCUACCAAUAACCAUAAGGUUCUAUCACUCAUUCAAUUAUUGGCAAAUUUAGAAGAACCAUAAAUGCUAAAAGAUGGUUGAAAAAACCAAUGAUUUUAAAAACCGAAUCGGAUUAGCCGGUUCAAUCGGUCGAACCAUCGACCGGACCCUAGUCCAGUUCGGUUCAACUUCUGAGCCAAAAAAGGCUUCGAACCGGACGAACCAGUGGUUGAACCGCCAAACCAAAUGGAACCGAAACGGUUCGGUUCAAUUGAGAAUUUGGGUUUUUAGGCUACCAAUGGGUCACACCCAUUCACAACCCAACAACAUAGUCACUUUUAUGCUCUUGCUUUUCCGAUGUGGGACAGGAAAAGUCCAAUAGAAAAACAGCCAACAUUUUUAUAUAUGCACAGUUUACGCCCUUGGAGCUUGGAGCUUGGACCAAAGGUUCAAGGUAAGCAUUGUUGCACCAACCUGCUCCUAAUUGGUUUGUGCCAAGGAUUAUAAAAAUAAACAAAAGUAUCUCAAAUAUCUACUAUUUUUUUAAACUCUUCCAUUUUCCAUAUGUAAUAUUAUAUAUGUUUUAUUUAAUAAAUUUUAAAAUAAUAAUAUAUUUAUAUAAAAGAUGAAAAAAUAAAUAUUAUUGAUUUUUAAUUUUAUCUAUAUUUAUAUUUUUUAAUUUUAAUAAAAUAUAAAUUAUAUAUUUAUGAUGUCACCGGUUCAACCGCGGUUCAACCACCAGUCCCACCACUAAACCGUGAACCGGUAACUUUUUCAGUUCGUUGAUCGAUUCAAUUCUGAAAACAUAGGAAAAAACAAUGAGGAUAUGCAUUCAUGUGAUUUACGUGUGCCAAGCAACUCCAAACAAAAAACAAAGAUGAAUGCGGGAUUAUCAAUUACUCCAACAAGUGUUUAUGUAUCAUUUCUCUUCACAAAUCUGUUGCACAAGUACAAUUUUUGUCAUGUCUUGUCUAAAAUCUAAAAUACCCAAGAAAGGACCAAAUCUCAAACUCGACCAAUGUAGCAAUAAUAAGCACAUUUGUUUCCUCACCACUUAUAUGUUGCAUCCCAAGACAUCGUUUAAUUAAAAUGCCAUGCACCAAUAUACAAUGACAUGCAGGUUUAAAUAAAAUUCUAGCAAACUUACCCUGUAUGAUGCAGUUUUUGUUGAAGCUACAUCUCCUUCCGUCCAAAUGCAUUUACAUAAACAUAGCCAAGCAUCCACAAGAGAUGGAUUCCACUUCACUUGAAGCUACAUCUUCUGCUUCUUGAACAUUCAACUCUUGAUUUUUUUUUUUUCAAUCUUGUACUCAUGCUACCAUCAACAGUUACCAAUGCUAAUAAAUAAAAUUAACUAACCAAUUACCAUUAAAGCUGUAACUCUCAUUCCACUCUUGCAAAUGAUAUUAUAGAAAUUUAAAAUUAAUCUAUCACGUAAUUGAGUGGUUAUACUUAACAAAAAGGAAAAAAAAAAAAAAAAAAAAAGAUAUCAACAAAGACUCUGAGCCAUGAAUGGGGGAGAACUUGCACUUGCAUUUGCAUAUUAGAUAUCAACAAAGAUUGAAAUGUUGUGAAAUAUUGGAGAUAUUUCACCCAUUUUUUUGUAUCGACAAGUCUCAUCACAAUACAUGGCAUAGUUUGAUCUAAUGGACCAAAGUUUGAUCUGCCCCACCAACCUAUACAUGAUGAUUUUUCAGUUUUGUACAAUGGACCAAGAGUGGAUCAAGCCCAACCAUAUCAUAUUUGUCAAUUGACCAAAGUUUUUUUUUUUAUUAUUAUUAUUAUUAUUUUUUAACUUUUCAUUGAUAAAUUGGUGAAAUAACAAUUUUAAACCAAUUUUUCAAUUUUGUCAGUGAAAUUUCAGUGAUAUGUAAGCCCAAUUUUUUUAGUUUUGUCUAAUGGGCCAAAGUUUGAUCAGCCCAACCAACCUGUAUGUGAUGAUUUUUCCGUUUUGUACAAUGACCCAAGAGUGGAUCAAGCCCAACCAUAUCAUAUUUGUUACUUUUUAAAUUUUGUUUGGAUCAAGCUCAACCAGCCCAUUUAUGGUAGCUAUGAUUGUACAAGGCACCAUCUUAAAUGGAGAUUAUAGUGCUUUGUUUUCUUUUAAGUUUUCAAUGUGGCAUUGUGUUUUUAUUUACACAUAAAAAAAUAAAAAAUAAAAAUAAAAAUAAAAAAGUAUGCCAAACUUGGAUAUGUAAUUAAUAGAUAUAGCUUAUGCCAUUGAACAAAACUUUAUUUUGUGUUAAAUAUGAACUUUAGAAUUAUAUAUAUAAUAUCUUUUAUAAAUUAAUUAAAAUAAAAUGAUUAUAAAUAAAUUAAUUUUAAUUAUAUUAUUAUCUAUUUUGUAUAUUAAUUAAAUAUAAGACAAAUAUAAAUUCAUAAAUAAAAUUAUCAAUAUUUUUAAAUAAAAAUAUUUUAUAUCAAAAUAUUCACCGAUAUAACUCAAUAUAUCCAUAAAAUUAGGUUAUUGGUAUAUUCACAAAAACUUAUAUUUUCAUAAUUGGAUAUCAAGACUCAACCUUAGCCAAUUCCAUGAUUAAGAUGAAGUAGAAGUAGUGGUCACAACUAUCGGUCCAUCCUCUAAUGAUUGGCCUUGUCGUCUUUCAACAAAUAGAAUUCACAACAGUUAUAGUCGAAAGCCAUGGCAUCUUUGGUUUUCAAGGAUGGGUUGGUUGAAAUAUCAAAGCUUAGGGUUUCUGAGUUGCUCAACAUUUAUGAUUUGAUACUCAAUUAUCAAGUCACUUCCCAAUCUUGGGAGGAGUCCAUGUGUCUUCUCCAAAAUAACAUUUUAAAAUAUUUUAUUUAAAUUCAAUUUUAAUUUUCAAAUUAAAAAUUUUCAAUAAAGCGAUAAAUUUGAUCAUGAAAAUUAAAAUUUUUUCAAUAAAGUGGUAAAUUAGAUGAUUUAAAAUUACUUACAAAUAAAUUUUUAUUAAGAGAAAAUUUGUAAUAUUAUUUCACUUAAUAUAUUAUUUAUAGCGCUAUUUGUGUUAGGAAUUUUAUUGAAUUUCUUUAAAUGCAUUAUAAGUUUUCACGCAUGUCUAUUAUAUUUUAUAGGCUAAAUAUAUAUUUUUAUAAUAAAAUAAAAAACCCAUUUCAAAUAUACUAAAACUGAUUGAUUUUCGAUAAAUAAAAGCUAAAUGGAACAUUUAUCCAUAAACAAAAAUUUGUGCCAAAAAUUUACAAUAAAAUUCACCAUAAAUAAAUAUUAUGAUUAAAUAUGACUUUUAACCAAUGUUUUCAGAACUGGAUUGAUAAUUGAACUGGAAAAAUUACUGGUUCACGGUUCACUGGUCGAACUGUAGUCGAACCAAUGAUGCAAUAAAUAUAUAAUUUAUAUAUUAUAUAAAAUUAAAAAUAAUUAUAAAAAAUUAAAAAUAUAUAAAAUUACAAAUUUUAAUAAUUUUUUAUUUGUAUUUUAUUGUUUUAAAAUUAUUAUAUUAAUUAAUUUAUAUUAUUUUUUAUAAUUAUUAUUAUUAUAUUAUUAUAAAAAUAAACAGGAAUUUAAAUAUUUACAUUUUUUUUAAAGAUUUUAUGUGAUAAAAAUUUGAAAUAAAAACAUUAAUCUUAGAUUCUUAUUAUAUAUAUAUAUAUUUAAUAUCAUUUAAUAAAUAUGGUGCAAUAUUCAAUGGUUUAAUGACUUCAAACUUUAAUUUUUAAUAGAUUCGUGCAUCCAGUCCUCCAAAAAGCAAUGUUUUACCUCUAAUAAGUCCCAGUCCGAGUCCCACAUCGGGAGCACAUAGAAUACAUGAAUUCUAUGUGCUCUAAGUGCUCUACAAAUACCUUGCAACAUCCCUUAUAAGCCAACCUUGCCAACGAAUUGAGCUUGGAGGUAUGGCUCAAAUAUUGGCUCAUAAGAAAUAUGUUUUAUAAGCAUUUCUUGUCAAUGGAUUGGGCCUGGUGGCUUGGACCAAAUAUGGGCUUAUAAUUAGUUUUAGUUUUAACAGUAUUGGGCGUGGAUUGAGCUUGAUGGAUAAUGGGCCUCUUAAUAGUAAACAAAUAUUUGUAGCAAUUAAGGUCUGGCUGGUUUGGAAAAAACUGGACGGUUUGCUUGGUUUGAACGGUUCAAUAUCGGUUUGACCACGAAGCGGUUCAUUGAGAUGGACCGAACUGGAAAGUCUACCAGUCAACAAUUCGAUUGGUCCGACCGGCCGCUCUGAUCUGGUUUUUAAAACAAUGCUUUUAACUAUGAAUAUAGAAUUCAUACUAUAAUAUUAAGAAAAUCGAUUUGCCAUAAAUAUAUGAUGUGGUUAACUAUGAUUUUUUACUAUGAAUCUAAAUAGUCUUUUUGUCAUGGUCUUGGUGAGUUUGGAGAUAGCAUGAGCCACCUCAACUAAUAGUUCCUCUACGGAUGUAGUGCUCGUUGUCAUUACUGGCAUAAUCACCAUGAAGGAAGAAGUAAAAAGAGUUGAAAUGGUUGGAGGAGUCGUUCUUCUUUAACAUUCUAGUUGGUGAUCUAGAGUGUGAGUUAGAAUUAGUAACAAAGUAAGGGGACUUAUUCCUAGAGUCCUUGAGUGUUGAAUGGUGUUUUUCCUUACCAUGAGAACUUUGUCCUUUUGCCCCCAAAAAGGCCAAAGUGAUGAUUGGUUAGUAACUAUCGUGUGUCCCUAUUGUUUUUAGAAAAGGAGUGUUCUCACUUGCUAACUUUGUUGAUAGUGCAGUAGUUGAUUUUGCUUUACUAUGAAUCAUAGCAUCCAUAGAGGUGUUGUAUGUCAAUUGCGUAAUGACAAUCUUAUCAUCACCCUUGUCGACAUGUGUAGCUUGAGCCUUCUUAAAUGUCAUUGUCUUGGUAGUGAUCACUUUCUUGGUGAAAGAGAUGAGAGGCAAAAAGGUCCCACCGAGCGUGUAAAAAAAUUGUAUGCACAAAUUUCUUAAAAGUCCUACACUGUAAGCAAAACAUGAGGAAAAUAUGCAAAACAAUUUUACUUUUUUUACUUAAAAUUGAUAAAUAAAUCGUGGGGUACAAUCUUUGUGGUAAUAUUCUUUUUAAAAAUAAUAUAUCCCUCUGAUUCUUUCACCUUGAUCACAAUUUGAAAGACGAAAAAACGUUUUCUUAAUUUCACAGAUCAAUCGAGGGCCAUAAAGGGCUUGUUCCCGAAUGAACUCGUUGAGUGACAAAGAUCGCCUGUAUAGACUAUGACAAUGUUUUCUUUGUUUUCAAAGUCGAUUGAGGGCCUAGAGUGGCUUAUUUCUAAAUAACUUUAUUGAAAGACAAAGAACGUGUGUAGUUCUUCCCUGGUUUAUUAGACUUGUAAGGAGAUUUUGAAAAGCUUUUUCUUCUUUGUGAAGCCUCAUUUCCCAUGUGGAGUUGUUUUGGUAGAACCCUAAGAAGUCUUCUCAUUGAAGAAAGUCAACCCUAUUUAUAGAUGAAAUUAGGGAAUUAAAAUUUUAGAAUUCCCCAAGAUUUAUUUAAUGCUUGAUUUUAGCAAUUUAUCUUCUUCCUUAAGGAAAUUUGCCAACAUGAAAAUAUUUAUUUAUUUUUUAUUCUCUUUCCACUUCAAUUGAAAUGUUUGUUUCGCUUAGAAAUUUCUCAACAAGAGAAUAUUUUAUUUUAUUUUAAUUCUCUUUUGACAACAAUUUUGUAAUCUUCCAAAUUUCGUCAUGUGUCACCUUUUUAAUACAUGUCACAUGUCACACGUGUGUAGACCUAUCACUUGUUGAUUCCAAAUUUUGUUGAAUUGGGGAGCCACAUAUCUUUUGAAGACCAAUUUAAGUGAUAAUUUAUUUCACUAAAAAUUUUGAUGUCUACACUUGGUUUUUUCUUUAAUAUAAUUGUUAGGUUUUUAAAUAUAUUUUAAAAUAUAUAUAUAUAUUAUCAAUAAGGCUUUACUUCAACUAUUCUUCCUAUUUGUAUAAUUAUUAUUUAAAAUAAUUCUUUGAAAAUAAAUAAAAUGCAUUUUUAGAAAAUGCUUUUUUUUCUUAUGUUAAGUUUAAGAACAAAAAAAUAUUGUUUUAUGUUAAAAGGUUAUCAAACAUGCUUGUUUUUCUAGGUUUUUUUUUUCCUUAAGAACAUAAAACUAUUUUUAGAAAAAGCUUCAAAACAUACCCAUAGGCUCAAUUUGAGAAUAUUUUAAAAAAUAAUUAUGAGAAAAAAGUUUUUGUGAACAACUCUUGAAAACUAUUUUGUACUACUUUUGAAAAUAAAAUUGUGUUAAAAAUAGGAAAAUUAAUAAGACAACUAAAACAAAUCCCUUUUCCUAGAACACUAAAAAGUCAAAUGGAUAUUGCUUAAAUUUCAAGAUUUCCCAAUAAUGUAAAAGAAAAAAAAAAAGUUCUAAUAGAACCUAAGUAAGCUAUAAAGAUCGAGAAUAAAAUCAAAGUACACCUAGAUGGAAAAUAGCCAUUUGGGUGGCUGAUUAUGGGCAAAAACAAAGGGAAAAAGAAAAAAAAAAUUAAAGAAAGAAAUCAAGGAAGAAUAGCAUUGGGCUUGAGAUUCAAUGCGUACACUAGAAGACUUUGCUCUCACUUUCUUUGAGAUCAAAUGACCAAAACGCAAACAAAUAGGCAAAGCCAAUAAAUAUCAUCAACCAAACACAACAAAGAACACGUUUUCCUACAUUUUCUCUAGAACCAAACAAAGUCAAACAAAACAACUAUCAGUUCAACUCACAAAACAUAAAAAUAAAAAUAAACCAAAACACUAUCAUUAGAGAUGAAAUAAGCUAUAUCUACAAGUAUUUAUCAAAUAUGUGGAAGCCUCAUGAUUAGAAAUCAAGUGCCCUAGAUACUCCACUUUUGGUUAACCAAAGUUAGACUUAGAUUUUUUGACAAAUAGCUUAUGUUGUUUUAAUAUCUAAGGUGUUGGACAAAUGAUCCAAGUGCUCUUCUCAUCUAUGACUAUAAAUCAAGAUGUCAUUGAAAAAUAAAUUAGUAAAGAUAAGGUCAAAAUACCUCAUCCGAUAGAUUUUGGAAGGUAGCUAGCUUGUUUGUCAAUCUGGAAAGUAUGACAAGGAAUUCAUAAUGGUCUUCAUGAGUGAAAAUUUUUUGUGCAUUCCUUAUGGAUGGACUUGUAUUUGGUGAUAGCUAGAGUGUAAAUCUAACUUAGAAAUUUUUUUGCUCCAUGUAGAUCCAUAGAGAAGUUCAUCAAUCACCAAUGUAGGAAAUUUAUCCUUAAUGGUUUCCUAGUUCAACGCUCUAUAAUCAACACACAUGCACCAAGUGUUAUCUUUCUUUCUUUUCAAAUAACAAUAUAGGAGAUGAAAAGGGUCUCAUAGUUGGUCGAAUUGUACCAGCUAGCAGCAUCCCACACAAUAUUCUCAAUUUCAUUUUUAGGCAUAGGGAUAAUGAUGAGUUUGAACAUUUAUAGGUGGGUUUCCGAUUUUAUUGGAAUCGUAUGGUCAUGGGAUCAUUGCAGGGGUAAGCCAUGAGGUUCUAUAAAAAUAAUUUCAAACUUGGAUAGUAUUUAGGAGAUUUAGAUUAUGGUUUUUAAGGUUAGGAAUUGAUGUAAACUCUAUUUGAAUAUAAAAUAGUUUCGCAAUCACAACUUACCCUAAUUUCUCGAUUUUUUUUUUCCAUUUAGGCAAGUUUAAUAAAUUUGAUUGAUCUACCAAUAGCACCAUGUAGAAUAUGUUGUUGAUGAUUGAAUCAAAAUUCCAAUUUUUGUUCAUGAAAAUCACACACAAUAAUACCAAGAGUAGUGAGUCGUGGAACCCCUAAAUGCCUUGCCACAACCAUUAAGAGAUGCAUAAUGAGUGAAAUCAUUAGUAAAAGUGGCGCCUUCAUGCUCAAUCUAAUUGUUGACACAUGUCUUUACUUGAAAUCCUAGAACCAUUUGUAACAACCAUUGAAAAAUAAUCAGUUUGAAGAAUAGGACAAGUUGUUCAUUUGAUGACAUUAGGGUCCAAAAAAUUAUGAGUUCUACGAGAGUCAAUCAAGAUAGUAAUAAGCAUUUUCUUGAUAAACCCUUUAAUUAAGAUAGUUAGGCAAGAUAACAAAUUUGAAAGUGCAUGAAUAAAGAUUAUCAAUCUUUUAAAUCUUCACUAAUGUCAAAUUGUUGGUACUUAAUUUCAUUCAUCUUCUCUUAUUCUUUUUGCUCUCCUUUCAACAAAUAACUAUAAAACUUUUUACAUUGAUGGCUUAACAUGUACUUUUCAUCACAAUAGUAGCGUAACUCCUACAAGAUUCUCUUGAUAGGAGGUAGGGAAUCUAGUGUCAUUGACUUGAACAGGUUGACAGUUAAGGAAGUUGGGUUUCACUACAUUUGAUUACACACCUUUUGGAGCAUUGAGUCCAUAGUUUCUUUUUGUAGCAAGGCCAAACUCACUUAUUGCACAAGAUUUGUUGGUUUGAACAUUGAGACUUUGUUAUAGAUUUCUAGUUGAAAUCUAUUAAGUAAAUAGUUAACAAAAAACUCCUUGAUAAGACCUUUUGUUAUACUCAUGAAUGUCUCAAAUUCUAGUUGAUAUUGCUACACUAUUAGUUUGUUAUAGCUUGGUCAGUUACUCGAAGACAUCCUCAUAGAUGCUAGGUCUAAAAUGUUAUAUAACAUUCUUCCAAAAAAAUUGCUAAGAAACAUUGGCAUUAGUUAUCUUAUAACUUUGAAAUCAACCAAGGGUCAUACUUCCAAGUAAAUAGAGAGCACAUAUACUUUGUCAUCUUCUGCAACUCCAUGAUAGUGGAAAAACCUUUCAUAUAUUAAUACCCAACCAUGAGGGCUACUCCCAUUAAAUUUUGGAAAAUUAAUCUUAUCAUACCAAGCUUGGAAGUGCUAUUAUGGUUGGGGUUUGUCCUCUUGUAGUUGUUGUGCGAGUUCUCAAUAUGAUUUGCCUGAUAAGAAACACAAUUACUACUUAUUUGAUCAUACUUUAAAUUCAUUGUAGUUAGUCAUUUGUGUAGUUCCUUAAAGUUUGAGUUUGCUACUAGAUAGCUUCAUCAUGGGAAUUUGAAUUUUUUAUGCAUGCAACUAUUUGAAUGCUUUUUGUAUUCAUUUCAUUUCUUGCCCUCUAGUUUCCUCUACUAUUUAGAAGUAAGCAAGAUCAUCUCGAUUACCAAAUGAUAUGAACUAAGAAGAAAGAGAAAUUAGAACACAUUUUUGAAAGUUGAGAAAAUUACAAUAGUCUGAUGAGACCCAUUACACUUACAAUAACUAUUAAAUACCAAAUAAAAUAAAGCAUUAAUGAACCAUAAUCUCAACAUUUUUUUUCUCUCUACAAAUGAAUGAUCAUUUCCUAUAAUUAAGAUGUUCAAACUAUAGCUAUUAAUUCUUAUAUCUUCUCUCACAAUUUUCUACUCUUAAUUUCUUCAUUCUAGGAAGGUACAUAACAUUCUUCAUUUUCCUCCUCUUCUUGUCUUUCUCAAUUGAAAUUGAAUCACAAAAUACCAAUGAUCGCAAAUGGGUUUCAACAAGAUGAUGACUUUAUUCAAACUCUCCAAAUGAGUUUGAAUGAUUUAUAAUUUCUAAAAAUCUUAUAUUUUUUUUUCAAAUUUUCUAAAUCGUAGGAAAGCCAUAUGGUUCUACAAUUUUAGGAUUUUAUUGAAUUUGAAAGGUAGUUUCAUAAGAAAAAAAAAAAAAAGAAGUUUUGGGAGAAGAAAGAAAUGAAUAAGAUUAAUGAGUUUUGGGGGAAAAUGAAGGAGAAAAAAAGAAGAAGAUUAAUUUAAAAUGAUGAGGUGUGAAAUACAAUAUUGUAUUUAAAUGUUUGUGAUGACUUUGAUUUGUAGUUCUUUUUAUAUGCAUUAAACAUUCUUUUUUCCAAAAUCAUGGUUUUUGAGAAAAAGGUUUUCUAAGAGAAGUAAAGUGAAAGAAAGGAGGGAAGAAGAAGAAAGAAGAAAAUAAGAAGAGUGAGGAGAGAAAAAUCCCUUAUUUUUUCUACUUUACAAGAUUAGAGUUUAUUAAAAUUUUGAUUUUUAGAUGUGAAGAAAAAAAAAAGGGACAAGAAGAAAGAAGAAAAAAAAUCAAAAUGAUGUUGUUUAUGUAUAAGGGCAAUAUUGAGUGAGAAUAUAUUUACAAAAGCUAUUAAGUUAAAAGUACUGCUGUAUUUAUUAUAGAGUCUAAAAAUAAUUUUUGUCAUUUUGCUGGAAAGUUUUAAAAUGGGAUAAAAUAUCAUGCCUAAUAGAAAACAAUAGUUGUGUGAACACGAUUUGCAGAAAGUUUUGAAAAUGGACAAAUAAAUUAUAAGGCAUUCAACGUAGUUGAAUUAUUGUGUAAAAGUUGAAAUUUUUUGGCUUGGAUCCAAAGAAUUUCAUGUCCCACCCUCGCACUUUCUUGGAUUUUGUAAUCUUUGACUUUAGACUAUGGGGAACUCGGCUCAUGUUCCUAGGGGAGACCUUCAACAAUCCAAUAAAUGACAUUGUAGACCUCAUUGGUUUCACAUUUCCUGUAAACUUUCCCUUCUGGGUUUGAAGUUUUCACAGCGAAAGCGAGAAAGAAGGGAGAAAUGGCAGAGAUUGCCGUCACCACAGUCAUCGACAAGUUGGUGUCUUUGGUAGAUGAAGAAGCCAGAUUGUUGGGAGGUGUCCACACUCAAGUUGAAGACAUCAAAACUGAGCUGCUGUAUAUUCAAGCUUUCCUUAAGGAUGCAGAUGCAAAGGCCGAUAAGGGAGACAUCAGCCAUGGCCUUAAAACUUGGAUCCAAGACUUGAGGAAGACUGCAUACUCCAUGGAAGAUCUCAUUGAUGAAUACUUGCUUCACUUUGCAAAUCCAAAUCACCGGCAUCGAUUCUUUGGUUUCCUCUGCAAAGUUGCUCGCUCCAUACAAAAACUGAAACCACGCCAUGAGAUCGCCUCCAAGAUCCGGGAUAUCAAGAAAAAGGUUGGUAAACUGAAGGAAACAAGUUCGAGUUACGUCUUCAUUAGUUCUAUUGAGCCAAGAUCAAGCAGCAGUUCUGCAAGUGCUCCAUGGCAUGACCAGCGGGUGACUUCUCUUUUCAUGGACGAAACUGAAAUUGUUGGUAUUGAACCUCUGAGAAAUGAACUGAUAAGCCGGCUGGUAGAGGGAAAUCCCAAACGAACUGUAAUUUCCGUGGUCGGCAUGGGUGGACUUGGCAAGACGACUUUCGCCAAAAAAGUUUACGACAACCAGAGAGUGGUGGGACACUUCGAUUGCAAUGCUUGGGUCACUGUGUCUCAAUCAUUCAAGAUGGAGGAGCUACUACGGAACAUGACAAAGAAAUUCUAUCAGGGAAGAAAGGAAGCAGUUCCUGAGGGCAUCGAUACAAUAGACGAGAUGUCACUGAUUGCCUUAAUCAGGCAGUAUUUACAAGAUAAAAGGUAUGUUGUUGUUUUUGAUGAUGUAUGGAAACUAGAUUUCUGGGGAUUUAUUAAAUAUGUUUUACCAGAAAAUGGGAAGGGCAGUAGGAUAAUAAUCACUACACGUAAUGAUGAGGUAGCCUCUUCUUGCAAAGAGUCGUCAUUUGAUUACAUCCACAAGCUGCAACCCCUGUCCCCAAAGAGUUCCUGGGAGCUCUUUUGCAAGAAGACAUUCCAGGGUGGAUGUCCUCCAGAAUUGGAGAAACUGUCUCUUGAUAUUGUCAAAAGAUGUGGAGGAUUGCCACUAGCGAUUGUGGCAAUAGGUGGUCUUUUGUCAAGAAAACAGAAUGAGUCCGAGUGGAAAAAUUUUAGUGACAACCUUGGGUCCGAGUUAGAAAGCAAUUCCCGUCUUCAACCUAUAAAUACAAUCCUCUCCCUCAGUUAUCAUGAUCUACCUUACUACCUUAAGUCCUGUUUCUUAUACUUGGCCAUUUUUCCAGAGGACUACACAAUUAAAUGUACCAAACUGACUCGGCUGUGGAUAGCUGAGGGGUUUGUAAAAGCUAAGAAGGGUGUGACAAUGGAAGAGCUUGCAGAGGAAUUCUUGACUGAGCUGAUCAAUAGGAGCUUAGUUCAAGUGUCAGACGUAGAUUUGGAAGGAAAAAUUAGAAGCUGCCAUAUCCAUGACUUGAUGCGUGAGAUGAUUCUCAAAAUGGCUGAGGAAAUGAGUUUUUGUCGUGUUUUGGCUGGAGAAGGCUCAAGUUUUGACGGAAAAUCUCGUCGAAUAUCAGUCCAUAACAGCACAAAUAAUAUUCUAGACACCAUUGAUAAAAACUCUCAUGUUCGCUCCAUUUUUCUCUUCAAUUCUGAGAUGAUUUUCACUAGUACAUUGGCUUCAAAAUGUAAGCUUGUGAAGGUAUUGGAUUUUAAAGAUGCCCCUCUUGAGAGUGUUCCUGAAGAUUUGGGAAAUCUAUUUCAUCUGAAGUUCUUAAGCCUGAGAAAGACCAAAGUCAAGAUGCUUCCAAAGUCUAUAGGUAAGCUACAAAACCUACAGACUUUGGAUCUGAAACAUUCCCUCGUAGAGGAGCUUCCUGUUGAGAUCAAUAGGCUCCAAAAGCUGCGCCACAUUCUAGCCUACAACUAUAACUUUGAUGUUGAAUUCAGCUCGGUUUCUGUUAAAGGAGUGCAUGUAAAGGAAGGGAUUGGGUGCUUGGAAGACUUGCAGAAGCUGUGUUUUGUGGAGGGCAAUCAAGGGACAGAUGUAAUUAAAGAGCUUGGAAAGCUAAGGCAAUUGAGAAAGCUGGGGAUUACAAAACUUACUAGAGAAAAUGGGCAGCCUUUAUGUGCCUCCAUUAUGAAAAUGAACCACCUUAAAUCUUUGUCAAUCUCUUCAUCAACCGAAGAUGAGAUUCUUGAUUUGCAGCACGUAUCGGAUCCUCCACCAUGCCUUUCACGUCUUGAGUUGUAUGGACGUUUAGACAAGCUACCUGACUGGAUUUCUAAACUUAAAAGUCUAGUGAAGUUAGGUUUAUGGAAGUCAAGACUAAGCCACGAUCCAAUGGGAGUCCUUGGAGCCCAGCUGCCUAAUCUGCUGGAGCUCGAGCUCCUCCAAACGCAUGCGGUCGAGCAAUUGUGUUUUGAAGCAAUAGGAUUUCAGAAACUUAAGGUCCUCCGUAUCUGUGAUUUGAUAGAGCUCAAGAAAGUGAAAAUAGAGAAUGGGGCAUUGCCUCAGGUUGAAGAGCUUGAAAUUGGGCCUAGUCCACAGCUGGAAGAGGUGCCCCAUGGCAUCUACUACCUCAGAAAACUUAAAACUCUUGCAUUUCGUGAUAUGCAGGAAGAAUUUGAACUAAGUAUGAUACCCUACAGAGGAAGAAAUUAUGAUAUAGUUGAGCAUAUCCCAAAUGUCUUCUUCUAUCAGAGGCUUUCAGGACAACAUUACGCGGUUCAGAGUCUACGACAACUAGCUGAAACCAUCCCCAGAGUCUAUUGCUAGCAGUUGAAUUUUUUCAAGCCAAAGGUGAGUACACUUUAUAUGUAUCAACUAAUUAAUUUUAGAUCAAGGCCAAACCAAAAUCUGGCAAGCUUGACUGAAAAAGAAAAUCCUUGCUUCCUUGUAUUUCAUAUUGAUCACCAUGUCAUUACUGUCCCUUUUUCUCAGUGAAGUUUGUUAACUUAAGCUAUUUUGUAUACUAAUUAUUAAAUUCCGAUGGGUUCCAGGUGAUGGAGAAUAUAUAUGCAUGCAGUGUUUAUUGAUAUCAACUGGGAUUGUUAGUUGGUGUUGUUGUUUGUUUAUUUGUCCUCCCAGUCUAUAGCUUAUAUUUUAGACAAUUUCUUCUCCAUCUCUCAUUCCCUCGGCGUAUGGUCUGAACAUCCCUUGAGAAUGAGAAGUUCAAAGGCGUCUGCAUGUUGGAAUCAGCUAAGAUUUUGGAGAAAAUCAUAGUUCAUUUAAAUUGUGAUUCACAAUAAUAUGCUUAUGCAGGGGGAGGUACCUGAUAAGCUCCACACCAAUACUAAUAGUAUUACCCUGAUUAAUGUUUUGCAUUUGCAAGCAGUUACUGGUCUUUAUAUCCUUAAUUAACCAAGGGUCAUUUAGUAGUGAUUCUUAAAGCCAAAGGGGUUGAAAGUGUCUCUUAAUGGUACUUGAAAAGUGCUUUAAGAGACUAGUUUGAAAAUAACUUUUAAAAAUGGGUAAAGCAAUUGAAGUGAAUUCUAAGCAAUCACUUGAUAAGUGAAUAAAGUAAAUUACGUGAUUAUUCCACAAAUCACUUUUUCGUUUUAUAAUACACUGUUAGAAAUACUAUUAAAACACUUUUUGGGUAAUAGAAAUUUCAAUGAUGCUUAUGAUGACAUGCUUAAAUUAAUAUAUGUCAAAAUUUCAUAAUAUCAAACAGAAAAACUUAUUUAAAUCCAAACUAAUUAUUCAAAAAAUUAGGUAUACAUGCACAUAUAAUUGAUAUUGAUUUUGAAAGUUCAAAUAUUUUCAAACCCAAAUGUCUUUCAAAUGAUAACAACCCACCCAAGCCCAAGUAGAAGCGUCCACCAUACCUUAAUAGCUAUCCAUCCAGCCCAACAAGCAUUCAAAGCCCAGUAAGUUACCCUAGCUCCUUCAAAUGACAACCCAUCCAAACAGUAAAAGAAACACAUACCACGUAGCUCUGACUUUCUCCAGAACAGAGAUGGAACUACCGGCAGGAGGCUCCCCUAUGCUUGUAUCCCACCUUAUUUUAUUGCCCAAUAGCAUGCACCAUCCAAAUCAUGGCGACAAAUCCGAAAAACGAGUCGAUUUCUCGAGUCACCUCAAUCUUUCUUACUACGAAAAAACUGCCCAAAAUGGUUCAACUCUCCAUAUUCUGUGUAGAUUACUACGAUUACAAGUGCGCUUCGCUUUUGUGAUUAAUUUUUAACCUAUUCCCCCAAUUAUUUGGUUUUCCAAAAUCAUGAUGCAAUGGUUAUGAUCUGCCUUCAUUACUGCACAUCAUACAUAUAGUUCUUCUAGCUAGCUUUUCACAUUCUGUUUACAAACUAUUUACUGGGUACAAAACCCGAAUUUGGAUUUCUAUUCAUUGGUUGACAUGGAGUUGAAAUUUUAAAGCUCUCUCUAUAUUUGUUUGAUUCAUGUGUCAAUUCGUUUGUAGAUUAGUAUGAAAUGUAGUUGAAAUUAUGUGCAAUUAUCAAGAAAAAAUGAUACCCAUUUUAGACUAUUCGAAUUGCACAAUGGGUUGUUUUUAGUUUUGAUCUUUUUUUUUUUUAAAUUUAUGUUUGUAUUCUAAGGUUAUGCAUGACUCUGUUAUUCAAGGUUUCACUAUUUGGUUGGUUGGGAUUUGUUUGAUUUAUGUGGAUAAUUGUCUCAUCUACACAGUUGUGAAUAAAAACUAACUUCCUUUUAGACAAUUUAUUAAUUAUUAAUUUUGAUUUAUACACAACGAAUUUGAUGUCAUUGUGGUUGUUGAUGGAGCUUAUGUUAGUUGUAGUUACGGUGUUGGGUUAUGUAUUGGUUGCUGCAAUAAUACACGUGUUGGUGAUGGUGGUAUCAUUGGUGAUGGGGCGUCCAAAGAUAUGAUAUUUGGGCGUCAUUUUAGUGGAGUAGUGGCAGUAAAGUGGUGGGAUCUAGAGAUUUUCUUUUUUCAAAGAAAAAUGCUAAUUUCGUUUCUUUCAAAUCAAGGAAUAUAAUCGACAAUGAAAACAAGACAACAAUAAGAAUAUGAUCUUCACUACAGCUUCUAUGCUAUAUGAGCCAACAAAGAUAAGACUUAGGUGGUGAAUGUUUUUUUACUUAAUUCUAAAUAGAACCUUAAUGCUUAAUAAUAUUAAAUAUUAAGUUGUUUGUUUUUGUAAUAUUUUAUUUCUAUUAACUAUUAAAAAAUUUUAAAAAAAAACAAUAUGUUAUUUUUUCUAUUUAGAAAAAACUAUAUAUUUUGAUUUUUCUAUUUAGUAAAAAGUUUAUAAUAAGUCAUGAAAAAGUAAAAAAACAAAUAACCUAAAUUCUAAAAAUAAAUCGUUUUAAGCAAAAAAUAAAAAAAAACAAACACCACCUUAGUUUUUCAAUUUUCUUUUAAACAUAAAUAGAAGCAGCUUGACUGUGGUGGUGGCUACAGGAAGUUGCUCAAUGGUGAGGUUUUGAUCAAAAGAAAUUUGGCGGUGAUACCCCCAUAUAUGUAAGUGUUAUUUUUCCUUACUGUUUGUUUGGACUCCCUUUGUCUUUGACUCCAAACUUCUUAUUCUUUUCAAAGUUGCUGAUUUGGUAUAAAACAUGAUUGCAACAUCAUGUUUGGACCAGAUAUCUGUGGCUAUAGCACCAAAAAGGUCCAUGCCAUUCUUCACACGAUGAAACAGAUGACUUAAUUAAAAAGGAUGUCCCUUAUGAGACUGAGCAACUAUCUCAUGUUUACACUAUCAUCCUCAAGUCAGACGCCACCGACAACAUCCUUUUUGACAACAUGGAGAAACAAUCCAGUUGUUUGUACUUUAAUUGAGGUAUUCUCCCUCCAAAGAAGAUCAAGGAUGCUUAGGCUAAGAAAGUAAUUUCUUUUUACUUAAUUAAUUUUGGAUGGACAAUAAUACAAUUUUACAAUGAUGCCAACCUGAAGAUUGGGAUGGGAAGGAGUAAAGUUAAGAAGCCAGAGGUGACAAUUCCUCAUUCUAGAGCCUUCUGGUUGCAUUAUGCCAAAUUGGUAGUUGAUAUCUAAAAAUAUUUUGUACAAUUAACUAACUAACGUAUAUUUACAGGGAUAUCAUACGAUGAUAUCUUCUAUGGAAUAAGCAGACUCCCUUAAGUCUUGAAUCCAAGUUUUAAGACCUUGGCUGGCAUCUGCUUUCUCUGCCUUUGCAUCUGCAUCUUUGUUUUAAUGUCUCCAGCUUGUGUGUGGACGCCUCCCAAUAGUCUGGCUUCUUCAUCUAGUAAUGGGAGCAACUUCUUGAUGACAAUGUUGACGGCAGUCUCUGCCAUUUCUCCUUCUUAUCCCCCUUUGAGAAGGUCAGUGAACAACUAUUGCGUUAGCUUUCAGAUCUAAUCUUCCAUCUACUCUCCUAAAAUUUCCAAACAUUGUGGCCCUCAAACUAUUGAACCCAACACCACUAGUACCAACAAUUUCCAAACAUUUGGGUAGCAUCAUCUUACGCUACUAAUUUGUUUUUUAUUUGCUAAUGAUUUCUCUUUAUUAUGACUUUGUAUUACAAUCCAAUUACAUAUAGUUUUUCUUGUGCAAGUAAAUUGAUAAAGUUAAAAUAAAUUUACAAGGAAAGUAUGUAAGUAAAAAAAUAUGUUUGAACAAGUAAUCUAAUUUAUAUUUUUUUUAAUAUUUAUCUAUUUCUCAUAAAAUAAAUAAAAUUUAGUACAUAUCAUCACUGAGGACUAAGUUGACAUUUAUUUUGCUUAACUUAGAAAUUUUGAUUUUAAAAAGAAUUUUACUAUCUAAAAUUUUGGUAUGGAAAAAUGUAACUUUAUUUAUAUUCCCUCCCAAUCAUUUUUUUUCUAUUUGUAUUUCAACCCAAUUAUUUUUUUUUCUAUUUUAUUUUAUGUCUAAAUCAAUUAUUUGACUUUGAAUCUUUUUUAAGUUUCUUACAUAGAUUUUAAGAAAAUAAAUUCACAUAUUCAAUUUUUUAUUAGCUUUUUUUCAUAUUACCUCACAUGAAAAUGAAAGAGAUGAGAAUGAAUUUGAUUAAUAGUGGUGGUUUAGAUCAUGCUUACUUUGAUCUUGAUUUCGUAAAUUUCUAGUGAAAAUUUGACCUUCUAGCAAAUGAUGAAAAUAUUCUUAUUGAUUGAAAUCGUAGCUUAGUGGUAACCUGGCGCCCUUCUUUAUAGAGUAGGCUGAAGUUGGAGUCCCCUCUCCCUACCUCUCAAAUCUCCAUUUAAAAAAUGGUUCAAUUACUAUUUGGCAUAAGCAUCAUAAUAAUAAUAAACAAAUAAAUAAAUUCCAAAAAUUAAUAAGAAUUAGAAAGAGAUAAAAAUAAAUUUCAUUAAUAGUGAUGAAUUACAUCUGACUUACUUUGAUAUUGAUUUUUUUUUUUAAGGCCUCAAUGAAAAAUUGAUCUUCUAGCAAUUGAUAAAAAUAUUCUUUGAAAAAAUGCUUCUAAUUAGGUAUAAGAAGUGAACUUGAAUUAGUAACUUAUUACAAAUAAACAGACAGCACACAACCCAUAAUCCAAGCCUUUAACCCAGUGCAGAUUCCAACAAUUGGAUUUUCAAGUCUUAUAUAAUAUACAUCAAUUCCUAUGGAUAAAAAUAUAAUAAUUAAAAUACAUCUAGAGUGAAUUAAAGAGGAAAAAAGACUUACUGGGUUUUAUUGCCACUGAGGGGAACUUGAGACUCCAAUUCCCAUACCUAUUGCAUAUCACAAUCAAACUUCGGUUAGAAGAGGAAUAAGGUUUAACAUAACUCAAUGCAACUCAACCUGAUAGCCUUCUAUUAAAUAUUUUUAAAAACAAGUUUCGCAUUCACUUAUACCCAAAUUGCAUGCUCUUUCGAUUAAACAAACUUGAAAUGUAUAUAUUUACAAAAAAUAAAUCAUUGACACAAAAUAGAAUUAAAUUGUGACAUAUUAAUAAAAUUUAGUUAGUUAUUUCAAUUAAUUAAAAUAAUUUGGGCUUAUACAAGGCUCACCUUUGUGUGGGAAUUAAGAUUUGUAGUCAGAUAGCUCUCGUAGGCUUUGAGUUCCAUUCCCAUAAAAAAAGACGUUUGGAAUGUGCUCAACUAUCUUAUAAUUUCUGCCCCGGGAGGGUAUCAUACUUAGUUUCAGUUCUUCCUGCAAAUUAUAAAAUUCAAGAGUUGUAAGUCUGGUAAGGUGGCGGAUACCCGGGGGGAGCUCCUCCAGUUGUGGGCAGGGCCCAACUAGAAGCGUCUCGAGUAGGGGCAGUGCUCCGUUCUCUAUUUUCACCCUCUUCACUCCCACCAAGUAAAGGACAACUAAGCGCUUAAGUUUCUGAAACCCGGUGGCCUCAAAACACAAUUCCUCAACAGCAGAGGCACGCAUUAGUUGAAGCAUCUGCAGGUUAGGCAGGGCUUGAAGGACUUUCACUGGAUCAUUCAUCAAGUUAGAACCAUACAAGAUUACAAUAGAUAAAUUUUGAAGUUCAGAAAUCCAGUCAGGUAACUUCUCCAAAGGCCCGAUCAAUUUGAGACGUGUAAGACAGGAGGGUGGAUACGAUACAUGCUGUAAAUCCAGAAUCUCCUCUUCACUCAAUGACGAAAUCGACAAAGAUUCAAGGCGAUUCAUGUUUGUAAUGGAAGCAAAUAAAUGCUUCCCAUUUUCUCUAGUAAGUUUUGUAAUACUCAGCUUCCUCAACUGCCUCAGCUUUCCCAGCUCUUUAAUUACCCCCACCCCAUGGUUUGCCUCCACACAGGACAGCUUCUGCAACUCUUCCAAACACCCAAUACCCUCCUUUACUUGCACUCCUUUAACAGAAAACAUGCCCAAAUCACCAUCGAAAUCAUAAUUCUGGGCUAGAAUAUUGCGCAGCUUUUUAAGCCUAUUGAUCUCAACAGGAAGAUCCUCCACAAGGGAAUAUUUCAGAUCCAAAGUCUGUAGGUUUUGUAGUUUACCUAUGGACCUUGGAAGCAUCCUGACUUUUGUAUUCCUCAGACUUAAGUACCUCAAAUGCAAUAGAUUUCCCAAAUUUUCAGGAAAACUAUCCAAACCAGAAUCAUUAAGAUCCAAUACUUUCAGAAGAUUAAAUCUUGAAGCCAAUUUCUCCAGAAAAAACAUCUGAGAGUUGUAAAGAAAAAUGGAGCGGAUGUGCGACUUUUUACCAAUAAUGUUUACAACAUUAUAUGAGCUAUUAUGAACUGAUAGAUGCCUAAAUCCUCCAUCAAAACUUGAGGCUUCUCCAGUCAUCAAACAACAAAAACUCAACUCUGCGGCCUUUUUGAGAAUAAUCUCACGUAUCAAGUCAUGAAUGUGACAACUUUCAAUUUUUCCAUCAGCAUAUACGUCAGACACUUGAACUAAGUUUCUGUGUAUGAGCUCAGUCAAGAAUUCUUCUGCAACAUCUUCUAGCAUUACAUCUUUCUUGGCUUUCACAAAACCCUCAGCAAUCCACAGCCGAGUAAGUGGUCCACAUCUAAUUGUGUAGUCCUCCGGGAAAAUGGCCAAGUACAAGAAACAGGACUUGAGGUAGUAAGGCAGAUCAUGGUAGCUGAGAGAGAGAAUUGUAUUGAUACUUUCAAGAUGUGAAUUACUUUGAAACUCAGAGCGUAGGUUGUCACUAAAUUUUUUCCAUUCGGGGAUAAGCUUCUCUUUUCUUGACAAAAGACCACCGACUGCUACAAUCGCUAGUGGCAAUCCUCCACAUCUUUUGACAAUAUCAAGAGACAAUUUCUCCAAAUCUGGAGGACAUCCACCCUGGAAUGUCUUCUUGCAAAAGAGUUCCCAGGAACUCUUUGGAGACAGGGGUUGCAGUUUGUGGAUGUAAUCAAAUGAAGAUUCUAUACAAGAGGAAGCUACCUCAUCAUUACGGGUUGUGAUUAUUAUCCUGCUCCCUUUUCCAUUUUCUGGUAAAACACAUUUUAUAAUUCCCCAGAAAUCUAGUUUCCAUACAUCAUCAAAAACAACCACAUACCUUUUAUCUUGUAAAUAUCCCCUGGUUAGAGUAAUCAGUGACAUCUCGUCUGUUGUAUCAAGACCCUCAGGGACUGCCUCCUUCCUUGAUUGAUAGAAUUUCUUUGACAUGUUCCGCAGUAGCUCUUCCAUCUUGAAUGACUGAGACACAGUGAUCCAAGCAGAGCAAUCAAAGUAUCCCACUAAUUCCUUGUUGUCAUAUACUUUCUUGGCAAGAGUGGUCUUGCCAAGUCCGCCCAUGCCAACCACUGAAAUUACAGUCCGUUUUGGAGUUCCCUCCACCAGCCGGCUUGUGAGUUUUCUAUUUUGAGAUUCAAUACCAACAAUUUCAGCAUCAUCUAUGAAAAGGGAAGUCACCCGAGGGUCAUGCCAUGGCGCACUUGUACUUCUGCCUCCAGAUCCUGGCUGAACUGAACUAAUGAAGCCGUAAGUUGAACUUGUUUCCUUGAGUUUGACAACCUUUUUCUGGAUAUCACGGAUCUUGGAGGCUACCUCAUGGCGUCGUUUCAAUUUUUUUAUCAAGCGACCAACUUUGCAGAGGAAACCAAUGAAUCUAUGCCGUUGACUUGGAUUUCCCAAGUGAAGCAAGUAUUCAUCGAUGACAUCUUCUAUGGAAUAAGCAGUCUCCCUUAAGUCUUGAAUCCAAGUUUUAAGGCCUUGGCUGACAUCUGCUUUCUCCCCCUUUGCAUCUGCAUCCAUUAGGAAAGCUUGAAUAUAUAGUAGCUCUGUUUUAAUGUCUUCAACUUGUGUGUGGACGCCUCCCAAUAGUCUGGCUUCUUGAUCUAGUAAUGGGAGCAACUUGUCGAUGACGAUGUUGACGGCAAUCUCCGCCAUUUCUCCUUCUUUUCCCCCUUUGAGAAGGCCAGUGAACAACUACUGCGUUAGCUCAUUUCAGAUCUAAUCUUCCAUCUAGUUAUUCAAACUUUGUGGCCCUAGAACCAAUGAACCCAACACCACUACUGCCAAAAAUUACAGAGUUUUUUUCUAAUACCGGAAAUUUGGGUACACGUCAUCUUACACUACUAAAUUUUUUUCAAACUAAUCACAAAAUUGACAUUUAGUCAAAAAAAAAAAGACAGGUUGAAAACUAACUGGACAUUAGAAAAGUUGAAAUUAGGCUAAAGUGUAACAUUUGAAUUCUUACAUGUCAGCUUUGACAGAAUUGAAAUAAAAUUUUUAAAAUUUUUAUAAUUUAAUAUAAUGACAUUAAUUUAUGGUAUUUAAUAUAAAUGUGUAUUUUAAAAAGCUUUUAGAGUGGACUAAAUAUUUAGAAACAGUUUUGCUUACAAAUAUGGGAGAAUUGGGCUUUAAACCCAUUUGGUUUUAAUAAUUAAUAAAGAGUCCAUCAAACACUCAUAAUUGAUUACAAGGAUAUGAGAUUGGAAUAGACAAAAAUACCCCCUUGACUCAUUUUUGUCUUUAUUCUAUCACCCUUCACAUGCCACUAUUCUUUCUUAUUUAACCAUUUUUAGAUCUUUCAUUAUUUUUUUAAACUCUUUUAUAAAUAAUUGAAAAAUCAACAUUAUUUUUUUAUUUUUAAAUUAUAAAUAAACAAAAAUUAUAUUAAUGAUUCAAAGACUAUUUUGAAAAAUAUUUUCUAAAAAAAUAUUAAUUUAAAUAAAUAAAAAUUACAUUUUACAUUUAUUUUUAUCUUUUAUAUUUUAGAAGUAAAUAAUUUAAUGAUUAAAAUACUAUUUAAAAUAAAUAUAUUCACUAUUUUAUUUUUUUAUAUUAAAAUUAUUUUAAAGUUUUUUUUUAUUAUUAUAAAAUAAAAAGUUUAAUUUUUUUUACUCUUCUUUCUUCCGUAUAUGAAAUGUUACAAAUGUUGUUUAUUAAGGAUUUAUUUUAAUGAUUUGAAUUAAUUUAAAAUUUAUUAAAAUAAGAAAAAGAAAAAGAAAGAAAGAGGAUGGAUGGAAAGUUUUUAUUUUAAGUACUCAAUUAAAAUGUUUUCAUAUGACCUAAUUUUAGAAGUGGAUUAUAUCAAUACAUAAUAGAAAUUGAAUUUUUCUUAUAUAAAAUGAUUGAAAGGUAUAUUUACUUAUUUUAGAUGAAAACAAGUAGUUAAAAAUUAUAUAGAUUAUAUUUGAGUUUGGUUUUAAAAUAUUUUUCUAGUUUUUAUUUUUUAUUUUUAAAAAUAAUUUUUAUUUUCUAUAUUGUCUCUUUUUGAAAAUAUUUUUAAUUAAAAAAUGAAAAGUAUUUUUUUAAAUGAAAAUUGAAAACCUUGUUUAGUACUAUUUUUUUAUAUGAAAAUAAAAAAAUAAUAAAUUUUAUUUAUUCAUUUAUUGCAAUCCACAAAGAAAAUAUGAGAGAAUUAUCAUAUCCAUGAUCAUCAAUCCAUCCCUUUGGCUUACUUAACCUGAACUUGUUCUUGAUUCCCAAUACCCUUAUAACCAACUCUUAGAGAUCCUCAUUGAUGUCUCACCAAGGUGUGGCACGGAUUACUUCCUUGAACUUGCUUCAUGGUUGAAUUCAAAUGCCAAUGUCAAGAAGAAUUGAGAGAAUGGGUGUGGAUUUCAAAUCAAUAAUGACUUAAUGGAAUCUUCUAGAAACCUUAGCUAAGAUCUAUUUAUGAUGCUCAAUUUUCUUUCUAGCUCAAGCUUUCUUUGGAAGCUAUGAAAGGUAGUUAGGAAAUCUAUACAUAAAUUUGGCAAGGCGGUCUAAUUAGAUUACUUAAGGUAGUCAUCUGGUGCCUUGAAAAUGACCUGAAACUGCGAAAGUACAGCACCACUCAGGUUGAUUGAUAGACCCUUGUAGUGAUGUGCAAUUUUACUGAUUGCUUGAUUGUACCCAAUUGUUCAAUACAGCUCCAAGGACUUUUCAGCUUUUCUGGAAAUACCCCUGUGACCAUCCAAUAUAAACUCAAGAUUUUGUUUGAAUUUCCAUGCAUAGAAAAACCCAUGCUUCUCACAGGCUUACUCUUCUUACCUCCAAGUACGAUAUCAUGAUGAACCAAUGAAGUUUUGACUCUUGAUAUAUGAGUGAAGAUAUGACUCUUGGAUUGGAAGUCUGCACAACUUUAUGUACACAUUGAAUUGAUGUCCUAUUGAUUUACUAAGUUGUUGGGAUUGUGUGUGUGAGAAAAGAAAGAGAGAGCUGAGGGGGAGGGGAGGGAGAGAGAGGAGGCAUCAUGCAAAGAAGGUUGGUUGAAAUGUCAAAAACCUCAUAAGAUGCUUUGCUAUCCAUCCACCCCCCUCCCCUUUACUUUCCGUUUCUUUUCUUUGUUUCAUCCACAAUGUCUCUACUCAAGAACAUGUUUCUCUUAGAGGGAAGGGGUAAUCUGGUCUGUUCAUGCAUGCUAUUUAUAGUAAAUAUAUUGAUGGUUGUACUUGCUUUUUACUGACAAAGGUUCAUUUUUUUUUUCUUUGAGAAUUGUAAAAACUCUAUCAUUGUGUCUUAAUACUCUUUUAGCAUGUAAUGAAUUGGUUGUGGUUUUCUGAAAAGUUAGAACUUUUUCUUUGAAAUUGAAAUUAAAAUUAAAUAAAAGAGCUUUGAUUAUCUUUUGAAUCGUUCUACCUGUUGGUUAAAAAAGAAGAAAAAAAAAAGAACGAAACUCAUGAUAAUUAGGAGCAUAAAUGUUUGGGAUGUGACUUUAUAAAGCAAGAGGUAGAAAUGAGAUACAAGUAUAUCAAGAAGUGACCUUUCUUGAUAGGGAAGCAAAAAUAUAUUAACAACUCGUGGCAAAGAGGUGCACCAAAGUCCAUAGUGCCUUUAUAAAGGGCAUUAAAAGGCAAAGAAAAAAGAGAGCAACAAAAGAUAAUUCCCUCUCCUUAUUAUCUAACCAAUGUACAAAAUCUAUGAUAAACAUUGAUAUCCAAGCUAUUAAUGGUGCGGGAUCUUUAUCUCAAUAUGGAUCUCCCAUCCUUAGAAAUGAGGAACAUAACCAAUAUAGGGAACAAGGGAAUACUGGACCAUAUCUACUUUUGUGUCAUGACAAGGAGAAAACAAUUUGCCAUAAAACUUGUUUUGGUGCAAUGGAGGAGAAUGUUAUCAAUAGAUUCUUUUUCCUCUUGCAUAGAUAGCAUUUAUUCACCAAGGUCAAUCAUCUCCUUUAUAGCUGGUUCAAAGUCAAAAUCAAAACCCAAGUUGACUUCCCAAGUGAAAACUACACUUUUGAAAAAAAACUUAAGAACUCCAAAUUACUCUUAGAGUGACCAACAUUAUCCUUUUAGACAUCGGAAAGGAAUAAAAGAGAUUUAACUUAAAAGUUGUCAUUCAUUGAAUCCAUAUAGACCACUCUAUGCUCCUUAUCCUUAUUCAUAGAUUUUUCUUUUAAACUUGAGAGAGACAUGUCUACACUGCCCAUCUCUUAAUCAUUCAAUUGUACUAUAAAGCAGAAACUCUCUUAGCUCUCUCAACUCAUUGAUCUCAUAAAUUUGUCACCCAAGCACCCAGUUCAUUCCUUGAAUCCAUAUAGACCACUCUAUGCUCCUUAUCUCUAUUCAUAGAUUUUUCUUUCAAACUUGAGAGAGACUCUUCUACACUUUCCAUCUCUUAAUCAUUCAAUUGUAUUAUAAAGUAGGAACUUUAUUAGCUCUCUCAACUCAUUGGUCUCAUAAAUUUGUCACCCAAGCACCCUUUUAUUAUGUUAUGAGUCUAUGACAUACAACAAGGGGAAACAUGCACCUUAAGGAGAAUUAUAACAUCACCUAUCAUUCUAGAACUUCACUCUCCUUCCAUUUGUUGCAACAAAAUAGGUUCUACUUUUGAAAAUAUUCCAUUGUCUUGAAUGGUCUUCCACAACCCUACCUUAAAACCAUCACUCACUUCCUGAGAACACUAACCAUCUCCCUCUUCCUCAAACUUCUCAACGAUAAUCUACUUCUGAAGAGACUCACUUUCUAUAACAUAACUCUUAACUCCACUUGGCAAGAAGUGUCUUAUUAAGUGUAGGAAGAUCUCUAAUGCCAAGGCCCCAUUUUUGCUUUUUGACGUAGGUGAUUCACCAUUUCACCAAGUGUAGGUUUUUCUCAAGAGCUUCCCCUCCUUAGAAGAAAUCUCUUUGAAUAUUCUCAAGCCUUAAAUUCACCUUCCUUGGUAUGACGAGUGGGGACAAAAUAAAUAGUGUGGAAGAAUGUCAUUAUGAAAGAUUAUAACUGUAUAUUUUUGUAAUUAAGGAGAGGAUUAGGACAAUCCCAUAAUCAAGGGGAUUUGAUAGAAUUAGGUUAGGAAAGUUUCUAUUUUUUGUGUUAGAAAUAUUUGCAUAAAUAUGUAGGAUGUACAAAUUGAAAUCAAGGAAGAAAUUUAUUCUCGUACCUUCAAAUUCUUCUUAGAUUCAACUUGGUAUCAGAGUCUUAGGCUCGUAAAUCUGGGAAUCAAGAAGAAGAAUUUUUCAGCCUUCAUUGCCGAGUUUGAAGAUCAGAGUCAACCUUAAAAGCUUUUCUUUCAUUUGAAUCACAUCAUUGUUGUAAAACCCACACUAAAGUAGCCUCUUUACGUCGUUGCCCUCGCCUUUGCUUCACCCCGUUGGCCUUACCUUUGCUUCACACUGUCACCUUUGAUGGCCAUUGUUGGAAGUCAUCUUCAUCUUUGCUUCACACCGCCGUUGCACCACACAAAGCUCAUGUUGUGCCACUACUGCAAGAGAAAUCACAUCGUUGAUAGAUUGUGCAGCCUUCAUCUUGUCUCAACCUCGCUUUGCCCUUGGAUCUUCCUUGCCGUUAGCCUUCCUUUUACCUUAGGUUUCCACCCUCGCUUCAUUGCAAACUUAUCGAAAGAGAAAUUGCGCUAUUACUGCUGUUGCAAAUGAAGAUUUUUUUCCUACUAUAGGUGUUCCUUGCACUGUAGAUAUUGUUGGAAACUAAGAGUGUUGGACCUUCGACGUACUUCUAUGAUUAUCAAGAGUGCUAGACUGAUGAUGCCCUUGCUGCGGCCACCUUAUUCCACAUCGACUCUAGUGAGGAACUCUAACACGGUCUUGGAACCCUAACACAAGUAAGUUCUUUUAACUUAAAGCCCUUUUAUAUUUCCCAAAAAAAAGGGGGGGGGGGGGGGGAAUAAAAAAAUGAGGAAGAAAAGAAAAAGGAGAAAAAAAAAUUAUGAGGUAUAAAAAACCACUGCUUAAUAUGAAGGAAUGACAACUAGUUACAAUGAAGGGCCAUGUAAGGAUAUUGGACAUGCACACUCAUCUUCUGUUCAACUAGUUGAAAAAAGGUCCUUGAAACCAGAUGGAUUUAAUCGAGAGGAGAUUGAAAAACUAAAAAUUUUGUUGGGUAAUUGAUUACUACUCAAAAAGAGCAUAUUUUAGAUAAUAAUUCUCAUGAGUUUCACGUCUUUUGAGUAGUAAUUAUGCCUAAAACACUCAAUUAACAUGUUAUUGCCCUUGCAAGAGUUACUAACAAGUUUUAUGAAGUUUAGGAGUCAUUUCAAGGUAUGUUUUUGAUAAAUUUGUGACAAAAGAGAUGAAUCAAGUUGAAGAAAACAAAUGAAGUUGAUGAUGAUCCAAAAGCAUAAUGAAAGAAGCAAUGAAAUGCACUUGGACCAAGCUUUGGAGCUUAAUUGAAGGUGGUGGAGAUGGAUUAAACAUGAACAAAUGAGAGAAUUUGCAAAGAGGAGCCGGAAUAGCAUGAUUUUCGAUUUCGCAUGACCAUGCGAAAUUUUCGCACAGUCAUGCGAAAUGAAACAGAGAGGGUGUGGCUGCAGCACAUGAGGAAAUUGUGAAGAAGUGAUUUCGCAUGACCAUGCGAAAUUUUCGCACAGUCAUGCGAAACGCUCCAGAAGANNNNNNNNNNNNNNNNNNNNNNNNNNNNNNNNNNNNNNNNNNNNNNNNNNNNNNNNNNNNNNNNNNNNNNNNNNNNNNNNNNNNNNNNNNNNNNNNNNNNNNNNNNNNNNNNNNNNNNNNNNNNNNNNNNNNNNNNNNNNNNNNNNNNNNNNNNNNNNNNNNNNNNNNNNNNNNNNNNNNNNNNNNNNNNNNNNNNNNNNNNNNNNNNNNNNNNNNNNNNNNNNNNNNNNNNNNNNNNNNNNNNNNNNNNNNNNNNNNNNNNNNNNNNNNNNNNNNNNNNNNNNNNNNNNNNNNNNNNNNNNNNNNNNNNNNNNNNNNNNNNNNNNNNNNNNNNNNNNNNNNNNNNNNNNNNNNNNNNNNNNNNNNNNNNNNNNNNNNNNNNNNNNNNNNNNNNNNNNNNNNNNNNNNNNNNNNNNNNNNNNNNNNNNNNNNNNNNNNNNNNNNNNNNNNNNNNNNNNNNNNNNNNNNNNNNNNNNNNNNNNNNNNNNNNNNNNNNNNNNNNNNNNNNNNNNNNNNNNNNNNNNNNNNNNNNNNNNNNNNNNNNNNNNNNNNNNNNNNNNNNNNNNNNNNNNNNNNNNNNNNNNNNNNNNNNNNNNNNNNNNNNNNNNNNNNNNNNNNNNNNNNNNNNNNNNNNNNNNNNNNNNNNNNNNNNNNNNNNNNNNNNNNNNNNNNNNNNNNNNNNNNNNNNNNNNNNNNNNNNNNNNNNNNNNNNNNNNNNNNNNNNNNNNNNNNNNNNNNNNNNNNNNNNNNNNNNNNNNNNNNNNNNNNNNNNNNNNNNNNNNNNNNNNNNNNNNNNNNNNNNNNNNNNNNNNNNNNNNNNNNNNNNNNNNNNNNNNNNNNNNNNNNNNNNNNNNNNNNNNNNNNNNNNNNNNNNNNNNNNNNNNNNNNNNNNNNNNNNNNNNNNNNNNNNNNNNNNNNNNNNNNNNNNNNNNNNNNNNNNNNNNNNNNNNNNNNNNNNNNNNNNNNNNNNNNNNNNNNNNNNNNNNNNNNNNNNNNNNNNNNNNNNNNNNNNNNNNNNNNNNNNNNNNNNNNNNNNNNNNNNNNNNNNNNNNNNNNNNNNNNNNNNNNNNNNNNNNNNNNNNNNNNNNNNNNNNNNNNNNNNNNNNNNNNNNNNNNNNNNNNNNNNNNNNNNNNNNNNNNNNNNNNNNNNNNNNNNNNNNNNNNNNNNNNNNNNNNNNNNNNNNNNNNNNNNNNNNNNNNNNNNNNNNNNNNNNNNNNNNNNNNNNNNNNNNNNNNNNNNNNNNNNNNNNNNNNNNNNNNNNNNNNNNNNNNNNNNNNNNNNNNNNNNNNNNNNNNNNNNNNNNNNNNNNNNNNNNNNNNNNNNNNNNNNNNNNNNNNNNNNNNNNNNNNNNNNNNNNNNNNNNNNNNNNNNNNNNNNNNNNNNNNNNNNNNNNNNNNNNNNNNNNNNNNNNNNNNNNNNNNNNNNNNNNNNNNNNNNNNNNNNNNNNNNNNNNNNNNNNNNNNNNNNNNNNNNNNNNNNNNNNNNNNNNNNNNNNNNNNNNNNNNNNNNNNNNNNNNNNNNNNNNNNNNNNNNNNNNNNNNNNNNNNNNNNNNNNNNNNNNNNNNNNNNNNNNNNNNNNNNNNNNNNNNNNNNNNNNNNNNNNNNNNNNNNNNNNNNNNNNNNNNNNNNNNNNNNNNNNNNNNNNNNNNNNNNNNNNNNNNNNNNNNNNNNNNNNNNNNNNNNNNNNNNNNNNNNNNNNNNNNNNNNNNNNNNNNNNNNNNNNNNNNNNNNNNNNNNNNNNNNNNNNNNNNNNNNNNNNNNNNNNNNNNNNNNNNNNNNNNNNNNNNNNNNNNNNNNNNNNNNNNNNNNNNNNNNNNNNNNNNNNNNNNNNNNNNNNNNNNNNNNNNNNNNNNNNNNNNNNNNNNNNNNNNNNNNNNNNNNNNNNNNNNNNNNNNNNNNNNNNNNNNNNNNNNNNNNNNNNNNNNNNNNNNNNNNNNNNNNNNNNNNNNNNNNNNNNNNNNNNNNNNNNNNNNNNNNNNNNNNNNNNNNNNNNNNNNNNNNNNNNNNNNNNNNNNNNNNNNNNNNNNNNNNNNNNNNNNNNNNNNNNNNNNNNNNNNNNNNNNNNNNNNNNNNNNNNNNNNNNNNNNNNNNNNNNNNNNNNNNNNNNNNNNNNNNNNNNNNNNNNNNNNNNNNNNNNNNNNNNNNNNNNNNNNNNNNNNNNNNNNNNNNNNNNNNNNNNNNNNNNNNNNNNNNNNNNNNNNNNNNNNNNNNNNNNNNNNNNNNNNNNNNNNNNNNNNNNNNNNNNNNNNNNNNNNNNNNNNNNNNNNNNNNNNNNNNNNNNNNNNNNNNNNNNNNNNNNNNNNNNNNNNNNNNNNNNNNNNNNNNNNNNNNNNNNNNNNNNNNNNNNNNNNNNNNNNNNNNNNNNNNNNNNNNNNNNNNNNNNNNNNNNNNNNNNNNNNNNNNNNNNNNNNNNNNNNNNNNNNNNNNNNNNNNNNNNNNNNNNNNNNNNNNNNNNNNNNNNNNNNNNNNNNNNNNNNNNNNNNNNNNNNNNNNNNNNNNNNNNNNNNNNNNNNNNNNNNNNNNNNNNNNNNNNNNNNNNNNNNNNNNNNNNNNNNNNNNNNNNNNNNNNNNNNNNNNNNNNNNNNNNNNNNNNNNNNNNNNNNNNNNNNNNNNNNNNNNNNNNNNNNNNNNNNNNNNNNNNNNNNNNNNNNNNNNNNNNNNNNNNNNNNNNNNNNNNNNNNNNNNNNNNNNNNNNNNNNNNNNNNNNNNNNNNNNNNNNNNNNNNNNNNNNNNNNNNNNNNNNNNNNNNNNNNNNNNNNNNNNNNNNNNNNNNNNNNNNNNNNNNNNNNNNNNNNNNNNNNNNNNNNNNNNNNNNNNNNNNNNNNNNNNNNNNNNNNNNNNNNNNNNNNNNNNNNNNNNNNNNNNNNNNNNNNNNNNNNNNNNNNNNNNNNNNNNNNNNNNNNNNNNNNNNNNNNNNNNNNNNNNNNNNNNNNNNNNNNNNNNNNNNUGAGCUUGAAUUGCAAAGGUAAUUUGAUCUAAUUGAUUGAUUAACUGAAAUUUGGGGAUUUUUCUCUUCAAAUUGUCUUGGAUGAUUACUACAAUGCAAGCUAGGUAGAUUCAUUAAAUUCUUAAUGCUAGAUUUAAUGAGAUUGAAUAGUUGCAUUGUGUGAAUCAUUGGAAGAUAAUUUAAGAUGAAUUGAAUAUAUGAUUUGAAUUGAUCUCUUGGAUUAGAUUACCUAAUUUGAAGAGAAAUUAGAUCUAGACCUAGAGCUAAAUCAAAAAUCAGUUUAGAUGAAAAUUUAGGUUUUCAAUCUAACUUGAUGAAAAUUAGAUCUCAACACCUAUUCACCAUGGAAAUUGCUCUCUAGAAAAUCCUAACUCCGAGAAUCUCCCCUCUUAUUCAUUUUCCUCUCAAUUUGAAUACAUUGUUAUUUUGGAAUUUUAUCAUGCAAUUUCAAGUCAAUUUCACUUUAUCACAAUCAUUUCUUAUCAUCUCAUCCAAGCCUUAAUCACCAAGAAUAAUCCAUCCUUGUGGACGAUACCUAAAAACCACUAUGCUACAGUAGUUUGUACUAAAACCACUUUUUGAUCGGGUACAAAUUGCUAUAGAAGAGUGAAUUAGGUUAUAAAUUUUGUUUUGAUCCAAUAAACGACAAAAUCUGAGCGAUCAGUAAUCUUGAGAAACCUUCAAGUGCCUACUCAUUGACACUUUUAGAUAAGUUUCCUAUUCCCAUUGGAUUAAAAGCCUCAGAUGAAAUCUUUUCCAACUCGUGGGUUAUAGAUUCAAAUGUCACAGAUUACAUAACUUAUUCAUCAUACCAAUUUAACAACUAUAACUCUUCUCCAAGCAACAGGAAAAUAGUCACAAUCAAUAGUUCAUUAGCCAUCGUCGCAGGCAUAGGAGAUAUCUAAGUUAGUCCUACGCUCGUACUUAGAAAUGUGCUUCAUUUUCCAAAGUUGUCCACUGAUCUUUUCUUUACAAAAACUUACACAAGAUUUGGGUUGCAAUGUGAUUUUCUACUCUACUCACUGUGUAUUUCAAGACCAACAUUUGGGGAAGAUGAUUGGAUUUGUUAAGGAACAUGUGGAAGAAUGUAAUUAGGAAAUAUUAUAGUUGUGUAUUUUUGUAAAUAAGGAGAUGAUUAGGGCAAUCUCGUAAUCAAGGGGAUUUGAUAGAUUAGGUUAGGAAAGUUUCCAUUUGUUGGUUUAGGAAUAUUUGUAUAAAUAUGUGGAAAUGUAUAGAUUGAAUUUUAAGAAGAAGAAAUUUAUUCUUUAACUUCCAAUUCUUUAGACUCUAUAGAAUGGAAUGGGUUAUGCCACCUUGAGACACUAAACAAAUCAUCCAUAUCUUUUUUUUUUUUUUUUUUUAGCACCAUCUUUUUAAAGAAAAAAAUUUGGUUUCAUCAUCAUAGGCUUGGAUAUCCGUUGUUUAGAACUCUUAAGAUCUUGUUGCCUUCUCUAUUUAGGAAAUUAGAUGUUGAGAUCUUUUACUGUGAGGUAUGUGAACUAGCCAAAUAGAAGUGUUCAACCUUUUCAAUCAAUAAUAAAAGAAGUUUAGAGCCUUUCCAUCUAAUUCAUAGUAAUAUUUGAGGUCUUUCCUUUGUCCCAAAUAUAUUUGGGGCACACUGGUUUGUCCUUUGUAGAUGGUUGUACUAAGGUCUCUUGAAUCUUUUUACUUAAUCACAAAUUUAAUGCAAGUUUUGUUCUCACAAAUUUCCAUAACAUGAUAAAAAACCAGUUUGGUGUCAUUAUCAAGAGGUUUUGGUCAAACAAUGCCAAAUAUUAUUUCAAUUAAGUCUUAACUCCAUACUUUCAUCAUGAAGGUAUAAUUCAUGAGUCAUUGUGUGUAAAUGCCUCACAACAAAGUGAAGUUGCUAAGAGGAAAAAUGAUCAUCUCUUUGAUACAAUACGAGCUCUUUUGUUCCAAAAACAUGUGCCUAAAUCUUCUUGGGGGAAGCCUUUCUAACACCAUACAUCUCAUAAACUGAUUACCUUCUAGAGUCUUAGGUUCAAAAGUCUCAUAGAAAAACUCUCAUCAUUUUAUCCUAAUAUGAGAACCACAAACCAUAUCAUUCCUAGGAUAUUUGGGUGUGUUCUUUGGACAUGUUCACACUCUAAAUAAGGGGAAAUUGGAUCUAAGAGUAGUCACUGAAUUUUUGUGGGAUAUUCGUUAACUCAAAAGGGGUAUAAGUGUUACCAUCCACCAUCCAUUUUUUUUUUCCUUAGUUGAUGUUACUUUUAAUGAAAGUGUAUCUUAUUUUCCCAUUCCUUGCCUUCAACGGGAGAAUUCGUUCGAGGAAGACAAGGAUCAUGAUUCCUAUUUCAUUGAUCUUUUUCUCAUUGACCCUAUCGACCCUCUUAAAGUGUCUGAUUCGAUAUCUAUAACUCUCAUUGAUUGUAUUGAUCCUCCUAAAAGUGUCCGAUCUAGUAUCUAUACCUUCCUUUGAACUCGAGUCAUCCAUUGAGCCUGCUCCUAAGAAUUGAAUGACUAGAAAAGUGUACUCAAGGAAGAAAGUUGCAAUUCCUCGGCUUAUACAAGUUCAAGAAUUUGAACCGACUUCUGGAAAUGAGGUAACAAUCUCUCAUCAUCCCUUACAAACUGAGUUAGAACUUCAAUUUGAAAAACCCAUAGACCAAAACCUCUCUAUUGUCAUUAGGAAGGGAAUGAGGGAAUGCACUAAACAUCCUUUGUAUCCACUUUCCCAUGUUGUGUCAUUCAAAAAGUUGUCUCCAUCUCAUAAAAGUUUUUUUUACAAGUUUGAGCAAUAUUCAUAUUCCUACAACUCUAUUUGAGGCUUUAUCUAAUGAAAAUUGGAGGCAAGCCAUGAAUAUAGAAAUGGAAGCCUUGAAGAAAAAUAAAACUUGGGAGUUGGUAGAUUUGUUUGUGGGAAAAAGAUUAGUGGGAUGUAAGUGGGUUUAUAUUGUUAAGUAUAGAGCAGAUGGGACAUUAGAGAGGUACAAGACGAGAUUGGUGGCUAAAGGAUAUGUUCAAACAUAUGACAUGGAUUAUCUAAAGACAUUUGCCACUGUUGCCAAGAUGAACACAUUCAGAAUUUUGUUAUCAUUGGCAACAAUUAUAACCGGGAUUUACAAUAGUUCAAUAUCAAAAAUGCAUUUCUAAAUGGAGAUCUAGAAGAAGAGAUUUAUAUGGAAGUCUUUUCUGGAUUUGGAAGUGAUCUAGCCACUAAAAAGGUGUGUAAAUUGAAGAAAACUCUAUAUGAGUUGAAACAAUCUCCAAGGGCAUGGUUUGGAAGGUUGCUAAAGUGGUAAAAAACAUGGGAUAUAGACAAAGUCAGGGAGAUUAUACGUUGUUCAUCAAACAUCUAGAUUGGGGGAGAGUUGCAACUCUUUUGAUGUAUGUGGAUGACAUCAUUGUGAUAGGAAAUGAUGAAAAUGAGAGAAAGACUUUGAGACAAUACUUGACCAAGGAGUUUGAGAUUAAAAGCGUUAGGAAGGUUGAAAUACUUCCUAGGAAUCGAAGUUGCACAUUUUAAGCGGAGAAUCUUUAUUUCUUAGCAACAAUAUGUAACAAACCGUCUAAAGGAAACAGGGAAGUUGGCGUGUAAACCAACAAGCACACCAAUAGAUCCUAAUCAUAAGUUUGGAGAGGUUGAGGAAGAUGUUGCGGUAGAUAGAUAGAUGUAUCAACGUUUGGUAGGAAGACUCAUUUAUCUCUCUUAUACAAGACUAGAUAUAACAUAUGUUGUGAGUGUGAUUAACCAAUUCAUGCAUAGUUUAAAAGAGGUUCAUUUGUAAACUGCUAGUUGAGUGCUACAAUACCUUAAGGGGGGUCUCUAGGAAAGGGAGUUGUAUUUAAAUGAAACUCGGGACUGAUACUUGAAGCAUGCAUAGAUGCAAAUUAUACUGGAUCUAUGGUUGAUAGAAGAUCAAACACUGGGUAUUUCACCUUUCUUGGUGUGAAUCUGGUAACAUGGAGAAGUAAGAAACUGAGUUUGGUGGCAAGGUCCAAUGUAGAAGCAGAGUUUUGAGCAAUGGCCCAAGGAGUUUGUGAACUACUAUGAUUGAAGAUUAUUUUGGAAGAUUUGAAGAAUACAUGGGAUAACCCAAUGAGACUUUAUUGCCAUAAUAAAUUUGCAAUCAGUAUUGCACAUAAUCCAGUGUAACAUGAUCAAACGAAGCACAUUGAGGUAGACAAACAUUUUAUUAAGGAGAAACUGGAUAGUGGGCUGAUUUGUACUCCUUAUGUAUCUAUUGACUGACAACUUGUAGAUAUACUUACCAAAGGUUUAAGUGGUACAACGUUUCAAGUAAGUGUAUCCAAGUUGGGAAUGCAAAACAUUUAUUCACUAGUUUGAGGGGGAGUCUGGAAGAAUGUAAUUAGGAAAAAUUAUAGUUGUAUAUUUUUAUAAUUAAGGAGAAGAUAUAAUCAAGGGGAUUUGAUAGAAUUAGGUUAGAAAAGUUUCUAUUUUUUAUAUUAGGAAUAUUUGUAUAAAUAUGUGGGAAGAUUAUAGCUGUAUAUUUUUAUAAUUAAGGAGAAGAUAUUAUCAAGGGGAUUUGAUAGAAUUAGGUUAGAAAAGUUUCUAUUUUUUAUAUUAGGAAUAUUUGUGUAAAUAUGUGGGAUGUACAAAUUGAAAUCAAGGAAGAAAUUUAUUCUCUUACCUUCGAAUUCUUCUUAGAUUCUAUAAAUAGGUAAAUGAGACAAAGAGCCUUUCAUCAAAGUAAGCCUCCCAAUUUUGAGUGAUAUUGCCUUUUCCAAAUAACAAGUCUUUUUUAUGAAAUCUCUCUUCCACCACAGUUCAAACUAUCAAUGAUAUAAAGGGGGCACUUGAAGGGAGACCUAAGUGGUAGGAAGUUGCACCACCUUGCAUCCAAGUGCAAAAACCAAACCUCUGUAUUAGCUACCUUUCCUAACAUAAUUAACUCACUUCUCUUGAUAUUGAUUUUUAGCCUAGAGAUAGCUUUCAUUGUCUUGAAUGAUUAAUUGAUGGAAAUAAGGAAUAACAAAAAAAUAUGUGGUCUAUAAACAUCUAGAUUUGACCAAUUUUUUCAUUAUUUUGAAUAGUUCAUCCAUUAGGAUGGUAGAUUGAAGAGAAUUUUGCCCAUAGGGUUAAAGUAAAUGCCUAAGUGGAUAACCACUUCUUGAGUGUUGUGCCAAGAUAUUCAUAAAAUGGUGUUGGGAUGACUGAGGGGGUGAUAUUUACUAGAUUGAUGCUUGUUUUUGGUAAAUAGAGUAAGGCUAUGUUUUUGGUUCCUAGAAAGUAUGAGGGAAACAAAAUAGAGAGGACAAAUAUAAGGAAAAAUUGUGAAUAAUUUUUCUCUUGUUUGGUUGUUCAUGGAAAAGUUGAGGGAAAGAAAAUUAAAUCGUUGAGGAAUGCACUUUACUCAAACUUUCCUCACCUUUUCUUUAAGGACAAUAUAGAGAAGAAUCUUUUACUUUUUUCUUUGCUUUUCCUUAAUAUUUUUUUUGUUAUCUUCUUUCAUGGUGUUCAAAUAUAAGAAAACUAUUUCCCGAGUUUUUGCACUUUUCUUGGCACUUUACAACAACCAAACUAACUUAAAUGUCUGUUGGUUUUCUACACCCUUCCACCCCUUUUAAUUGGUUUCCUCCUUCUCAGUAGCUUUUUAGCUGUGGGUAUAUUUAUCAUUAUUUCUUCUUUAUUCAAUUUCCAUUAAUCUUAGAGAUCCAAACAACUAUUUAAGGGAGUUCAAUGUAGAAUAUUUGGCAGUCAAGUACCAUGCAGUGAUUUUAAAGCGUCUAAUAUUCAAGAUAGGAAACUUUGGCUACAAAAUGUAAAGAUAUAUUUAAAGCUUUAAAUUGUUUGGUACACCUUUUAGGAGACUUGCUUGUCUAAUUUUUGGAGUUAUAUGAAGCUUGUGUAUAUCUCUAUAACACAUAUUUAUGGUGUAACAUUCCAUAUAUUGGGAAGCCUAAUGUUGAAUUAGAUGUCUCUCUCAUGCAUGUCACACUCAUUUUCAAGUCGAUCUGAAAGCUGUGCCAUCUGUACAGUACUCUAAAUUAGGCGUCUGUUUAAAAUUUCUAUACUUGGUUUAUGGAUAGGGCCUAAUGAUAUGCAGUCUAGCAUGGAUUAGUGGAUUCCAUAAAGAUUUAUUGAGGGUUGUAAGAAAUUUUUUUUUUGAAGUUAUUUUAUUUUAUGCAUGUGUGUGUGUGUUUAUAUGUUGUAUUUGCUUAUGUUGGAAUUAACUAAUGGUCUAUUUUUUAAAUGUUCUUCCAGAGCAAGAGUGCUCAGAUCGGCUGGCAAAGGCAUUAUCUGCAGAACAGGUAUUCAUACAUGUGGGUUAAAGUAUGCAUUCAACAAAGUAGUUCUAUUUUUGGUAAGAUCUAAGUACUUUUAUUUUCAAAUGUAAUCAGCAUAUGGAUAUAUCUUUAACAGUUUUAGGCAUCAAGAUAAGCAUUUAGUUGGUGCAUCUCUUGGCAUCUCAAUGCUUAACUAGCGUGAAUUAUGACUAUGAUACUCCUUAAAACCUUCCUCCUUGAGCCACAUAUUCUCAAACCUGAAAGGAGAAGGGCCUUUGCUCCACCCCCCCUCCAUGUAAAAGGACCCCUUAACAAGUGAAGAUCUCUUAGUUGAAGCUCGUCUAUGAUAUCUGAAAAUCUUCUCAUUGCUGCAGUCAGCCUCUGGUUGCCACCAGAAUGCUCCUAGGGGAAUCUAAUAACAUUGAAAUCACCCCCAAUACACUACAGGUCUUUCCAUAGUCCCCUUAUAGCCCCUAAUUCCGCCCAAAAAUCCUCUUUUGACACCUCUCUGUGUAAGGCCAUACACCCUAAUAAAAAAUAAAACUAAACCAUCAUCACAAUUCUUAAACCGGCAAGAAAUUGAGUAAACCUCAACCUCCAUACCCACUAACUCAAGAACUCUACUAUCCCAGGACACUACAAUCCCCCCAGAUGCCCCCUUCCCAUUGACCGCACCCCAUUCAAUGAAUCUCCCUGUCCCUAGACUUCUCACCAUUCUUAAGGACAUAUCUUGGAUUUUGGUCUUCUGAAUGCAAACCAAAUCUGCCUUGUGUGUUUUGAUGAAAGACUUCAACACCAUUCUUUUGUUAUUGUCAUUGGCCUCUCUUACAUUCUAAGACAAAAUUCUUAACUUCACGAGUCCCUUGCAGAAAUUGCCCCCCAAACAUUAACCCUACCACUCUCUGAGUUUGUGCCCUUAUAGCUCACCGACCAUUCCAGUUUCUUCAGCUCUCUUUUAGACUGUGAAGAUGCAAAUGUGCCUUUCUUUCUAUCACACUCAUGCCCAUUAAGACCCUUACAAGCCUUUAUUCGCUUUAGCAUCACCAUAAUCUCCUCCUCAUAGCCUUCAGUUGACAUUCCCAAAAAUCUACUAACGGUAGCUAACCUAUCAAAAAACUCCCUCUUCUCCCAUCCCUCAACCUCCUCACCUUCAAACCUGGGUUGUCUCUCCUCACUGUAAGUAAUAACUUCCUCUACCACAAUCUCCUUACCCUUAAAACCCAUGCAAUCCACUGAACUUCCAUCAACCAAUACCAUCUGAAGGGAUUCCGAGGCCAUGCUGACGUUACCCUCAACUUCCACUAAUUGCAAGCAGGAAGAUGACCCCUCCGCCCUUGAUCCCUUUUCAAUCCCACCCACCAAAGAAGGAAUAGAAGAAGAAUAGCGCCCCCGCCCCCCCCCCCCCCCCCCAAAGGACUUACCUUGGAAUCUAUCACCUUCUUUCAUCAAAGCUUUCUCGAUGGGCAAAUGACCGACCAACGACGUUGGAAAACCCAUACAACUUGAAAAUGCCCCCAACUGCCCUUGUCGCACCAUCCACCCCCACCAAAAGCCCUAUAAGGCUUCAAUUUCCCCAACUUAAGCAACUUAAGCUUUGAUGGCCUAUGGCCCAAAUUUAAAGAGCCUUCAUCGACCAGCCCACUUGCUUACACUAAAGGCUCAUUGGGCAAAUUUAAAGAACCUUCACCAAUCGGCCCACUAGGCGGGGUUUCAGGAAACAACUUGCUCAUAGGCACAAAACUCCCUUUAGUCAAAUCUAAGCCACCACAUCCCUUUGCCAUCCUUUCUUCCAAGUCAAUGAUGCCCCCUGCCUCCUCUACAAAACCUUUUUCAGACACCAUACCAUCAAUCCCACCUAAAUAAUCAGAGGUAGACACGUCCAAAACUCCCUUUUCCUUCCAUGGUCUCCUUUUCCCUACUCCCUCAUCAGCACAUGAAGUACCUUCUCUCCUCUCCCCUGCCACACUCUCUGUGCAAUAACACAUUGGCUCCACAUUGGAGAUCCAUGGAAGGAUUUCCCACCAGAGUUGAACAACAUACACUGUUAUACCUUCCACCACUUGCAGGGUUCUUGGUUUUUCUCUCCCAAUUGAUUGCACCAGCACACUAGCCCACUGCAAAUGUCGAAAACUAGCGGUGUCUUCAUCCACUGCCACAAAGCCUCCACACCCAUCACCAAUUUUUUUAAACAUCUCCCUGCUCCAGAGAUGAAGAGGGAGCCCCAUCACCCUUACGUAUACCUAUUUCGCUUACUUCUUCCAACAACAGCCCAUCUCUGGGCUCACCUUUGCAACAUUAACACCGAGUCCUAAGGUCUGAAGAGUUUCUGAUAACAGAUGGGAGAGAGCGAGAGAGAGGGUGAGAGAGAGAGAGAGGGCGUGAGGGAGAGUGAGAGCGUGUGCGACGGCGAAGAUGAUGAGAACGGCGAGGCGAGUCGAAAACGAAGCUUCACGGUGGAAUCCAAGACUUUCGAUCUUACCUUAGAUGAAAGAAAAGGAAAGCGUCAGUUUCUCAUUAUGGAGAAGAAGCGUGGGGUCUCGACAUGGGUUCGAUUAGGGCUGGAAAGCUUAGGGCUUUUCAAGGAGGGGCUAAUCCAUUGUAUAAGAGACGAAAAAGAAGGGAAAUGGGAAAAGGAGUGGAAUGACGGAGGCAAGCUAUACUCACUAUCGCGUGGUUUCAACAGAGCGGGAGGAUUUUUAAGGCUGGGGGUUGUGGAUCUGGAACGAAAAAGGUUCUGUAUAUUCUUACCGAGAGGUAGAAGGGACAAAAGGGGAUGGACGGCUAUGGCGGAGAUAAUACGUCAAAUGGAAGAGUUGGUUGGUAGAAGAACAGACUUGCAGGAAGUAAGGGCCGCCACAAAAUCUACACUGGCGAAAUCAUAUGCGGAAGCAGUCAUGAGAACAAGUUGGAAAGGCUCAAAUGCAAUCAAUGUAAAGGUCAAAAGGGAGGAGACUGUUGGAAAUUUACAGAAGCUGGAGCACUGCCUCGUUGCGAGCUGGAAGUCCAACACAAAGGAAGAAGAGGACUUGGAGAGGCUGGGAAGGCUUUGGGCGAAUUCUUGGGGCCUAAAAGGCAAGUUAGGGCUGGCUAAAUUGGAAAAAGGCAAGACAUUGUUGGAGUUUGAAGAUCUAAAAGAAGCACAUCGUGUGGUUUCAUCAGGGAGCAGAGUGAUGGGAGGAUUCCACUUAGGGCUGGAAUAUUGGAAUCCUAAGACGGGCUGUUGGAUAGAGGAGGAGAUAGAAAAUGAAGUUUGGGUCAAAAUUUUAGGCCUCCCAAUUUCGCUAUGGAACCCGAUGAUUCUAAAGAAAAUAGGGGAGGAAUGCGGGGGUUUUGUUGAAAUUGACGAGCGGACAAGGACGAUGGGGGAGAUUCAAUGGGCUAGGCUACUGGUCAAAACGAGAGGUGAUUUUAGACGGAGUGUAUUAGAAAUUGAGGUAGAGGAGGAGGUAUACACUCUGUCGCUGUGGUGGGAGAUCAGGCCGGUGGUGAGACAGAUAUUCUCUGAGGCGGAAAACAGAAGGAGAAACGAGGUUAGGGAUGACAUGUAUUCACGCGCGGAGAAGCGCAUGGGGAAGGAACUGGUAGGCGCAAGAACCGAGAAACUGAACCUGCCAGACGAUGGGAGGUUUCUGUAGGAGAAUGGGCCGGGUCUAGAGCCCGGGAACCAGAUCCAUGGCCCGGUGCCCCGGGAUUGGGCUUUCUCAGAUGGAAGAGUGGUUGGGUCAUCCUCACUUGGCCUAAUCAUGGGUCUUAAAGAGAUGGAGAAGGAUAUUGGGCUGGCUAAGAUCAAUGGGCCUUUGGGUUGAAAUUUAAAAGACAGGGUAAAGGAGGCUGGUGGUUCAGAGGCAGGCCCAUCGUCAAGAAGCCGGGCUGUUGAUCUGGGCUGCCACACUUUAGUUGAGGUGGAAGGCUUGGAAAGGGCUGGCCCAAUUGCUCCCCAAGAGAAGGCUGGAUUUUUGGGCCGUUUCAUCUCCAGAAAUGGACCCAUUUCAAAGGAGCCUUUGAUGAUCUAGGAACUAGAGGAGCUUAGAAGGGAACAAAUGGAAGCUGGCUUCUCAAUGACGGACCGAGCGCUUGAAGAGGAAGCUCAGAGGUAUGCUUUGAUUUCCCAUCCUAAAGGAAAAAGGGUUAUGGGGAUACCUCUUAUUCUUUCUUCUAAUUCUGAUCGGGCUCCAGAGGGGGAGUCUUUCGAUCAUCCAGGGGGAAUAGAGGAGGAAUCAUGGGGCGACAAGUCAACAUGGUUAACAGUUUGUGAGGGGAAUGUUGAGAAUGAGAAUGGGUCUUGGAAGUUGGGAGAGGCCAACAAAAACAGAGAUAAGGUUAGGGGUGAGGAGGGGAAUACUGGUGCCUCUGGAUCUCAAGAUACCGAAAAUGAGAAAGAGGAAAUAUGAGAGGAAUGUAGUUUGGCAAAAUUUAGCCAAUUUCUGGGAUUUUCCACAGAGGGGUUGGAAAAUGAGAUAUUGAAUUUUCUGAUUAAAAUCAGAAAGAGGCGGGAAAAGAUUCACAGCAAAGAGCUCUUGGAGAAGUCAAAGUUUGAAAAGGAAUUAAAGAGGCUGGAAUGUUCUGUUAAUUAUGAGGGGGGGAACAAGCAGAAAGGUCAUUCACAGGGCAAAGGGAAUCAAUUGAUAGUUGUCCAAUGAAGCUGAAGAUUAUAAGUUGGAAUGUGAGGAGAGCAAAUGACAGCUCUAAGAGGAAAAUUAUUAAGAACUAUAUAAGGGAUCAGAGGGUGGAUCUAAUUUGUAUUCAGGAAACCAAAAUUUAGGAGAUGUUGGAGGGUAUUGUGAGAAGUCUAGGCACGGGGAGAUUUAUAGAUUGGAGAGCCUUAAAUGUGGAGGGGGUUGCGGGUGGUAUUCUGAUCUGCUGGGACAAGAGGGUCCUGGAUAUUAUGGACUGGGAGGAGGGUCAAUUCAUACUGUCUUGAAGAUUCAAGAUUAUAGAAAAUGAGGCUUAUUGGGUGUUUACGGGAGUGUAUGGUCCAUUUACCAAAGUGGAAAGGGAGGGUAUGUGGGAAUAAUUUGGGGCGAUAAGAGGCCUUUGGGAUGACCCAUGGUGCCUUGGUGGGGAUUUCAAUAUCACUCUGUUUCAACAAGAAAGGAGCAGCCAGAGAAGAAUCAACUCAGCAAUGAGGAGAUUUGCAGAGAUUGUGGAUGACUUAUAGCUAGUGGACCUGCCUCUUCAGGGGGGAGAGUUCACCUGGAAUGGGGGCCUUAAUAAUCAGGCGUGGGCGAGACUAGACAGAUUUUUAGUUUCCCCUAGCUGGUUAGAUCAGUUUAGUGGAGUCAUUCAGAGUAGAUUGUCUCGGCCAAUUUCUGAUCACUUCCCAAUGUGUUAGAGGGAGGUGGAAUAAGAAGAGGUCCUAUUUCAUUUAGGUUCGAAAACAUGUGGCUUAAGGUUGAGGGGUUCAACGACAUUGUUAGAACCUGGUGGCAGGAAAUUGAAGUCAGGGGCAACGCUAGCUAUAGAUUGGCUGUUAAAAUGAAGGAAAUUAAAAAGAAGCUGAAAGUUUGGAACAAAGAGGUUUUCGGGAGGUUGGAAGUUAAUAAAGUUUCAGCCUUACAACAAGUAGACUUUUGGGAUCGGGUCGAAAGUGAGAGAAACUUGACUGUGGAGGAAGCUGAAUUAAAAAAAGAAGCAAAAGAAUCCUUUAAAAAAUGGGUCCUGUUGGAAGAAGCCCAUUGGAUACAACGCUCAAGGGAGAUUUGGUUAAGGGAGGGGGAUAGAAACACGGGUUUCUUUUAUAGAAUGGCAAGUGCUCAUCGAAGAAACAACGCUUUGGACAGAAUUAAGGUUAAUGGGGAGUGGCUAGUAGAGGAGCAGAAGGUGAGGGAAGAAGUUGUGAAUUCGUUUCAGCAGAUGCUUUCUGAAGAUAUGGAUUGGAAGGCGGAUAUUGGCAGAAUUCAGAUGGAUUGCAUUAGCCGGCAAGAAGCAGAGAGCUUGGAGAUCCCAUUUACAGAGAAUGAGAUUUACUCAGCAUUGAUGGAGAUGAAUGGGGAUAAAGCCCCUGGUCCGGAUGGUUUUACUAUAGCCUUUUGGCAAAAUGCAUGAGAUUUUACCAAAGAGGAGAUUCUGGAGAUGUUUAAAGAAUUUCAUGAGCAUAACUCUUUUGUUAGAAGUCUCAACAAUACUUUUCUGGUUUUGAUUCCUAAGAAAAGCGAGGCUGAGGACCUUGGAGACUUUAGACCUAUCAGUCUUUUGGGGGGGCUCUAUAAACUUUUGGCUAAAGUCUUGGCUAAUAGGCUCAAAAAAGUGAUUGGUAAGGUGGUCUCUAUUGCUUAGAAUGCCUUUGUAACGGGAAGACAAAUUCUGGAUGCGUCCUUAAUUGCUAAUGAGGUGAUAGAUUCGUGGCAGAAGAGAAAAGAGAAUGGCCUUAUUUGCAAAUUGGAUAUAGAAAAAGCUUAUGAUAGCAUCAAUUGGAAUUUCUUAAUGAAGGUCCUUCAAAAAAUGGGCUUUGGGACUAAGUGGGUGGGAUGGAUGUGAAGCUGCGUGUCUUCUGCUAAAUUCUCAGUUCUUGUUAAUGGAGUGCUAGCUGGUUUUUUCCCUCGCACUAAAGGGCUUCGUCAAGGGGAUCCUUUAUCCCCUUAUCUCUUUGUUAUGGGAAUGGAAGUACUGGACGUCCUUAUCAGGAGAACGGUGGAGGGGGGAUAUCUAUCAGGAUGCAUCAUUCGGGGUGGUAGUAGAACUUCUUUGAAUAUCUCCCACCUAUUUUUUGCUGAUGACACAAUAGUGUUCUGUGAGGCAAGUAAGGAGCAAGUUUCUCAUCUAAGCUGGAUUCUUUUUUGGUUUGAAGCGGCUUCAGGUCUUCGAAUUAAUCUAGCCAAAAGCGAAAUCAUCCAGUUGGAGAAGUGGAGGAGAUUCUUGAGCUGACAGUUGAGUUAGGAUGUAGGGUGGGGUCCUUGCCCUCUCACUACUUGGGACUCCCCCUAGGGGUUCCCAAUAGGGCUACUUCUAUGUGGGAUGGAGUGGAAGAGAGAGUUAAGAGGAGACUUGCGCUUUGGAAAAGACAGUACAUUUCCAAAGGGGGGAGGAUCACUCUUAUAAAAAGCACCUUGGCUAGCAUGCCAAUAUACCAAAUGUCUAUCUUCCGAAUGCCCAAGUCUGGUGCUAAAAGAGUGGAGAAAACUCAAAGAGAUUUCCUAUGGGGGGGAGGAAACUUGGAGGGGAAAGUUCAUCUAGUUAAAUGGGAUGUGGUCUGUACAGAAAAAAACAAGGGAGGGCUAGGCUUAAGGAAAAUAGCCAUUCUGAACAGAGCCUUGCUCAGCAAGUGGAUAUCAAGUGGAUUUGGUGCACUGACACAUCGUUGUCCCAUUGUUUCAAUGAUCUUUUUGUCCUCGCCGCGCAUAGGGACGCAACGAUUGAGGAGAUGUGGGACCAAGAUUCGGGUCAAGGAGAUUGGAACCUUGUCUUUGUGAGAGACUUUAAUGAUUGAGAGUUGGAUAUGGUUGGGGAUCUGCUCCACACCUUGAGGGGUCAUAGGCCUUCCCUGGAGGAAGAUUCAGUUAUGUGGAGGCAAGGAAGAAAUGGUCUUUUCAGGGUUAAGGAAGCUUACAGGCUGCUGGACAAGCCUAAUGCCACAGUUUUUCCUUCAAAGAGCAUAUGGGUGGAUAGGGUGCCAACUAAAGUUUGUUUUUUUGCUUGGGAGGCGACGUGGGGGAAGGCGCUCACUCUGGACAGACUCCAGAUAAGAGGGGUGCAACUCCCUAAUUGUUGCUUUCUCUGUGGUUGUGAAGAAGAGAAUGUAAAUCAUAUUCUUUUACACUGUAUAGUGACUAGAGCUCUAUGGGAUAUUAUUUUUGGGUUAGUAGAUGUUAAAUGGGUCUUCCCAGAAACUGUAAAGGAGGCAUUAACUUCCUGGAGGGGUCCAUUUGUAGGGAAGAAAAGGAAAAAGAUUUGGAAAUCCAUACCGUUGUGUAUUUUUUAGACGGUUUGGAAGGAGAGGAAUAGGUUAGCCUUUAGGGGGUGUGUGUUGAAUAUUCAGAAAUUAAAGAAUUCUUUUGUUUGUAACUUAUGGAACUGGGCCAAAGUGUAUUUAGGUGAGGAGUCUCUCUCCCUUAUAGGCUUUUUGGAGUGGAUAGCUUCCAUUUAAGGGGAGGUAGUUCUUUUGGUCCCUUUCUUCUUUUUGAGGCUGUAGCCAUCUUGUAUACUCCCUGUAUGCUUUGUGGCGUUUAGCCUUUUCUAAUGCAUAUCUUGUUUACUUAUCAAAAAAAAAAAAAAAAAACCAUUAACACCGAGUCCUAAAACCUUCAAGCCCCCCUCGAGAGAACUCUCUCAGCAUCAGAAACAAUCUCAAACUUAAACAACAAGAGGGCUCUUCCCAACUAGCAAAUCUUCACUCCCUCUUGCAAAGGCCAACUGAAUUGAAUCUAACCCUUUAAAGAGCUUAAACCUGGACAAAAAGAUAGUCCUUUUUCCCACCAUCCAACCAGACAACGCUUCAACUAAUCCUCUCUAUUGAACCUCUUCCGCCCCCACCUACAGCCAUAUUGCUUCACCAACUCUUCCAAUGACUAGUUAGUAGCCUUGGCGUAUGAAACAGUUGCCACCUUCUUCAAGACAUCCCCACUAUCCACGACACUAGGAAAUACUGACCCAAGAGUCAACCUUACCAAGCUAGAAAAGCCCACCCCUGAAGAAUGAAGCUUCUCAGCAAGCACAAACCACCCCCCGGGUAUCCCUAUUCCUUCAGGGAAGCACAAAGUAAAUCUCUUCCCCUCCACUGAUUUCACCAUAUAGAAAAUGAAUCUACCUGCCCUAUUAGAACGACACUCCAGCUUGAACUCUUUACCAUUUUCCACCUAAGACUUAGUGCACAACUUCCUUCCAUCAUCUCUGCAAUAGGCUUCCACUCCAGCUAACAAAUGCCCAAGGUUGGAAUCCCCAAACUUUAUCCAAGCAGAGAAGCAUUUACUUCUUUCACAGAUACUCCUACUAGCUUACCUUCCACCUCCUUGAAGCUAGAUAGUGGAUUAAUCCGUUCUCCUUGUAUUUUUUAAACUAUGGCUUAUAUCUGCUGUUGCAUAAUGUUCAUAGAUCUAUUUUAUAUGAUAUAACUUUGUUCUUUAUUUGUCAGGGAAAGAAUGAAAGUAUGCAGGGUCAAUUGGAGUUGUCCUCAAGGAGGCAAAAGUUACAAAAGACUAAUACCUCAGACAAGACACAUAUUUUUGCUUCUCUUGUGAGCUCAGAUACAUUUAAUGGCUUACAAAAUUCUCCAGGUAUGUGUUGCAUUUUGUGUUGUAAGAGCAUUUUUCCUUUUGCUUAAAAGUUGGUGGUUACUUCUGCUUCCCUCCCCCUUUUUUUUUUCCCUUUUAAUUUGGUAGUAAACUCUGAGCAGUUCUUUUGAGUUCUUCCCCAUGAUAAAAUAUUUCCAUUGGAGACUAGAGUAUGGUUUAAUUAGGUUGGGUUUCAAAUGGAGUGGAAACUUGGUUGAUGUAUGGGAUAUGUGAUCAAAUUUGAUAUUCAAUGGGAUGACUGGGGUUGGAGUAGUCUUGUGGAUUGUUUGACUAGAAAUGAUAUUAGGUUCAUUAAGGAUAGGAAGGAAUCAAUAACUGAAUUGUGGAAGUAUAUAUACUCUCUCAUAACUCUUUGGUUGCUAGUUAUCGAGGAGUUCUCCAGAAUUUUGUUUUUUCUUUAACGUAAUUUACAAGAUUGGAGUUUGGUCUGCCUCAUAGUUUAGGCAAGGGGUUCUCGAAAUGGUUGUGUUUUGAAGCGUAAUUUCAAUGGUCUUCCUUGGGCAAUUUGGAAUAGAUAUGUAUUAAUUGGACUCAUUCAAAGAUAAUAGUGUUGGGUUUCUCUGAUCUUUAAAGAGAUCCCUGAUGUGGGAUAGCAGUUGAGGUGGGAAUAGUUUCUAUAUUUGAGGGUCUUAAUAAAAGAGUUGAAUGUUACUGAUUUACUAGUGGAAGAGGAUUCAAUGGAGUUUCUCUUGGGUAACUAAUGGUUAUAGAGGGUCUUGAGAUAUAACCAUUGGAUGUGUGGGAUUGUGGACCCUGUAGAAGAUUGGGUUGCUCUUUCUUAUGGAAACCUAUAUUAGCUAAUCAGGAAGUUGCUAGGCUAACCAAGCCAAUACAGGAAUCCUUUGUCUUAUCAUUUUGUUUCAUAUGCCUUAAGUUUUGGUGCUUUGUUUUCUUAGGGAUGGGAAGUCAAAGGCUUCUUAUUAUGGGGACAAUGUUUUUCUCUUUUAUAUAUUAAUGCAUAUUUUCCCUUUUUAAAGGAUAUCGCAUCCUUCCUUUGUAUGCACAACAUGAUAUGAAGCAGGUUCUAAUUAAAAAGAUUAUUGAUCUAAACUAUUUUUAUUUUAUAUUUCCUUUUUGGUUGCAUGAGAACUUCACCACAAAUGAUUGAACAAGGCUUGCUCAAACAACCUCAUAUUACUCAAACAAACUUGGCUAUAGGAUAGUGAUCGAUUGAUUUUUUCAUCAUUUCUUGUAUCAAAACAAAAUUUAUAACCUAAUUUAACUAUGCUAAGGUAACUCCUACCCGAUCAAAAAAGGUUUUUAGCAAAAGUUACCAUAAUAUAGCGGUUUUAGGUGUUGUCCACUAGGAUGAUGAAUGUGUUUAGCAAUCAAGAAAGAAAGUGGGGUGAAUUGAGAUGAUAACGAUGAUGAAAAAAUGAGAUAGUGAAAAAUUAUAGAUGAAAAGUUGAAAACAAUCAAACUUUGAGAAAGAAAUUAAUAGAAAAAGAAACUCUUGUAGUUACAAUUUUCUAGAAAACAAACAAUAUGGUAAAUAGGAGUUGAGAUCUAUUUUUCAUCAAGUUAGAUUGAAAAUCUAAAUUCUCAUCUGGACCAAUUUUUAUUUAGAUUUAAGUCUAGAUUUAAUUUCUCUUCAAAUUAGGUGAUUUAAUCCAAAAGAUCAAUUUAAAUUAUAUAUUCAAUUCAUCUUAAAUCAUCUUCCAAUGAUUCACAUAAUGCAACUAUUCAAUCUCAUUAAAUCUAGAUUUAAGAAUUUAAUGAAUCCACCUAGCUUGCAUCGUAGUAGUCAUUCAAGACAAUUUAAAGAAAAAAAUCUCUAAAAUUCAAUUAAUCAAUCAAUUAGAUCAAAUUACCUUUUUGCAAUUAAAACUUAUUUCUCUAAUUCACCAUAGAUCUUGCCUUUAGAUCCUCCUUCCUCCAAGAAAAACGAGAUUUAGCCACUCAUGCUUAAAGAUUUGGUCUUACAAGACCUGUUUGGCUAGUGAGAAAAUGAGGGAAAAUGAAAGAAAAUAAAGAAUUGUGUUGAGAGAAAGAGUUUCUAGAAAAUUCCAAAAUUCAAAGUGUCAAAAAGGUUGUUUUAAUAAGAGUGUCCAAGUCCUAUUUAUAAGAAGAUUACAUAACUGGAUACUUGGCAUCAUCUAAGAAGUCUUCCAAAAUCUUCUAAAUUCAAAGAAAUCUAGAAAUUUAACAUUUUGCAUGAAAUUUGAACAUUUUGCACGAUUGCAACACUUUCACAUGAGAUAUUCCCAUUUCGCAUGGUCAUGCGAAAUUCUAUGGUGAGUCGUAGUAGCAUGUUUGAAACACUUUCUGGACCAUUUCGCAUGGCUAUGCGAAAUCAAUUCAAACAUCCUCCUUAGCCUACAACACAGUUUUUCUCCUCUAGUCCAAUUCGCACAGUCAUGUGAAAUUUUUGCAUGAUCAUGCGAAUUUGCAACAUAUGGUUUUUGAGCUCCUCUAUCAUUUCUUUCAUUUUCUUCUUUUGACUCCAAGUUAGCUACCUCCAAUCAGCCCAAAUGCUGAUCUAAACUAAUUGCAUUGCUUCUUCCUCAUCAUCCACAUUGUUCACCCUCUUCAAUUCGAUUCACCUCUUUUGUCACUCAAUGCAUCAAAAUCACAUCUUGAAAUGACUCCAAACCUCACAAAAAUCAUUAGUAACUCUUGUAAGGGCAACAACGUAUUAAUUGGGCAUUUUAGGCAUAAUUACUACUUAAAAAAUGUGAAAUGCAUGACAAUUGUUGUCUAUAAUAUGCUCUUUUUGAAUUUUAAUUAGUUAGUGAUUGAUGGAAGUAUCCAUGAUAAGGUUGCAUUUACAGAAUAUUAGUUUGUUUAUCUCAAACACUGAAGAUAGGCCAGGAGGUUUGGAUUAAAGACUAUGUUUAAAGGGUAUAUCUCAGUAAUUUUGUUGCCUAUUCACUAAUGCGAAGUUAAAUCCUAGUGCCUAACUUUUAAAAUUUAACCUAGCUCGAAGAUGGAUCCUAUUAGCUCCCUGAUUAUAACCAUAGUCAAAUGCAACCAAAUUUUUGUGUAGUUUUUCAAGGAAUUAUUACAUUGUGGUGAAUUUUUAUUCUUUAUGGGUCAAUAUGAUCUUAUUUUUGUUUAAAUCAAAAUGUUUCUUGUUCAUCUAAAACACCUUUUGCCUAUUUUUUAGGAGGAAGUUUAAGUUAUGCUUAACAAUAUUAUUGCUUGCGUUUUUAUGUUAUUAGUUCCCGAAUGCUGUUAUUUCCUUUGCAUACAUGGCUUUGGGGCUUUAAGUUGUUUGGUACCUGUGUUAGUAGUUGACAUUUUUAUGGAAAAUUUGAGAAGAAAAUCUCAUUCAUUCUUGAAUACAAUACACAUCAGAUUAUUUACAAAAGGAUAAGCCAUAAGAGUGUUAUAGAAAAUUGAAACUACCUUAAAUCAAAUCCCUAAAAAUUAGUAGACUAAAUCUCUGUAAAUCAAGGAUUAAAUCCCUAUGAAUCAGGGAUUACAUUAUGUGGAAGUAUGAAAUCAGAAGGUCAUAGUUGUAUAGUAGUGUAAUUGGGAAGUGAAUUAGGAUAAUACUGUAAUCAAAGGGAUUUUGUGUAAUUAGGGUUAAAAAGGUUACUAAUUUUGGUGUUAGGAAUAUGUGUAUAUAUAUGACUCUUUAUACUGAUUAUAAGAGAAUUAGAAAAAGGAAUUCCAUACCCUUUUAUUCCUUCAAAUAUCUCUUUUACAUGGUAUUAGAGCUUUAGGCUCUUAAAUUUGGGAAAAGAAAAAAAAAAGAAAUUUUUUUUUUCAGCCUUCAUUGUUGAUCUUAGAGUUUCCUCUUGUCUAAGUUGAGCCAUCACAACAAAUCAGAUUAUGAAUGCAGGACCAAAGCUGUCAUUGUCGUCACGUCGUAGUCAUCAUGCCUUUGCACCACUGACAUCCUUGCAAACUCAUCACGAAACAUAGAUCGCACCCUUAACUUCGCACUAGUGACCUUAGCAACAACUGUCAUUGUCACAUUAUAGAUCAGAGAUUGCAUCAUUGCUCUUUGCCUUGCAGUCGCUCCUCAUAAAAUGUCUCAUCUUCAUGCCGUAGUCAUCUCCACCCUGCAUUGCCAUCAUGUCAUCUUCACCCUUGUAACAAUCACUACAGGUACAAAUCAAAAAGUCAUUGUAAAGCAGCCGAAGAUCGAUGUCGUUCUACAUUGUCGAUACAAUUGGAGAUUGAGACCUUUACUUGCUGUCCAGAAGAGUUAUAACACGACUCAACGUGUUAUUUAAACCCUUAGCUUCCUUUUUAUAUCUCUAAAAGAAAAAGUUUUAAAAAGUUUGUUUUUAUUUCUAAAAAAGAAAAAAAAAAUGUUUGAGAUUUUAGAAACUAUCGUUGUCAUUGCUCAAUCUGAAGGAGUGAUUAUUAGUCACAACAAAGAGAAUUGCAGAAUAUUCAAGCAGCAUACAGGUUUAAUGGGAAGAAUUAUUUAAAAUGGUUGUUGCUUGUUCAUACCUUUCUGAAAGGAAAAGGGAAAUUAAGUCGUCUCCUAGGAAUGGGACCAAGGAGAGGAGACUCUCGGUUUGAUGCUUGGGAUGAGCAAGACUCACUGAUUAUGGCACGGUUGUGGAAUUCAAUGACGCCUGAAAUUAGUGACACUUAUAUGUUCUUGACAACUAUUAAAGGCAUCUAGGAUGCAGUUCACUAAACAUACUCAAAGGCACUAGAUGUAACACAAUGUACGAAAUUAAAGUCAAGAUCGGAGCAAUGAAAUAGGGAAACAAAACAGUCAUGGAGUAUUACAAUAUGUUGAAAAACCUAUGGCAAGAACUUGAUCACUAUCGAUGCAUUGAGACAAAAUGUCCUAAGGAUGUAGCAAUCUUGAAAAAUUAUGUUAAAAAAGAGUCUAUGAUUUCUUAGUUGGUCUCAAUGCUGAGUUUGAUCAAGUUCGAGUUCAAAUACUUAGCAAAGAGCUUUCAACUUUGAAUGAGACUAUCUCUAUUAUCCGAGCAGAUGAAAGAAGGAGAAGUGUCAUGCUUGAACCUCAGAAUAUGGAAGGCUUGACUAUGGUUGCUAACAAAGGUAGUGAUCAGAAGGUUAGCACCACUAAUAACAAACGGAGUGAUUGGUUAAGGGCUUCAAACCGUGAUAAUAGGGAUAAGUUAUGGUGCACUUAUUGUCAGAAGCCUCGAUAUACAUGGGAAAAAUGUUGGAAACUUAAUGGUAAGCCAACCAUAUCUAGUAAAGAGUGGGGUUGCAAUGGAGGGAAAUAGAGGGAUAAUGGGCAAACAAGCUUGUCUUUUGUUCAGCCAGUUGAAGAAAAAUCCUAGGAAUAAGGUGGAUUCAAUCAAGAGGAGAUUGAAAAAGUAAGAGCUUUGUUGGAAACUCUUGUGAAACCUUCAAGUACCUGCUUAUUGGCGCAUUCAAGUAAGUUUCUUAUUGGAUUAAGAGUCUUGGAUGAAACCUUUUUCAAUUCAUGGGCUAUAGAUUUAGUUGCCACAUAUCACAUGACCCAUUCAUCACACGAAUUUAAAAACUAUUAUUCAAGUAGUAGGAAAAUAACCAUAACACAUGGAUCAUUAACCACGAUCGCAAGUGUAUGAGAUGUUCAAAUUAGGCCUAUACUCACACUCAGAAAUGUGCUCAAUGUUUCAAAGUUGUCCAACAAUCUUACUUCUAUACAGAAGCUUACACAAGAUUUGGGUUCUCUUGUGACCUUUUUCCCUACUUAUGGUGUAUUUUAGGACCAGGGCUUGGGGAAGAUGAUUGGACUUGCUAAGGAAUGAAACGGGUUGUACUACCUUGAGACACCAAGCGAGUCAUCCAUAUCUUUUCUUUUUGAGCACCACCUUUUAAAUAACAAAAAAAAAAUUAGCUUCAUCAUUGUAAGCUUGGACAUUCGUCAUUAAGAACUCUUAAGAUCUUGUUUCCUUCUCUAUUUAGUAAAUUAGAUGUUGAGAGCUUCCAUUAUGAUGUAUGUGAACUUGCCAAACACAAAUGUUCAACCUUUCCCAUCAAUAAUAAAGAAGUUUAGAACCUUUUCCUCUAAUUCAUAGUGAUAUUUAGGGGCCUUCCUUUGUCCUUAAUAUAUUUGGGGUGCAUUGAUUUGUGUCUUUCAUCGAUGAUUAUGCUAGGGUCUUUUGGAUUUUCUUACUUAAACACAAAUCUGAUGUGAGUCUUGUUCUUCCAAAUUUUUAUAACAUGAUAAAAAAAAAUCAGUUUGGUGUCACUAUCAAGAGGUUUCGGUCCAAUAAUAUUAGAGAUUAUUUCAAUCAAGUCCUAACUUUAUACUUUCAACAUGAGAGACUAAUUCAUGGGUCAUUAUGUGUUAACACUCCUCAACAAAAUAGAGUUGCUGAGAGAAAAAAUGGCUGCCUCCUUGAUACAACACAAGCUUUUUUGUUCCGAAAACAUGUGCCUAAAUCUUAUUAGGGAGAAGUUAUCUUCAUCGUCACCUAUCUCAUAAAUUGAUUACCUUCCAGAGUCUUAGGUUUCAAUUCUCAUUGCCACAUAUCUCAUAAAUCGAUUACCUUUCAAAGUCCUAGGUUUCAAAAGUCCUAUGGAAAUACUCUCAUCAUUCUAUCCUAAUGUGAGAACCACAAACCAUCUCAUUCCUAAGAUAUUUGAUCGUGUAUCCUUAGUGCAUGUUCACAAUCCAAACAGGGGAAAAUUGGACCUAAGAGCAGUCAAGUGUAUUUUUGUGGGAUAUUCCUCAACUCAAAAGGGCUAUAAUUGUUGCCAUCCAUUAUCCAAAAUUUUUUGUCUCAGUGGAUGUUACGUUCAAUGAAAGUGAGUCUUAUUUUCCUGCUCCUUAUCUUCAGGGGGAGAAUUCCAUUGAGAAAGACAAGGAUCGGGAUUCCUAUUUCAUUGAUCCCUUUCUCAUUGACCUUCUAAAGUCUCUAGUCCAAUAUUUGUACCCAUUGAGCUUGUCUUUGAACCUGAGUCACCAUCCAUUGAGCCUGCUCCUAAGAAUCGAAUGAUUGGCAAAGUGUACUCAAGGAAGAAAGUUGUAGUCCCUAGACUUAGACAAGUCCAAGAAUCUAAACUAGCUUAUGGAAAUGAAGUAAAAAAUUUUCAUCCUCCUUUACAAAUCGAGACAUUACAAAUUGAGUUUGAGUUAGAAUUUCUUAUUGCCAUCAAGAAGGGAACCAGGGAAUGCACUAAACGUCCUUUGUAUCCACUUUCCCAUGUUUUGUCAUUUAAAAAGGUGUCUCAAUCCUAUAAGAGUUUUCUUGCAAGUUUGAACAGUAUUCAUAUUUCUACCACUUUAUCUGUACAAUUGUAUUACACUAACUAUACAAGGGAAAUGUACUAAGUGUACAAAGGUGUACAAGGCUACCAUUUGUGAAAUAUUAUAAUCGAUUAUGAGUCAUUCCUUUAUUUUUUUUAUCACUCACGAAUUGUACACAUAUGUCAUGCACUUUAUUUAAUUCCCGCAUGGAAAUUCCAAUAUUUUUCCUAAUAAUAAUAGUUGGAGAAAAAAAAAUUUGACCUUAAAUCAUCUACCAUCUUCUCAAGUAAAUCAUUGGAAAUAUGGUUAAACACUCCUACGUGGAUACAUAACUUAGGAGGGAUAUAAAAUUUGUAUCAUUGUACAAGGGUAUUAUACUAACGGAAAAUGUACUAAUUGUACAAAGGUGUACAAGAUUACUCUUUGUGAAUUAUUUUAAUCAAUUUUAAACCACUUUUUUAUUUUCUUGUCACCCAAGGAUUGUAUGCCUAUAUCAUGCAUUUUAUUUAACUCUCACAUAAAAAUUCUAAUAUUUUCCCUAAUAAUGAUAUUUGGGGAAAAAAAAGUUGAUCCUAAGUCAUCCAUCAUCUUCUUAACCAAACCAUUGAAAAUAUUAUUAAUACAUCUACAUGAACAUAUAACUUAUGAAAAAUAUGAAAUUUGUGUCAUUGUACAAGGGUAUUACACUAAUUGUACAAGGGAAAUGUGCUAAGUGUACAAGGGUGUACAAGGCUCCUAAUAGGUUUUAUACAAUUUUUAAAUAACUUGAAUUUGACAUUAAGACGAUUAUUGAUAGUUUUUUUUUCUUUUUUUUUACCAAACUAUGUCAUUAAGACAUUCCCUACAAAAAUUAACACAUAGGAAAUAAAAUUAAAAUCAAUCAUGUUAGAAUUGUUCAUUAUAAGUAAACUAAAUGAAAUAUAUAUAUUUACUAUUUUGCCUUUAUAAACAUAAUUUCAUUGUUAUCAAUAGAGAUUAAAAAAAUCAUAUUUAAAUGGAAUUAUAAAUAAAUAAAAAUUAUUUUUAUAACAUUUUUAUUUUUUUAAAUCAUUAAUUUAAAUUAUAAAAUUAGUUUUAAAAUUAAAAAUAUUUGUUGUAAUUAUAGUUUUGAAGAUUUCAUGAUUUUUAUCAUAUUACUUUGAUAAAAUUGCUUUAAUAAGAAAGUAUUUAUUUAAUGGUUUUAAAUAUUUAAAUCUUUAUUAAAAAAUAUUUAUGAUUAGUGUGGAGAGCAAUUAGGUAAUUUUGGAAUAGAGAAAUUUUGAAUAUUUUUGAAGACUUUAAUUCGGCCAAUUACCCUAUUUAUACUUUCAAAAUUAUUGGAAGGUUGGUAAAUUAGUCUUAAAAAUAUUGUCUUCUUGAUUAAUAUUAUAUAUAUGCAUGUGAGUGUUUACAUAAUUUUUGAAAAAAUAAUAAACACCAUGUGUCUAAUUUGCAAGUUAGAAAAAAAAAUUAAUAAUAUUUUAUGAGGUAUUUAAAAAGUAUUUAUUAUAUGUUCUAUAAAUUUAAAAAAAUAUAAUAUUUGAUGAUAUCUAAUUUACAAGUUGGAGUAAACAAAUAAUACAAAUAUUUUAUGAAGUGUUUAAAAAUUAUUUAAUAUAUAUGAGAAAUAAUAUAAGUUUAAAAUAAAGAAUGAUAUUUACUAUGUAAGUUUUCAAUAUAUUUAAAAAAUAUUUAUUAUAUAUUAUGUAAGUUUGAAAAAAAAAAUAUAUUUGAUGAGGUAUUUAAAAGUUAUUCACUUCAAAAAUAUAUUUGAUAAUAAUAAUUUUUAACCAUCUUUCAUAUUUGAGAAAGAAAAAUAAUUCAAGUUGGUUCCACUAUUAAAUAAGUGAGAGAAGGGCAAAAGAGUCAAAUAGAGAAUGAGAAAGGUGAGGUGAGUGGUUACUUUUUUCAUUUAAUAGUCAAUGGCGUUUUAGGGAUUUUUUAAAGACAAUAUCCUUACUCUCAAUUUCCACUUUUUCAUUGGGUAUUGGGCUUAAAUAUGAAACUUAUAUGGACCAUAUAUUAAUUUUUGGGCCCAGCUGGGCCCAAAACACAAUUUUCCCUACAAAUAUUGCCAAUUAAUGUUUAAUAUUAAAGCAGAUAUGGAUAAUGAAAAGCAAAAUAUUUGACCCUAUAAAAUUUUGUAGAAGUAAAUCCAAAUAAAAUUUUUGUAGUUGAAAGUUCAAUUUAAACCCCUAGAUAUAAAGAAUAUAAUUAAAUACUUGAGAUCUCUUCCAUUACCACUCAUAAUUUUGAUAACUAUUUCAACAGAAUAUCCCAACCCUACCUCGUUUAUCCCCUCUCGUUGAACCUCUUUUUUAAAAAAAAAUUAAAUUUCUAAAAAUUAUUUAAAUUUUUUUAAUUACAUUAAAAUAAAUAUAUUUUAUAAAUAAUUAAAUUUUAUAUAUUUUUAUAACUUAUUUUACUGAUAAGUAUAUUAUUAUUAUCUAUGUAUUAAAGAUAAGAAAAUAAAAAUUAAAUUAAAUUAUUUUUAUAUAUAAUCAGAGUGGGAUAAGACAAUACCCAAGCUUGUCUCAUCCAGGGUUUUAAAAAAAAAAAAAAAAAUUCAAACUCAUCUUAGACUUGUUUAUUUAAAUUUCAAACACAUCCUAUUAGGGACAAGGUAGGUGGGAUAGGUAUCCGAAAAAACUUGCUCUAUUGUCAUCCCUAUUCGUAAUUUAAAUGUUUGUUAGUUACACUAAGAACGAUGUUCAGAUCUCCUUUAAUAUAUGAUUUUAUUUUGUAAUAAUAAUUAUACAAAUCUUAUCAAUAAAUUUUAGUUACACAUGUAAUCUGUAGUAUAUUUUGUGGCUAAAAAUAAAUGCUUGCGGACCUAUAGCUACAAACUUGCCAUAAAUAAUAUUUUGAGGAAAAAAAUCUUUUACCAAAAAAUAGUCUCUUUUAACCACAAAUUAACUUAUGGCAAAACCCUAUCUUUGUUAUAAUGUUUUAAAUCACUUAUUUAUUUAUUUAUUUAUUAUAUUCAAAACAAGAGAGGUAUUUGAUGAAAUUUCAAACUCAUAAUGACUAAAUAUAUGUAAUCUAAAGGUGAGCGAAAUUUAACCUAAAAAGGUAAAAUAGCUACAUAAUAUUCAAAAUAAUCGAUCAAGUGUAUAAAUCAUAAAAUAUAUAUACAAAUAUUGAUUUAGACAUAUCUAAGGUUAUAGCUUGACAAAUAAUCAUAGUUGAUAAGAAAUUGGAAUCCUAAUAUUGAAAGCAUCAUAUCAAGGCACCUAGAAGCUACCUUGAUAUCAGGUCCAUCCUGAACUCAGAAUCAGAAAACAUCGUUUAGAAAAGAAUAAUCAUGUCACAAUGCCUUUAUGCAUGUGUAGUAAAAUUUCCAAAUAAUGCUCACAUUUCAAAACUAUGUGUCUUGCAUGUACUUGGUUCCAUUGCUUUUAGCUAUUAUAUUGAUAUUUCGAUGUCAUAGGGAUUAGUAUUAGUUGUACAUCAAAAUUAAUGUUACAUUGCUUGAAACAUUGAAAAUUUGAUAUUAUAAUGCCAAUAUCAAACUAUUAUCACAUCUCAAUUAAACUACAGUAUCCAAAUUUUGAUAUUGCAAAGCUAGUAUCAAUUGCAAUAUUGAAAAUUUCGAUAUUGUAAAGGCAUAUAUCAAUUUUAUAUAUCAAAAUUAGUUUCCAUGAUUUUGCUGUUGUAUUGGGAUUUUCAAUAUCAAUUCUUGUGAUAUCAAUUUUGAUUGUUCCAUGCCUUUUUUUUUUUUUUUGCCACUUCUCUCUUUUUCUUUUAAUCUAGAGAGGGUAUGUCUUUACACUUGUCAUUGAGAAAAAAUUUUGGAGUAAAAUUUAAUCCCAACCCUAGGUUGAACUUAGUUGUUGUUAAUUAAACCACGUACACACGAAUAAAAAAUAAAGUAGAAUUAGAUAUUUUAACGUGGUUUGACAAUCAAUAUGUGAUUCUUACGUCCUCAGAUUGGAUCAACACUUAAGAAAUACUAAUUAAACAAAAGAGAAUGAGUAAAAUGGUGAAACUCUCACACUACUCUUAAUUAUGGCCACACACUCUAAAAAAAAACCAUAAAUCAUAAAGGGUUAAUUAUAUAAUGGGGGUAAACUCACCAUUCAUCAAACUUAUCUAUUCCUAUGAGCUCAGUAGGGAGCUUAACCCUCGAAAUCCCUUACGAAACACAACAAAACUGAUUUAGAUUUCAUAAUCCAACAAUCUCCCAUUUGAAAAUUAAAACACAAGUAAAUAUUCUCUUUUAAUGAUUAAUGAGUGUGGUUCACUCAAAUAAACCUGCCCUUAUCCUUGCUUAACCUAUUGAAGUUGCACAUCAGCUCUAGUUUUUUCUAUUAUCACUACUUUGGUCAAGAUAUUAGUUAGAUUCUUACUACCUUGUAUCUUUACAAGUGUUAUCACCCAUCUUCAAGCAAAGACAUGAUGAAGUGAUAACGAAGUGCUAUAUAUUUAGUCCUUGAAUGAAAUGUUGAAUUCUUAGUUAGAUUAUUGCUCUUUGGCUAUCACUAUGCAAAACAUUCAUCACCCAUUUAAAUCCCAACUCUACUAACAAACUCUAUAACCAAAUCAUCUCUUUGGUAGCUUUUGUCAUUAACAUACUUUGCUUCAAUUGUAUAUAAAGCAAUAAUCUUUUGCAAUUGAGAAAUCCAACUAAUAGUAAUAGUACCCAAAGUGAACACAUACCUUGUAGUGCUCCUCCUAUGAUUUGUCUCGUUAGCAAAAUCAACAUCUACAUAUCCUUGCAAUUUUGACUCGUCCCUUCUAAAGUAUAAACACUUUUUUAUAGCAUCUUGUAGGUACCUAAGUAUCCAUUUCACUGGUUUUUAAUGCUAUUUGCCUAGAUUUGACAUAAAUGAUAUAUUAAAAAAUUAGUAUAUUUUAGGUCUACUAUAUUUUUUUUUAAAAAAAACUAAUCACAAAAUUUAGUUAAAAAGGAAGGUGUUGAAAACUAAUUGGACAUUAGAAAAGUUGAAAUUAGGUUGAAGUGUAACAUUUGAAUUCUUACAUGUCUGCUUUUGACAGAAUUGAAAUAAAAUUUUUAUAAUUUAAUAUAAUGACAUUAAUUUAUAGAAUUUAAUAUAAAUGUAUAUUUUAAAAAGCUUUUAGAGUGGACUAAAUAUUUAAUAUCAAAAGCAAAAUAUUUCACGAUAUAAAAUUCUGAAGAUGUAAUAAAUUCAAAUAAAAUUUUUGUAGUUGAAGGUUCAAUUCAAACCCCAGGAUAUAAAGGAUAUAGUUGAAGGUCCAUUAUCACUCAUAAUUCCGAUAGCAUUUUCAACAUAAUAUUAUCUCAAAUAAAUUCUCUAUUAACAUUCAUAAUUGAAAUGUUUGUUAAUUACACUAAUUACGAUGUUUGAAUCUCCUUUAGUAGAUAAUUUUAUUUUAUAAUAAUAAUUAUACAAAUUUUAUCAAUAAGUUUUAGUUAAUCUGAAUAAAGUUUUGACCAUUUAAACUUGGAAGCUAAGAAGCAAAUGAGCUCUGAUACGUCUUGUCAUUGCAUUAUUGAGGUCCAUCCUAGGACAGAAGCCAUUAGUGAGCUGUGUUCACAAGUUUAUGUACGAAUCACAACAAUAUUGUCCAUGAAAAUAAAGGCUAGGCCAUGGAGGCUUUGGAUCAAAGCUGAAAUGUUUCAACUUGAACACAAUAAUUCAACCACCAUUUAAUAUCUAAUACUUUAUCUGUCCAUUUUUAGAACUUUGGAUCGAAAAGCAAGUAGGGGGUUGCAACCACAUGAAAAUUCUUUGCCUUUGAUGGUAACAUUUGAUUCUUCCAUUCUCCUAACUUUUCACAAAAACGAAAAGUUGCAGUUUGUAUAACAAUUAUUUAGGUUUAUUAUUAAAAAAAUGUCAUAUUUAACUUUGUUUAUGGAAUUGUAAUAUUUCAUCUACCCACUUCUAGUGAAUGAUGAAAGGUUAAAAUUAUACUCAUAUUCACUAAUAUUUUAGCAAAUAUAGUCAUUCUAGAUUUUUGCUAUUGCUAUAUUACUUCUUAAGGAUAAUUUUGUUGGAUUGUAAAGUCUAAAUCAGUCUUGUAAUGUUAUAAUGAGAAAUUUAGGGGUCAAACUUUCCAAUCAACUUUUGGGGUUGAAGGGAGAGCGUUCUCUUAAGAUAAUUUUCUUUUAUUUAUUAAAUGAAAAGUUUGUUUCUGUUGUAUUUUAUCCUCUUAUAACUUAGAAAAAUUGUGUCGUCACAAUUGAGAUGAGAAAGAAAACCUUCACCAUUAUAACCCUUUUAUCUUUGUUUGGUUAGUGGAUUUUUAAAUAUUGGUGCCCUCCAUGGAUGUAAGGAUAAAAUUGGUAGUUGAAUCAUGUUAGAAUCUUUAUCUUUUAUCUUUACUUCUGCCCAUGUACGCGACUAUGUCAAUAAAUCCAUUAUCUCUUUGUGAAAACUUAAAAAAUUUAAAAUAUAAAAUUCAAGAAAUGGUCUAUAGACAAAUAGUCAUUCAAGUGGCGAAGAUGAUGUUAUAUUACAUUUGGUUGGCAAGAUAGGAUAGGAUAGGAUAUGUAUAUCUCAAAAUAUCAUAAUCUUAUUAGGUGUGAUAUUCUGAAGUAGCAUAUCCAAUGAGAUAUGUUAUAUUAUGUUUAUAUUUAGUUUGAAAAAUAAAUAAAACAAAUAUAUAUUACUUUUUAAUAUUUAUGUUAUAUUCCAUUAUAAUAUUUUCUAUUUAAAAAAAAGAAGAAAUUCUCUUUCAUUUAACAAUAUUCAUAAUUAAAAUAUUUAAACUUUAUAAAAUAAUUUUUUAUAUUAUAUAAUUCAAUAUAUAAAAAUAAAUGAUAUAUAUAUAUAUAUAUUAAAUAAUAAACAUAUUAAUAUUAUUUUACAAUAUAUUUUAUAAAUAUUUUUAAUUCUUUUUAACCAUAAAUUUAAUUUUAUAAUAAAAAAUUUUAUUUUGCAAGAUAAGUAAUAUAGAAAAAUAAAAAAUUGAUAAAAAGAAUAAGAGUGUGUUUGACAAUGAUUUUAGGAAACGUUUUUAACCUUUUUAACACUCGAACGAUAAAAAAUUUUAAGUGCUAGAAAGAUUAGAAACGCUUCCUAAAAUCACUACCAAACAGACUAUAAAUAUAUAAUACAUGAAAUAAGUAUAUUCUACAUCUUGGUUUAGGAUUAACAUAUUAUAUAUAGAAAAGAUAUAAAAAUGAUGGUAGAUAAUAUAUCUCGACACUUAUCCUAUUUCAUAUUUGGUUGAAGAUAAGACAAGAUAAAUGGUGAGAUAACUUAUCUUAUUUCAUCACCCACAACAUAUGGGAUGUGAUUUGUUAUAUACCCUUUCUUUUGUCCUAUCUCAUGCUAUAUCCAGCCAACUGAACAUAUGUUUAGAGUUUUUAAUUUGUAUAUAUUAAUUGUCGAAGCAAUUGACCCACAAUUCUCUAUAAAUAAAUAAAUAAAAAAUAAAAGAAAGAAAAGGGCUUCAAAGUAUGAAAAAUCAUAAUAAAUAAUUGAGAAAAAGUAGAAAACUUUUAACCCAUCCUCUGUCCAUCAAAAUCUCAAAGAACAAAGAUUGUGAUUUGCCUUUUUUGGAGACAUGUAAGGUGUUUCGAAUUGCAAGCUUCUGAAUUGAGUCCAAAGUUGCAUUACCAAGUUCCUUAGGAAGAGUGUGCAUCUUAAAUUUUGAACUCUUUGCUUCUUUGUAUAUGAGUUAGGCUCAAUAAAAAUUGUUAUAUUUAUUGUCAUUCAAGACUGAAGUUUUAUCAUUUUUAAAGGAUCACCUAUUCAUCCCUUGCCUAUGAGUAGGUUUAUGUAGAAGCAAUAUGUUUAAAGUGGUAAAAGAGCCAUUUAAUUUAAUCAUAUUUAUUUUGUUCUUAACUAAUAUGUAUUUUGAAAAGAAAAGUUGAUAAAUCUUUUAGUAUUUUUAAUUUUAUCAAAUGGUAAAAUUAUAAUAUUUAAUUCUUAAAAAGACAAAAUAUAUUAACGAGUGAAAUAAAAUUUUAUUAUUUAUUUUAAUUUACAUUUUAGUAGCUUUAUAUUUUUAUCAUUAUACUAUCUUAAUAUGCUUUUGGUACAAAUGCAUUUGUUUAUUCUAGAUAGUCCAUGUAUGCAUAAUCUAGUAUCAUUAUGAAAGAAAAGUAUAGCUCAGUGGUUUUUUUUUCCUUUUGAAAAUACCCUUCUAAUUCCCUGUACAAUAUUGAAAAUUGGUUCAAUGACAACAUAGCUUAGUGGUAGCCUAGCCCCCUUUUUAGACUAGGCUCAAGUUCGAGUCCCCUCUUCCUACUCUCAAAUCUCCAUUGAAAAAAAAUGCUUCAACUACUAUUUGGUAUAAGCCAUCAAUAUGACAAAAUAAAUAAAUAAGAAAUAACUUCCAAGUACCAAUAAAUAUAAAAAGAGUUGAAAAUAAAUUUCACUAAUAGUGAUGAAUUAGAUUCAACUUACUUUAUAUAUAGAUUUUUCUAAAUGUCUUAAUGAAAAAAUUGAUAUUCUAGAAAAUGAUGAAAAUAUUGUUAUUGAAUGAUAUUAUAUCAUAUAUUGUUAUUGCACUUCUCUUAAAUAUUAUUCAUAUAUGAGAUUACAUAUGCUUUUCAAGUUUUAAUUAGAAUGAAAGAAUAAUUUUGGAAAAGUAAUACCCAAAUGCAUAUAAGGAGAAUAUUUCUUAACAAUGAAUAAUGGGGUGAUUAGAACACCAUUUGUUAAUUUGUUUUAAAUUAGUGUGUUAGCCCAAUGGUUUUCCUUAGUACGUUUUGAUGAUAACAAAUUAUGGUUUGUUUGCUAAUCAUUGAAAAUUGAGAUGAGUUUCAUGUAUAAAUCAAGAAAAUCAAAAGAGAAGUCAAGUGAACCAUAAAAGGAUCUAAGGAAAGCAAGAUCAAAGGUGCAUGAAGACCAUUCGAACUUAGGAACUCAAUAGUAGAUGAAUACCUAGGUGCACCUAGGAUUUUUACUUAAUCAUGCAUCUAUUUCAUACUUGGUUUUUCAUUAAAAUUAAGAUUUAAAAUUCAUUAUUAUCCAAACUUGAGUACGUUUUAAAAAACAUUAGGCUAAAACUACUUUAAAUUAACAUACUAAGGUACCUAAAGGUGUUGUUUAGGUGUUAGAAAGUUUUUUUAUUAGAAACAUAUAGGUUUUAUGUUGGAUUUUGUCCAUGCUGGGAACCUUGGAUUUCUCCGUUCCCAAACUUUGAAUUGUAUAGGUACAUGCAAAUCUACCUUAAGCUUUCUAGAAAAUUGUUCAAGUAGAAAUAAUGACAGUAAAAACCAUUUAGAAUAAUAAACUAGAGAAGAUAGUAGUCAUACAUGAAUCUAGACGUUCUUAGAUAGAUUCUACAUGAUGAAGAUGAAAUCUAAAGAGUUUAGAGGUCUCGUUCUCCCAAGAUCUUUCACCCAAUAACUCGCACCACGAUCUUAGCACUCCAAAGUGUGGGUUUUGAAUAAGGAGGAAAAUGUCGCGAUAUAUCGUGUAUCGGAGGGUAACGACAUGAUAUUUCAUGGAGAAAUAUCGAUAUUUCGGGAUAAAUCCUGAGAAAUCGGCGAUAUCUCGCAAUAUAUCGCAUGGUCAACGCGGGUCAACGGAAGUCAAACGCGCUAGAAGUCAGUGUGCUACAAUGCCGCUACAGUGCCUUCUCCUUUUGCUUCUGAGGGUAUUUGAACCCCAAACCAAAAGGUUUGGGGUACACUCCACUUGCCAUCCGAGCUAACUUGCCCUUAUUAUAUAUUGUGCACUAAACUUAUAUAUACUUAAACUCAUUAUAUAAAGAAAAUAAUUAAAGAUUAUUUUAAAGAGCAAAUUAAUUAUAAUUAUUUUAUAAUUAAAUGCAAAAUUUUAUUUUAAUUGAUUACCAAAAAUAUAAAAAUUAUAUAAUUUUCUUCAUAAUGUUUUUAAUAUCAUUAAUAAUUAAUUAAGUAUUAAAAAAUUAUAUAUAUAUCAUAAUUUAUUUUAUAUUGUUUAAUACAAUUGAAUUAAAUGGAUCAUAAUUUUAAUAUAAAUAUAUAUUUUAAAAUUAGACAUUAUAAUCAAAUAUCAUAAUAUUAAAUGUAAUUUAAUAAUAAAUGUACACUUAUAAAAUUCAUAUUUUUAUCGAUGCAUACGAUAUUAUUAUCAAAUAUGAUAAAUCAUGUUAUACAUAUAUCAAAAUUUUCAAUAAAAUAACUUUAAAAUGUCUAUUAUACUUCUAAUUAUAUUAUUAUGAGGUUUUCCUUACAUUUUCAUGAGUUUUUAACAAUUUUAAGCCUACCGAUAUUGUUUUCCAAAAUAUCCGUCGAUAUAUCUCUGAUAUAUCCGUAAAAUCGAAGUAUCGAUAUAUCCUUGAUUACUGAUAUUUUCAUCCUUGGUUUUGAAAGGGUGAAUACCUCAGAUCUUUCUCUCCAUCUCUCUGGAGGUGGAAAAUGAUUGUCAAAAGCCUUUAGAAACCCGAACCUCUAAGGAGGUAUUUAGAGGGUUCUCCAAUUAAGCUUAAGUGACUUGAACCUACUAAGACCUAGAUCACUUAAUUUAGCUUAAAAUGUAUCCUAAUUGAUUAAUUAACCACACAAGGUAAUCUAAUUAAUCAAUGAACCCAAUCCAAAGACCUUGUUCACUAUUCCCUAUGCCACCUUGCAUAAUUACCAAAUGCCCUUAUUCAUAAGAGUGAACCUAGAGCCAAUUUAAUCCUCAUAAACCGUGUCAUCAUGAUAUAUGAGCUCAAAGUAAGGACCAUUAGGACUCGUAGGAAUAUUAGCUCUCUCAAGAUCCAAUUCUGCAGUUGAUUCAAUAUUCCACUAAAGAGAAUUAACUACACUCGAAUACCUUAUGUAAAUAACAACGAGAUGGAGCUCGGGUUCGUGACCUACUAUUCAUUACAUGCAGACUCCUCAUGAACUGGUGUUCAUAAUCUAACAAGACAAUACUAUCACCUAUCAAGAUUACCUCUUCAAUCCUAGAGUCGUAGAUCCCACUUAUUAUGCAAUCAAUUGACAUACUCUAGCUCUAGGGAACAUAAGUCAAAUUUCCACUAAAGGAAAUGCAAUGACCAUAGUCUUCUACAUAACAUGUCCUUUGGACCACCCAAUGAAACACAUUUUGUCUCAAUCCUAUGACAUAUCAUGGUGUCUCUAUUGAGAAUACCUGUUGCCACUAACCUCCAUGUUGAAAAACCAAACUUGAACUAAGGACUGUUAGAGCAGAAACUAAACCAAAAAGAGACGACCAGUUUACAAAUAACUUCUCUUAGGAAUAAAAUCAAACAACUUACAUACAAUCAACCAAGAUCAAGAACACAAGAGCAUUAUCGUGGUUCGAUCAACUUGAUCUACAUUCACACUGAGUUCCUAAAGCCUUUAAUAAACUGUACGAAGUAGAGUUUACACGAGAAUAAAAAACAAAGAGAUUAUAGAUUUUCCGAAGAACCCUCCUCACCUGUAUUUCUUUCUAUACAAGAAAAUCGAAAUAGACCUAUGGUUAUGGAUUACAAAGCUCUCUUCUUUUCUUACUCUCUAUUUUGUAUAAUUGAAUGCCAUUUUCAAGUUUUCCCAAGUUUGCACUUUAUACAAUAGACAAAACCUCUAACUAACUAACAAUACUCCUAAGAUAAUCAUUAUUUCCUACCCAGAUCAACAAGCUUUACUAUUGUUAGUUGAGCUUAGUCAGUAGCCUUGCCACUUGUCACUUGAUAGUUGGCAAACUCUACAAAACUCCACCUUGACAACCUAUUAACUUGACAACUGUCUAAACUAGCUUCAAGUCUCAAUACCUUCCCUAAUGGAAAGUCUUCAGUAGUCCCCCAUGUUGACCAAAUUCAAACAGUGUUUGAACUUAGUCACAUUUAGAGACUUAGUCAAUAUGUCGGAUGGAUUGUCUUCAAUAGGAACUUUUCCAACUCCAAUAUCUCCUGCAACAAUGAUAUUUCUCAUAAAAUGCAGUCUUACAUCAAUAUGUUUAGACCUUUCGUGGAAGGAUUGAUUCUUGGCUAAAUGGAUUGCACUUUGGUUAUCACAAUAUACAAUAACUUUACCUUUGUACAUGCCCAAUUCUUCUGUAAUACCCUUCAGCCAAAUUGCCUCCUUCACAACCUUUUUCAUUGCCAUGUAUUCAACUUCAGUGGUUAAGAGAGCUACCACUGACUGAAUGUUGGCUUUCCAGCUCACUAUUCUUCCAAACACUAUGAAUAAAUACCCAGUAAGAGACUUUAUGGUGUCAAUGUUCCCAGCAUAAUCAACAUCUACAAACCCUUGUAAUUGAGUUCCCAACUGACUAUUACCCCCAUAAACUAGCCCCAAGCUUCUAGUAGCAGCUAAGUAUUGAAAAAGCCACUUUACUGUUUGCCAAUAUGGCUUUCCAAGGCAGCUCAUGUAUCUACUUAUCAUGUUAACCGCAUAUGCAAGAUCAGGCCUAGAACACACCAUAGUGUACAUCACACUGCCCACCAUGCUAGCAUAAGGUAUCCUUUCCAUAAACCUUUUCUCUUCAUGAGUCUCGGGUGCUUGUGUUAUGGAAAGUCUAAAAUGUUUUCCUAGAGGAGUACUCACUGUCUUUAAAUUAUUCAUCUCACAUCUGCUCAGUACCUUUAAGAUGUAUGACUUUUGAGAUAGCCUAAGUAACCUCUUGCUCAUGUCUCUUUCUAUCUUCAUUCCCAAAAUCCUCUUGGUUGAACCAAGGUCUUUCAUUUCAAAUUUAGCCUUAAGAAUCUCUUUGACUUACUCCAAGUGUCUUCUCUCCUUAUAUGCCACUAGCAUGUCAUCCACAUAUAGUAAAAGAUAUACCAUGUUGCCUUCAGUUAGCUUAAAAUAUACACAUCCAGCAUGGUUGCUCCGAUUAAAACGAAUAUCUAGCAUAUACUUGUCAAAUCUCUUAUACCAUUGCCUAGGUAAUUGCUUUAGGCCAUAAAGAGAUUUCUUAAGUAAACAUACCUAACCAUCCUUGAUUCCUUCUCCAAAGCGUUCGGGUGGUUGCAUAUAAAUCAACUCAUCAAGCUCUCCAUGUAAGAAUGUUGUCUUCACAUCCAGUUGAUCCAACUCCAAGUCUUCAUGAACUACAAAAGCCAGUAGCAAUCGGAUUGAAAUGUGUUUGACUACAGGAGAAAAUAUCUCAUUGUAGUCAACACCCUCAUUUUGUGAAAACCCCUUAGCCACCAUCCUUGCCUUGUACCUUGGAGCCUCCUCUCCUGGUGUCCCUUGCUUUCUUUUGAAAACCUACUUGGAUCCUACUAGCUUUCAGUCCUUAGGUUUAGUGACCAAUUCCCAAGUCUCAUUUUUUCUCAAGGAAUCCAUUUCUUCUUGUAUAGCUUUUACCCACUAAUCAGCCUCAUUGCUAUUGGUGGCUUCUUGGUACGUUUUUGGAUCCAUAUCCACUAUUUCUUCAGCUACACUCAACACAAAUGUUGUCAUCUCAGCUUGGCCAUACCUCUUGGGAGGUUUGACUAGUCUUUUUUACUUGUCUCUUACCAGACUAUAGGAUUCCAGCCUUCAAGUUGGUUCAUCUUGUCUUUCCUAUACUACUUCUUCUUGAACUAUCUCUGAUGAAGUCUUUGUAGACCUUUUAGGUUAUAAAGUCUCAUGCUCCACCUUAAACUACAGUUGAUCUGACCCUUCCACAUAUUUGGAUGGAGUUUUUUUUGGCAUAUCUUGCUCAUUAAAAGUUACAUCUUUGAUGAUUAUACGUUCCCCUUUGUCUUGUAUUUCUAUCCACAACUUGUAACCUUUAACUCCCUUCAGAUACCCCAAGAAAAUACACUUUACAAUCUAUGGUUCUAACUUAUCUGUUUUGGUGUGUACAUAAGUUGUGCACCCAAAAACAUUGAGAUAUUGAUAAUCUACAACUUUCUCAAUCCACUUUUCUUAAGGUGUUUUGAAUUGUAAUGAUGAUGAUGGUCUCCUAUUGAUCAAAUGGAUAGUUGUUUCUAUAGCCUCAACCCAGAAAACCUUUGACAACCCUGAACUUGAUAUCAUACAUUUCACACUCUCCAAAAUGGUCCUAUGCAUGUGCUUAACUAGGACAUUUUGUUGAGGUGUAUAUUUGACAGUUCUAUGUGUAGCUAUGCCUUCCUUUUAACAAAAUGAAUUAAAAACAUUUGAUAGGAACUCGAGCCCAUUAUCUGUUCUCAACUUCUUCACUUUUAUGCCUACUUGAGUUUCAACCAGAAUUUUCCACUAUUUGAACUUUAGGAAGGUGUCACUUUUAUUUUUAAGAAAAUAAAUCCACAUUUUCCUAGAGUAAUCACCAAUAAGAGUUAAGAAGUACCCUGCUCCACCUAACGACAGUACCCUUGAUGGUUCCCACAAGUCAGAGUGUAUAUAGUCCACAUGGUUUUGUGUUUCAUGUACUACUUUGGCAAACUUCACCCUUGUAGCCUUGCCAAACAUGCAGUGUUCACAAAAAGUCAAAUCUGUCAGCUUGUAGUUUCCCAGUACCCCUUGCUUCUACAGCUGUUGUAGUCCCAUGUGGCUGUUGUAGUAGAAACCUUGCUUGUCACAGUCUGGCCUAUAAGAGUAUACAACCCAUUUUUAAUUGUCCCUUUCAUGACAAUAAGUGAGCCUCUAUCCACUCUCAAAGAGUUAGGUUCUAACUUGAAUGUAUAUCCUGGCUUGUCCAACAUUCCAAGUGAGAUAAGGUUCCUUUUUAACUUGGGUAUAUACCUGACAUAUUCAAGAAUUCUUUCAAAGCCAUCAUAGUGUUUGAUCCUGAUAGUACCAGUACCAAAAAUCUUUCAAGGUUUAUUAUUGCCCAGUAGGACAUGACCUCCAUCAGCUUCUUUGAAAUCCUCAAACCAAGCUUUGAUAGGACACAUGUGAAAGGAGCACCCUGAAUCAAGUAUCCACUCCUUGCUCGAGUCCACCUUUGCCAUAUUUAGCACCUCAGUACUAUCGUAUCCAUCCAAAAUCACAGCAACAUCACCUUCAUUCAUGGUUUUCUUGACUGUGUUCUGUCUCCUAUCUGGGCAAUCCUUCUUGAAGUGCCAUUCCUUGUGACAAAUAAAACACUUGAACUUCUUGGUCUUGGAUUUUGAUCUAGCCUUUGAAUUCUUGCCCUUAUUUUCUCGUUUAUCAAAUCUGGCCCUGAUGUUUAAACCCUCACCCGGCUGAUCAUUGGAUUCUUCUAGUUUCUGUAAUUCUCUAACAUGCAAAAUGGAUUACACCUCAUCAAGGGUCAAGUUGUCUUUCACAUACAUUAUGGCCUCUUUCAAGUUAGUGUAUGAUGCAUUUAAAGAAGUCAGUAACAAAAUUGCUUUAUCUUCAUCUGAUACUGUGAUAUCAAUAUUUUCCAAAUUCUAAUUUAUCUUAUUAAAGUGAUCAAGAUGUUUUUCAAUUGACAUACUCAAGGUCAUCUUGAAUGUGUAUAACUUGAUCUUCUUAUGUAAUUGGUUUGCUAAUGACUUGGUCAUGUUUAAGCUCUCGAGCUUGAGCCACAACUCACCUACAAACUUUGCUUUGGCUACCUCUCUCAACACAAUAUCACCCAAAGAAAGAAUGAUGGCAUUGUGAGUUUUCUCUGGAGCCCUUAUUGAACCAACAAUGCCCUCAUCUUUAGUCUCUAUAACCCGAAAUCAUUUAUACUUGUAAACUUUUCUACAUCGAACUUUGCAAUCCCCAUUAUAACCCAAAGGCUAUAAUACCAAUUGUUGAAGAACUAGCCUUGAACUAGGGACAUGAACUAAACCAGAAAGAGACGACUAGUUUACAAAAAACUUCUCUUAGGAAUAAAAUCAAACAACUUACACACAAUCAUCCAAGAUCAAGAACACAAGAGAAUUAUCGUGGUUCGAUCAACUUGAUUUACAUCCACACUGAGUUCCUAAAGCCUUUAUUAAACUGUACCAACCAGAGUUUACACAAGAAUAAAAAACAAAGAGAUUACAGUUUUUCCCAAGAAUCCUCCUCACCUUUGUUUCUUUCUAUACAAGAAAACCGAAACAAACCUAUGGUUAUGGAUUACAAAGCUCUCUUAUUUUCUUUCUCUCUAUUCUAUACAAUUGAAUGUCAUUUUCAAGUUUUCCCGAGUCUGCACUUUAUACAACAAACAAAACCUCCAACUAACUAAUAAUACUCCCAAGAUAAUUGUUAUUUCCUACCCAGGUCAGCAAGCUUUACUGUUGUUAGUUGAGCUUAGUCGGCAACCUUGCCACUUGUCACUUGAUAGUUGGCCAACUCUACACUCCAUCAACAAUUACCCACUCUAUAGGGAUAUAUAAUCAUCUUAGGGUCUCACUCGUAGAUCAAAGCCUCCUAUUGACUUUGACACAAACUCAAUAUUCUCUGAAGGUUGAGGGUCUAUGUAGUAUAGUAGCUUGGUGAAUCAUGAUAAUUGAUAGUCUUAUAUUAUGAUUCAUCAUAGAUCCUAUCUAGUGUGCAUCACAUACACUAGUGCACUCAUCAUGGAAAACCCAUCCCAGCGGCUAAGACAUUAAGGCAUCCUUUCAAUUAUGAGGUAGUUCACUACAACAAUUAUAACAAUUAAAUCAAAAGGACAUAUGAUCCAAAAGACUAUGGCCAUAACAUUACAAUUAUAACAAUUUUUAAAAAUAAUUAGAACCAAAUAAUAAAGUGAAUAUUCAAGAUUAAAAAAUAAUAGACCAUAACUAAUUCAGUAUCGAGUCAUGACUCUAUUAUAUAUAUUUCUCUUCUGCACAUAACUAUACUUUUCCGAUUUUAGUAAAUCAAAUAUUGAAACUAAAUUAAGAAAAACUUAAUGUAUUAAAUUCUUUAAUAAAUCUACUAAUUUUUAAGAAAAUUUAGAUUUAAAAAACUAAUCAAAUUAAAGAUACAUUAAAUCAAAACUAAUUCAAAAUACUUCGUCCCUAAUUGAGUAUUAAAUAUGUACAUGUAAUGAAAAAUUGACUUAUUUAUAUAUUAAAAAAUUAAACUUUAUUUUUAAAAAAUUUAUUUUUAAUCUUUAUUAUUUUUAAAUUAUUAUUAUUCAUUUUUAAUGAAAAAUUAAUUAUAGCUUUAUAAAUAUGUCAAUAUCCAUAUUUUAAAGUAAAUAUACUAAAAAUAUUAUAUUUUUCAAUAAAAAAAUGUAUAAUCUAUAGCUUUAUUAUGAUACUAGUAUUCAUAAAACCUAUUUAUUUUUAAUUUAUUUUAAUUAAAAACUAUUUUUAUUUUUAAUAAAUCUUAAUUACAUGUAAUAAAUAUUAUACACAUUGAAUUCACAUUUUUUUUAUAUAAAAUAAAAAUAGAAAAUUAUUUUUCAAAACAACUAAAAUUUAUUUGUUCAAAUAAGUUUUUUUGUUAUUUAAAAGUAAUUUUAAAAAUAAAUUAGCAAAUAUCCAUGUUUUUUAGUUAUUGGUUUUUUAAAGUAUUUUUUAACUUCGCCAACACUUUUGAUUUUUGAAAAAAAAAAAAAAUGUUCUUUCAUUAAAACAAGCUUAGAAAAAUGAUCAAAUGAGCUCUAAGGUUCUAAAAAUUUAGCCACAACUGCUCCCUGAUUUAUUGAGCUUGGAUGAACUGGGUUUGAUGAACUGACUUAGAGUUUUAGGUUGUAUAUGAAGAUAAUGAAUUGCAUAGGUUGGGUCUAAUUAAACCUUCAUAUAAAUACUUUCAAGGAUAAUGAAGAUUAACAAUUUAUCUCUUAGUAUCUCAACUAACUAGAGUAAACAUGUGUUUUAUGAACUAAUAAUCAAUGCAUAUGCAAUAUUUGUAUUAGUAUUAAAUGUCCAUCCCAAAAUUUCAAAGUUAGUUUAUAUUAAAAAAUAAAAUGUACAUUUCAAUUUCCAAAAUUAAUAACAUAAUUGUGGAUCCAUUUUAAUAUAAAUGGGUGUCUUUAGUUAUAGAUAAAUAAACAAACAUAUGCUACUAUUGAGAUCAAAAGUUGUGGGAUCUAUUACCACAUCAAAGUUUACAUGGAUUCUAACAAGGCACAUGUGUUGACAUUCUAAAGUCAUGAGUAAAGUUGAGAAUAGCAAAAAUAAAAAAUAAAGAAAUAAAAAAAAUCAAAUAAAUUAAGGUUAUAAAUAAAGUUUUCUCUUGUUUUUUUUUAAAAAAAAAAGAAAAAGAAAAAGAAAAAAAACCAUUAAAUUUUAGACACGAUUUGAUAGUAGCUUUCUCCAACCAUUUUUAAAAAUGAAAUAGAAUAUGAACUCUUUCUUGUUUCAUUCCCUCUCUACCAACUAAUUUUAGAAAUCUUCAAAUAUAAUCUUUCUUAAUUACAUGUGUUUUUUAGAAAUUCCUUUAACUUACAUAAAAAUUUUUCAUUAGACCAAUAGAUUUAAAAAAAAAUGACAAUUGAUACAAAAGAUCUCCUAAACUUUAAAAACAAUGUCAAAGUCAAAACUGAUCCAUUAAAUAUUAAAAACUCAUGAAACUCAAUAUUGAUUCAAUUAAUAUUAAAAAGUCACAGACUAAAACUCAUUGUGAAUUACUUUAUAGUUUUUGCUUUACAAACAAUUAUAUUUGUUUGAUUAUUUUUUUUUACUAGAAAAAUAAACUUUAAAUUAAACAAGGCUUAAUGUGUUGGAUUUAUUAAUGGCUCUACCAUCUUUUAAAAAAUGAUUUGAAGCUCAAAUAUGAACCCAAUUAGUAUAAAAAUUUUAAGGACAAAAAUUUGCUCAAAAUGACUCAAUUGUUUCUCUUUUACAUGGAGGUAUAAUUUUCAAAAUUUUACUCAAUAAAAUUCAAAUCAAGCAAUACUUAAUACUUUGGAUUCUUUAAAAAGUCUAUUAAUUUUUAAAAAUAGUUUAGAACUAAAAAAAUAAGCCAAUAAUUCAUGGACUAAAGUUGGUCUUGAAUAAAUUUAUUAUUUCUCUUUUAUAUAUAACUAUAAUUUUAAGAAUGUUCUCACUAGAGGAAUAGAUUUCAAAUUAGUGAGAAUUAAUGCACUAGAUUUGUCAACAAGUUUAUCAAAUUUAGCACCUCAAGUUUUCUUCUUUGGAAAUCUCAAAUUUUACUUUUGGUUCACAACCUUGGUAUUUUUCACCACAAUAACAGUUUUGAAAAACCAUUGGAAGAAAUCCUUGUUCAUAUGAUAGAAAGGUGGUUAAUUAAGAAUAUUCCAUGUGGUGUGACAAUUGUGCACUCCUUUCUUUACUCCUUUAGCUUCUAGGUAAUAUGAUGAGGAAAUACUAAGCAUGAUCUAUAGUGGGGAUACAACAAUUCAAGUUUAGCAAUCACUUUAAGACUAUUUAUUGCCCAACACCAAGAAGAAUAAAGUUCAAUUGGAUAACAAACUAUAUGUGUUGUCAAAGUGAUCACAAUCUCUCAAAGAGCAUAUCCAAAUAAGAACAUCUAUGACAAAUUAGCAAUCAUGGGCAAGUCUUUUUCAAAUGUUGAUAAGUUUUCCAAGUUUCAAGAGUUUGAAAUACAAAGACUUAAGUAUUGUUGUGCUAUCAAAAUCUCCACACCUAACUGUUAAACAAUUUAUUUUUUAUUAAUUUAUAGAACUAGGAAUAGGUUUAUAUUGUGGAGGAAAAAACAAAAACUUGACCAUAAUCAAGCAUUUUUAGUCAAAGAAGUAGAGGAAGAGGACAAUAAGGAGGAUAAAGAUCUAGAAGAAGAGGUGGUCUCAUUCAAAAUUGACCAAAUAAUCAAAUUCCACCUCAAAAUUUCUCAUCCUCAUUGAAAUAAAAGUCUAACUUCAAUAAGAAGAAUUGGCAUAAGCAAUAAGGGCAAUUCAACAAAGACAAUCCUAAGGUUACUUAUCAAAUUUAUGGUAAGACUAAUCAUAUAGUCAUUAAAUGCUAUUACAAGCAUAAUUAUGUCAAUUAAGAGGAAAAUACUCAAUAAGUCCUUUCAUUCAUGAACAUAAAUAACAAAGGAGAUACACACCUUUAUGUUAAUUUUAGUGCAACAACUCACAUGACAAAUCAAGAAGGUGAAUUACUAUUUUCAUAACAACUUAUUUCAUUAAUUUUUUUAAAAAUAAAUAAAUAAAAAUUCAACGUUUAGUAAUGCCUUUAAUGAUAAAUUAUCUUUAUUAUUUCUAAAAUUCUUUAUUAUUCCAAUUGAGGAUUAAUGUAAUAAGAAAAUUUCUAAAAUAUUGAAAAUUAAAAAUCUAGAAAGUAAUUUAUCAAAAGAGGAAAACUUUUAUUGCACAAUGAUUCUCAUAAAAUUAUUUUAAAGGAAAAUAUUUUAAAAUUAUUGAGAAUAAUUUUACAAAAAGAAACUUUACUUUCUUAAUUUUAUUUUCACAAUAUUUAUUUUCUUAACAUGCACCUAUCCAAAAUUUAAUAAAUAAUAUCUUUUCGAAUCUAAUUUUCAAGAAAAUUUAUUUUCAUUAAGAAUUACUAAAGAGAGAGAGAGAGAGAGAGAGAGAGAGAGAGAGAAAGAGCAUAAAAAUGGAAAGAGAAAUUAAAUUAAUUUCCCAGGAUAGGGAUCUUGUUAUAGAUUUGUUAAUCAAAUAUUUGGAAUCCAAAAUUUUCAAAUUUAUCAAAACUCCCCUACAACCAAAAAUAGAAUUAGAAUAAUAUAAAAAACUUAAAACAAACCUUGAUAUAAGCAAAGAAACUAUUUUUUAACAAAAACAUUGAUCUAGUUGCUCAAAAAAUAAUACAACUGAUUUGGAUGUUCCCAAAUCAACUCCAAUUGAUGAAGAGGUUAGCAUGUAUCUUGAAAACCUUGCUAUAUUCCACCCAAUAGCUUUUUCUUGUACCUUGGCAUGUGAGGAUGGUGGAAUCUUCUUUAUGGGGAUGGAAGCUAUGGCUCUUCUCUUUGGAGAUUGAAUGACAAAAACUACAAGCCUUAAACUCUUAUGGGGGUUUAUAUUGGCUUACCUGUGAGCUUAAGUGACUUGAGCCUAUCCUAAGCUUGGGUCAUUUAAUCUACCCACUGAGUCCUAAUCAAUUAAAUAGCCCUAUUAGGCUCUAAUUAAUUAAUUAGUCUAAUAAAAAAGACCAUUCUUAUGCUCUUAUGCAAUCUUAUAUAUUUACCAAAAUACCUUUUUGCCACAUAUGAAUGAAAACCCAAAUAUCCAUAAAAUAAUGUACCACCAAGGAAUAUGAGCUUAAGCAAAGACCAUUGGGACCCAUAGGAAAAUAUUAGUUUAUUUAGAAUCCAGUUUUGAAGCUCACUCAAUUUCACUAUAGGAAAUCUCAUAUCAGUUUCUUCCCAAUCUCAAGACUAGGUUAGGUGCAUGAUUUUCUCCAUAGGCCUUUAGAUCUUAGCCAUGGAAGCAAAAAAAUAUAUUUUUAAUCAAAAGAUCUAGAUUAAAGUGCAUUAGAAAAUGUUACAUUAUAUUUGGGCGUUCUCAAAUCCAUUCCUUUCGAUGUAGAACCAAAUAAAAUCCUUUAAAAGUCUCGUAUGUUAGGAUAGAGCCUUUAAAAGCAUAACAUGAUGUAAUAAACUUUUAGAUUUUAUUAUUUAUUAAUAAAUUUUCAGCUUACUUUUAUAUAUCCUAUUUUCAUGCAUUUUACCUUGUAAGCAUUCUAACAUACAUCUUUUACAUUAUACGUGACUUGGGUACGUUAAGAGUUGUAGGGAAUAUCCAAGGCACGGGUUCCUUGCAAUAGAUAUUCUAAUAGAGACACCAUGAUAUCUCAUAGGAUUAAGGCAGAGUAUAUCCUUUUAGGUGAUUCCAAGGAGAUGUGUUCAUGUAAAUUAUGGUCAUAGUAGUUCCUUAAAUGGAACUUGACACAUAUGCUCUUAGAGAGCUAAGAUAUGUCAUUUGAACACACAUAUAAGAGGAUUUGCAACUCAGGGAUAGUAGAGGUAGUCUUGAAAGGCUUAUAGCUUUCACCUUGUUAGACUACUAAUACUAGUUCAUAGGGAAACUGAACACAAUGAAUAACAGGUCACGGACCCGAGCACAUGGUAUCUUAUUGUUAUUUACAUAGGGUAUUGGAGUGCAAUUGAUUCUCUCUAGUGGGAUUGAAUCACCUUUAGAAUUGGAUUAUAAGGGAGCUAGUACUAUUCUAUGGGUCCCAAUGCAUGGUUCCUACUUUGAGCUCAUAUACCAUGAUGAAAUGGGUUGUGAGGAUUGGAUUCACUUUAAGUUCACUUUUGUGUAUAAGGGCAUUUUGGUAACUAUGUAAGGUUGCACAAGGUCUCUAAAUUGGGCUAAUUGAUUAAUUCGUGGGCCCUAUUGGGUUAAUUAAUCAAUUAGAACCCAUUUUAGGUUACAUUAAGUGACCUAAGCCUUUAGUGGACUCAAGUCACUUAAGCCUAAUAGGGAACCCUAUAAAUACCCCUUUAAGUGUUAGGUUUUUCAUAACUUUUCCAUAGAGUUGUCUUCUACCUCUAGAGAGAAAGAGAGUCAUAACCUCCAUCAUCUCUUCUUCUUCAUCUGUCGAAAGUGCAUCAAAGUCAUGGUUUGAGUCAUCAGGUGGAAGACUUUGGGUCUACAAGGCUUUUUGCGAUAAUGAUCUUCGUCUUCACCUUGUGGAACAAAUUUAGGAAUAAUGAAAUCCCAGGUAUUAAUUUUGAUAGCAUUUUCUGAAUCUUGUUAUUAUUUUAAAAUGCCCUUUUUUUCACUAUGGAUAGGAUUUAAAAAGCCCUAGGAAGCUUUUUCAUGUUCUUAACCUGAUUCGGGCUUAGGAAACGAAGUGGUCCGAGUUUUUCCAUAUAGCGGGUAUCAAAGCCAUAGGUUAGUAAGCAUGUUAGAACUUUUCUAGGGUGUGCUAACUUUGGUUUUGCUGGGUAUUUUAUUUAUCCCAUGGCCACGAGGAUAAAGUUAUGUGCAUUUUGUAUUAUGAUUUAUUUAUAAUCUGAUGUUCAUAGUUGUGAUUUUUGUUGUUGGGAUUGAUGUUGUUACUCUCUAGAUUGGUUGUAAGCCCCAUGAAGGGCAUAAGAAUUUUUUCAUUAAAUGUAAAAAUCUCUUUUUUCUUUACAAUGUUUUGUAAACUCCAAUUUAAUGGAGUAUAGGAUUUUGUUGUAAAAAUCUGUUUCUUAUCAUUCAGUGUAACCAAUGGGGAGUUUGGAAGCAAUCCAAACCAUCACAAGCAGUUCAUACACAACACCCCUAUCAAAAAGGGAUUUAUUUCAAAGAAAAUGAUCACCAGAAAACUCAAGAACUAGCUUUUAGGUUUUAGAUUUUCGCUAGAGUGCUUGAGCGAUAGAAUUAGCGCUUGAGUACCUCGAUUGAUCAAGCGAUGCAUUUGGCUCUUCUAUUGAUUGAGUGGUUCAUCCAACAAUAAUAAGUUGCAUCUAAAAAUCCUAGCAUUUCUAGUGUGCUUGAAGUUGUAUCAAGCAAUCCCAUUGGCGUUUUUAAGGUUUUAGGGGUAUUUUGGUCAUUUAUAAAUGCCACUAACCCUAAUUUUUGUUGUAGGUACAAUUUGGUAUUUUUUGGAUUUGUUUGGUCAACAUUUUUUUUUUAUCAUAAAGUUCACUAACUCUCUCUACCUUUUGUGAUGGAAAUUAGGCUAGUUGUCAAUACACAUUGCAGUACCAUUGGCUACUGCAUUUUACUUAGGGAAAAGUAGGUUUUGACUCAUUAAUUUGAAAAAAUAUAAAAAAAGGAACCCUAACUUUUAUAAAUCAGUUUUAUCUUUAUCCACUAAAAAAUAUUUUUAAAUACAUGCAAUUUUAUUAUUAUUUCUUAAAAUACCCUUUUACUUGAUAAUAUUAAAUAAAAUUACCAAAAAAUUAAUUUAUCAUUUUACUUUGAUAAAAGUAUCUUACAAAUAAAUAUAUUAUAAAUUUUUUAUUUAUAUAAUAUGAGAUACAAAUCAUUUUGGAAAAUUUCUCUAGGAUCCUUAAGUGAUAAAACCAAAAAAAUUAAAAAUUAAAUACAAUUAAAACAAAAAAACUUAAAAAUUUUAAAAAUAAAGUAUUAACUUCCAUUGUAUGUCCAACUCUUUCUCGAAUCUAUAUUUUUUACUAGUGUGAUUUAGCGAAGUGAUAGUUAAUAUUUAUUUUUAUAUUUUUAUCUUAAAAGUUUUUUUUUUGUUUUAAUUGUAAGUUUAAUUUGUCAAAUUUCUUAUUUUAUUAAUCUCAAAUAAGUUAUUAUGAUAAAUAAAUAAAUAAAUUGUUAAUUCAUGUUAUUAACCUUACAAGUAAAAAGUCAUUUUAGGAAAUAAUUAUCUGACUUGUGAAAAAAUGCAUGUAUUUUUAAAUGGAUGAAGAUAAAACUGAUUUAUAAAAGUUUAAGUUCUGUUUUCUAUAUUUUUUCAAGUUAAUGAGUCAAAACCCACUUUUUCCUUUUACUUAGCUCUAAAGUAAUCAAUCGUCUCCCAAUGGAAUGCAAAAGCCAAAUAUCACUAAUCAUUAUCCACCACUAUAGUUGAAGUUACUUGGUCACAUAUAAUACUUUCUCAACAAUCUUGACAUUUCAUUAUCUCACUCGCCUCCCCUACCUUGUGACAACAAAAGUGCUAUCCAUACAUCUCACAAUCCCAUUUUCAUGCUUAAACUAUUCACAUUAAGCUUGACAACCACUUUGCUAGAGAAAAUAUUGUUGUUGGCACUUUUACCAUCAGUUAUGUACCAUCAUCUUACCAAAUUGCAAAUAUUUUUACCAAAACACUACAAGGAGAUUUCUUCAAUACUUUUUUUCUUAAGUUAGGAUUUCAUUCCCUUUUAGAUUAAGGUGGCCACAUAAAGAUCACAAUCCAUUACUCCCAAAUUAAGGAAAGACUCACUCCAACUCCUUCAAUCAUUAGAGACCAUUGGACAUUAAGAAAACAACCAACUCUCCUUUAUAAAAUCUAUCAUAUUAGGACAAUGAGUCCUCAUUGUAACUUGGCAAUUUUGUUCCAAUUUAUUUUCUAGCUUAGGAAACUUUUUAGAUAGUGACUUACUCUCCAUUGAAGAUUCAAGGUUGUUGUUUGUUCAACUGGAAAGUCAUGGGUAUGUCUAAAUAGGUUCGAUUUGUGGCAAGUUAAGUGUUUAAAGGGUUAAGUGGAUUCAUAUAUUUUUAUCGAAUUAAGAAGUUUAAAUUAACAUUUUGGAAAAGCCAGGGAUGCUCGAGCUGUGGAAACAACACUCAAGCAUUGGGACCACUCAAACGCUUAUCCAAUGCUCAAGCACCCGAGACACUUGAGUAGUGGAUAAGUGCGCUCUAGCACCCGUGUAGAAUCUACUAAAAUAUGGUAGAUUAUUUUUUUAAAAUUAACAAUUUUUUCUUUUUGGAAACUCUAGAUAUUGAUCUUCUAGGUUCAAGAGGCCUAUAUAAACCCUAUUAUAACCCUUUUAAGGUUGGUCACUCAUUAAGGGAGUUAGCCUAACUUGUCAUACCAUUCCCAAUCUCUCAAAAAAGGAUUCAAUCAUUGGAUUUAGGGUUAUUUGAAGACUUGCAUCUCUUCAGUGAAGUUGAGGAGUAUUCGCUGGAGCAAUUGGAGAUUGUUGUGUCACAGACAUGGACCAAGUUGUAGGUUUUGAAGAGUAAGACUUUUGGUAAAGCAACUAAGUAAUUAUAUGAAACUUGAUCUUAUAUAGUAGAUUUAGAUUAGAGGUCUUAUAUCGUAUGGUUUUUUUUUUUUUUUAUCUCCAUUGAAAGUGUGGGGUUUCCACAUAAAAAUUCCUAUAUCCCUUACAUACUUGUUUGAUUAUCUUGAGUAUUUUGAUUAUAGUGAUUAUUUUUUAUAUCUCAUGGGUUUAAUUUGGAUUAUUAUUUGAUCUCUUAAUAUUUUUUAAAAUACACCCAUUCACCCCUCUAAAUAUUAUCCUAUUGGACAAUGAUUUUUUAUGCCAUAAUGCUAGAAAUCAUUUUUUUCUUUAGAAAUACUCUCUUUUGGUAUUUUAAUAGAUGUUGGUCCUCGUAUAAUUGUUGAGCUAUCUGUUGUACAUAAAACCUGUUAGAAAAAUUAGGCUAAUCUAACCUAUGGUAAUCACCCUAGAGGGGGGGCUGAAUAGGGUGAUGGUCUCUUUUUUCAAAUUUAAACUAUAUGAAUGUAAGAGACGAUUAUAUGCAAGUAUAUAAUAAGCAAUAUAAAGACAAUUGCAUAUAAAUUAAAAGAGUAGGGAAGAGAGAAUGCAAACAUAAGAUUUUAUAGUGGUUCGACGUAACCCGACUUCAAUCCCAAGCUUGAGGUUCCACUAAUUCAAGGCUUCCAAACCAAGCCUUCAAGCAAUACAAUUGGAUUAUGGUUCUAAUUCACCAUCUUGGACUUUUGGAUCCAAGCACCCUUUACACUUCUCAAGAGAUAUCCCACUCUUAAGGAACUUCCUCUCAUAGAUUUACAAAUAAAUGAUCUCACAAAAUCCUAGUACAAAAACUUUAAGCUCAAAUGAUACGAGAAAACUAGAAUUUGAAAGGUGCACUAAGGAUAUGCAAGUUUUAAAACAAUGGUGCACUAAAAAAAACACUCUUCUAAGGCUCAAAUAUAUUCAAGAAAGGUUUGAGAAGGUUAAGCUUUUUGAAACAAUGAAGAUUGAAGCCUUUUUAUAAAAGAGAAAAGCCAAACUAGCCAUUUGGGGGUUCGACCGGUCGAGCUAGAGGUCGAACGAUUGACUAGCCGUUAGCAUUUAAUGCUUGGCAGGUGAUCGUUGAGCCUCAGCCGGACCUCGACCGGUCCUCAAUCGAACCUCGACCGGUCCUCAAUCAAACCUCGACCGGGAAGAGAAGGCCAUUGGGAGAGAGAGAAAGUUUUGGCAUUCCUCGACCGGUCCUCGACCGGACAAGCACAACCGGUCGACCGGUUCGUCAGCCGGUUCAACCGGUUAAGCCAUUUUUUGGCUCAGCAACUAAUUUUUUCAACUUAAAACCUUUUAAAACAAGUUUGAAAAACAUUUAACACAAGGUUUUAGUUGAAAACAUGAAAUCAUCCAAUUCUUAAAAUAUUUAAAACAAAAUAACUCUUGGAUGAUUUUGAUGCAUAAGUAAAGAAUGUAAUGCAUGAAAAUCCUAGUGCACCAACAACCUUACAAAGAGAUCUUAUGAAUCUUGGGUCUUGAAAAACACUUCUCUUUGAGGUGGUCUUCUUCUUCAUGAUUUCUCAUUGGCUUGAUUUGUCUUUGUGAUUGCCACUUCAAAAAUCAUUUUGCCUAAGCACACUUGAAAUAUAAUCAUUAGUUCUAAACCUUGUUUUGUUAUCAUCAAAAUCAAGAUUAACCAAACUUUGGUUUCACAAUCUCCCCCUUUUUGAUGAUGACAAAACCAAGGUUGCUAAAAAGCUCCCCCUCAAUAUAUGCUCCUUUGAAUUUAGAAAAUAUUCAAGUUUAUAAACUUCAAGGAGUAUAUUAAGGAUGCUCAAAAUGAUAUAAGCAAACAUAAAUAGCAUAAAGAGAAAUUUAGCAAUUUGGCUAGACAUUAUCAUUAAAUAUGAUGCAUACAAAUAUAACGAAUAAAGCACAUAGCAUCAAUAUGAAUAGAAUUGCUAAAACAAUAUUGACACUUUUUCCCAAGUUAGCAACCUACCAUUACUUCUCCCUUUUUUUGUCAUCAAUAAAAAGUUUCAAUAAAGUAUAUAAGGGGAAUCACAUGUUAUCAAAAAUAAUUCCUCAUGAAAAUGAAUCUCCCCCUUUUUCAUUUGAGAAUAGUUUCCAAAUAAAAUAUUGCUCAUCCUUAGAGCAUUCCCAAUUUAAAGCAUGAUUUGGAAAAAAUAUAUGGGAGAACAUAUGCAUUUAAAAAGAUAUAAAACAUGCAUUGAAUAACACUUUUAGGGCAUACAAGCAUAUGAUCAUUUAAUUUUACCUAGGUAUAAAAAAAGUCUUCUUUUUAAUCCAAACCUUGGUUUAACAAAUAUACCAAUUUUAUAAAAGUGAUACCAAAUGUUAUAUUAUUAAUAUACCAAAAAUAUACCAAGUGUCAGCAAAAAAAUAUUGCAAAUUAAGCUUUAGAAGGAAUAUCUCUUGACAAGUGUAAAGGGUGCUUGGAGCCAAAAGUCCAAGAGAGUGAAUUGAAACCAUAAUCCAAUUGUAUUGCUUGAAGGCUUGGUUUGGAAGCCUUGAAUUAGUGAAACCUCAAGCUUGGGAUUGAAGUUAGAGGAGAGUGGAUAUAAUUGUCUCUUACGCCGAACCACUAUAAAAUCUUGUGUUUGCAUUCUCUCUUCCCUACUCUUUUAAUUUAUAUGCAAUUGUCUUUAUAAUGCUUAUUAUAUACUUGCAUAUAAUUGUCUCUUACAUUCACAUAGUUUAAAUUUGCAAAAAGAGACCAUCACCCUAUUCACCCCCCUCUAGGGUGAUUACCAUAGGUUGGAUUAGCCUAAUUUUUCUAACAAUUGAUAUCAUUGCAUCAUCAAAGAUAUUCAAAAUGAUAAAACCAUCUUCAUGGGUCAUAGAUGUGAUAAUGUUUAUGCAAUAAAUAUUUCAAAAUAUGAUGGUCAUGAUAGAUGCUUUUCAAGCAUGCAUGAUCAAAGUUGGUUGUGGCAUAGGAGGUUGGGACAUGCUAACAUGGACCUCAUUUCCCAACUCAACAAAGAUGAACUUGUUAGAAGCCUUCCCAAAAUAAAUUUUCAAAAAGACAAAGUUUGUGAAGCUUGUCAAAUGGGAAAGCAAAUCAAAAACUCUUUUAAAAACAAAAAUUUCAUUUCAACAACUAGGCCUCUUGAAUUGUUGCAUAUGGAUUUAUUUGGUCCCUCUAGGACACCAAGCCUUGGAGGAAAAUCUUAUGAUUUUGUUAUUGUGGAUGACUUCUCUAGAUACACUUGGGUCUUAUUUUUUAGUCAAAAGAAUGAAGCCUUUUAUGAGUUUUCAAAGUUUUGUAACAAAAUUCAAAAUGAAAAAAGUUUUACAAUUACUUGUAUAAGAAGUGAUCAUGGGAGAGAAUUUGAAAAUAUUGAUUUUGAAGACUAUUGCAAUGAGCAUGGUUGUGGACCCGCAUUUUUCACGUGCACUCCCACUUGAUCGGCGAGACUCGCUUUUUAUUUGUGAAAAGAUUAAUUUUUGGAAAAAGUUGGAGUCGCCACUUAUUUUAUUUUUAUUUUAAAGGGAAAAUAAAACAAGAAAUAAAACCCUAAAAAAUGACUCCAUAAUUUUCGGAAAAGCGUGUCUUUGAAAAACCCGAGUCUAAGUCCGGGGAUCAGGUUACCUAUUGGGAAGGUACCUUUAAAAGGUAGCACCCCUCUAAGCCCUAUAAAGGUCUCUACUAACUAAGUUAAGGGGAAUGUGACAAUUAAUCAGUUAAUUAUGGAUACCUAAGUAGGCUAGGUGGUUCCAAAAAAAUAGCAUGCCAAACAAGAUCAAAUCAUAAUAAAGGAAGGUUAGGAUGCGUACUUGGACCGCUUCUCAAGCGCUAUCAUAAAACAUCGAUGGUUAAUUUAAACAAUAUAUCAUCUAGCAUGUGUUUUAUUAGAAAUAAUCAAACAAUGAAACAUGUAUAUUAGAACACUCAAGCAUUAUUAGACAUAAGCAUUAUUUCACAAUGACCAGCAUAUUCACAUAAUUCAGAAAGUAGGUGAUAGAGGACAUACCUGGAUAGCAUAGAUAAUUUGUAACGUGCUUCCUCAAGUUGUAAGGGGUUAGAUAACAAUAAUAAAAUAUAGAAAUCCUAGCAUGCUCGUUAUCUAAUUAACAUAGCAAAAGUGAUCACAGUAUACAAAAUCAUCAAUUAUCACAUACAUCUUGUAUAUAAUUCCUAAAAAAUAGAUAGACGUGAUUUCAACAAGUGUCAAAUGUGGCAACAAAAAUAAAUUUUGAAAAGAUUUUCUUAUGUAGGGGUUUCACCAAUUCCCCAAAUUAAUAUACACGAAUUUAGCCUAGAAUUAUCCCAUUUAUUUGGGACCACAAGCUUUGAUUUUAGUUUUUGUUCAAAACCAAAAUUUUUGUUGAAAAUCGAGAAUGAUGCAAACCGAACAAGAUAUGGUUGCAUAUUAUUUUUAAAUAAAAAAAAAAAAGGAGAUUUUGAUCCUGAGGACUCUAAUGAGUUUUUGAAAUAGAUUUUUAAAAUGAUUUUUUGAGAAAAGUAUUUUAUUUUAAAAUAAAAGGGAUUAAUUUGGGAAAAAAAAUAUAAGAAAUAAAAUACCAAACAAAACAAAAAUAAAACCUCAAAGUAAAAUUUUUUUAGUAAUUAACAAAAAUGAUAAUGGUGAUGGUAGAGGCCAAUCUUCAUGAUUUUCCAAUGGCCUCAGAAAGAAAAUCAAAUUAAAUGAAGGAUCACUAACAGGCAAGACAUUCUAAAUUAGACAAACUAAUAAAGUAUCAAUUCAUGAACUAACCGCUAGGAUUUUAAAAGCAUAUAAGCUAAGAUAAGGGUGAUCAGGAACUAACAUUAAUGAUUUUGAAAUAAAAACUAAAAAAAGAUCAAUUCGGGUAAGGAACUAAAAUUAUAGAAGUACCUAAACUAAUUAUGACGAGUUUGACUAAAUUAAACUAAAAACAUGAACUUUCAAACAUAGAAUUAAUUUUACUAAUGAACCAAAGCAAACUAAAAAUAUGUACUUUCAAGCAUGGAAUUAAUUUUAUUGAUGAACCAAAAAAUUGUGAAAGUGUCUAAACUAAAUAGAUGAAUUAAAUUAAGUCAAAGUACACUAAAAACAUGAACUUUUAAAUAAAGAAUCAAUUUUAUCAAUAAGCUAAUAAAACUAUAAAAACACAUAAACUAAUUAAAAUGAACGAAAUUAAAUCAAAGAAUACUAAAAAUCUGAGCUUUCAAACAUGGGAUCAAUUUCAUUAAUGAACUAAACUAUAAUAAAUAUCUAAACUAAAUAUAAUGAAUCAAAUUAAAUUAAAGCAACCUAAAAACGCAAACUGUCAAACAUAGAAUCAAUUUUAUCAAUGAAUUAAAACUAUAAAUGUAUUUGAACUAAAUAGAUGAAUCAAACUAAAUCAGAGUAAACUAAAAAAAUGAACUUUCUAACAUGAAAUCAAUUUUAUCAACAAAUAAAUGAAUGAACAACAAGUAAUUAAAAGAAUAGCUAAUACAUGAAUAACUAAAUGAAUAAAAUUCAAACGUUUUCAAUCUGAAGCAAUCAAUCAAAAUUAAAUAGGGAUCAAAUCAAAAUAAUCGAAAUCGGAAAAACAAUAUGCAAUCUUUCUAAAGGUUUAAUCAGACAAUUGAAUUAAAAUUAUGAAUAGAAUAAAUUAAUAAACCAAAUCGAAACCUAAAUUGUACCUAAAAAAGAUUAAUUAAUUAAACUAAGAAAUCAGAAUCAAUAACAAAACUAAACUAAGGAGUGAAUUAAGACAAAACUAAUUAAAUUAAACUCACAAACACAUUUUAACUAUCAUAUGGAUUAAAACAAAAUUAGCAUGGACUUAUGAAUUACAAACAAAAAUAAUCAAAACUAUUUCAAAAACUCACCUGUAUUAUCAAAAAAAAUCUGCCUUUGAUGCGUUAAGGUGGCUCCCCUCUCCGUGUGGAUCUCUCUGCUCCCCAGAGAAAAAAUCUUCUCACCUUUCUCCUUCUAAAACAAAAAAUCCCCCCUUUGUGGAUCUCUCUGCCCCCGUUUAUAUGGUAGCACCUACCUUUGUAUGGAAUAUUUUGUUUCUUUUUUAAUGCCUUUGGACAUAUGGAAAGUGCUUACAUUUUGUUCACCUUGGAGACUCUUUUAAAGAUAUUGCCCUGUACCCCGUUUGGCAAGUGUCUAGAUCUUAAUGACUGCAUCAUCUGCCGUUAAUUGGAUUGAUCAGGCUAGAACCUUAUCCUACACCAUCACGCGCUGGAACAUUCACAUCGUAAUGCAAACUUCACUGAAAAAAAAAAACAAAGAAUAUUCCGGCAGCUUUGUAAGAUCGACAAAUCAAGAUUUCUCUUCUUUUCCUAUGGCGAACGCGUGGCGGUGGGUCGUGGUAUUUUCCAGCAUAAAUCUCCAUUCAUUUUUGGUGAUGGCAGCCGGAGUUCAACCUUUCUUGGGUGAUGUGACCAUGGCGUCUUUCCUCACUGGCAGCACCAUGAUCGCGCUCAAAUCUUCGCCAGAAAACAAACUGUCGAUGAUGCUGGCUGUUAACAUCCUUUCCAGAGGAGAAACUCCAAUCUUAUUGACGGAAAACACGCCGUUCACCUGAAAAUCCUCCCUUGACCCCUCAAUGACCUACAUCUGUAGUAUGAAACCUGACUGGUGGCGGAUUUGGUGCAGGAUUAUAUAUUUCCGACUGCUUGAGGUUGGGAACAACCUCAUUUAUUAAUUCGAUUCUCCGAGAAGUACUAGUACCAAGAGAACUUGGAACUGGUUUGGAGUCCUCUCUUUUAUACUGCUCAAAUCUUCUUAUAUCUCCAAACGAAGAAUCUCGUUCACCAUCUAAGCCAUCCAUUACACUCUGCCUCGUGAUGUGUUCUUGACAAGAAUGGUGACCGUAUUUUCUUCUAACCCCAACAAUGUCUUGGCUCUGACCGGACUAGUAGUAGAAAUACCGACCAUUUUCUCUGAACCAGUCUAGAAAAGAGGAUUCAAGAAACCACAUCCACUAUCUCUAUCAUGAUCUUGGCUUCCAGCACCGAAAUCAAUAUCACCAAGAGUAGAUAACGCUUUUGCUAUUGAAAAUUGUUUUACUGUAACUGAUUUUCCUAAUCCAGUCCGGAACGUUGGAGGGCUCUCAACAUAGGGACCGCCAUUUUUCAAGACCUCUGAACAUCCUUGAAGCAACAGAUCCACCAUGGACGGGAGAUGGGGAGUAGAAUCGUAUGGUUGGAUCGGAGCACUUCUUGUUCCCUCUACGGGUUUGGUUAAGCUUUGUGCAUCUGAAAUCGGUUUCAAGCUUUCCCUACUUUUCAGGAGAGUGCAAUGAGACGCAGCCCCAAUAGAACUCUCGAGAGUCCCUCCCCUCAAAAGGUGAUCUGGUCUUGUCCUCUUUCAUGUACCUUCCGUAAAGAUAUCUUGAAAUCCCCAUAUCUCUAUGAGGAAUAUCCAGCUAUCACUUUGUGGUGCGACACACAUGCUAUUCCUUGCUUCUCCACGUACAAGUCAUUUAGAAUCUCAAUUCUCUAAUACCUUCCCCUCACGUGGUAGCUUCGUUGGCUUCAUCUUUUGCUUUCACACGAGCCACCUAUUCCGGAAUAUGCAAUUCCUCUCCUCAUGCAAAAUAGAAUAGAAUAAUAUUAAAAAGUAAAAGAAAAUAGAUGAAACUAAUGACAUUAGUAAUAUAAUGAAAUAUGAUUUCAAAUGAAAGAAAGAGAACUAGGAGAGACUAGGUUAUAUAAUUCCAUUAUUCGAUAAGAGGUCGUAUGCACAUUUGAGGUCUAAACAAUUUAAGCAAUUUUCUAUUAAGUAAGUAAAUAAAUAAAAUAAGAAUAAAAAUAAAUAAAAAAUAAAAAAUAAAAAUAGUAAUAAUAAUAAUAAUGACAAUGAUAAUAAUAAACAAAUAAAGAGUAAAAAUGAAAAUGAAUAAACAAAAUAUAUAUAAUUAUAGAAUGUAUGCAAUAAUAAUAAUAAUAACAAUAAUAAAAGUUAUCUAUAUAUAUAUAUAUAUAUAUAAGUUAAGCCCGAUGAAGUGUUUAAACGGCCCUACAUGGGUGCCUAAGUGGACCUAGGGUGCCUAAAUGAGCUACCCUAAAAGCUAUCCUAAAAAUGAAUGAAAAGCCUAAGUCUAAAAUAGGGCUGCCAAAGGUCACAACAAGGGGUCAGAUAAUCCCUUAACCAAAGUUUCCGAGGUGACUCAGAAAAGGGUAAGUCGUACGAGUAGUAAUGGGCCACCAAGGAACUACCGUGGAGCACUGGAAGUGAAUUUAAAGACAUGUGCUAAAGGGACAAAAUUGAGGGUCUACAAUGGUAUUAACCACAAUUUUUCGGCCCCUAGAACUCCUCAACAAAAUGGGGUAGUUGAAAGAAAAAAUAGAACUAUUCAAGAAAUGGCUAGAACCAUGCUAAAUGAAAACAAUUUACCAAAAUACUUUUGGGCCGAAGCGGUUAACACUUCUUGUUAUGUUUUAAAUAGAAUUUUAUUGAGGCCUAUUCUUAAGAAAACUCCUUAUGAGCUUUGGAAAAACAAGAAACCCAACAUUAGCUAUUUCAAAGUCUUUGAGUGCAAAUGCUUUAUAUUAAACACCAAAGACAAUCUUGGAAAAUUUGAUGCAAAAUCGGAUGUUGGAAUUUUUCUUGGUUACUCAACUUCAAGUAAAGCCUUUAGAGUUUUUAACAAAAGAACCAUGGUUGUUGAGGAGUCCAUCCAUGUUAUUUUUGAUGAAUUUAACAAUUCUCUCCAAGAAAGAGAGAGCUUUGAUGAUGAUUUAGGCUUGGAAACCUCCAUGGGAAAAUUAAAAAUUGAAGAUAGAAGGCAACAAGAAGAAGUUGUAAAGGAUCCCAAGAAAUAAGAAUCACCUUUGGCACUACCUCCUCCUCAACAAGUGCAAGGUGAAUCAAGCCAAGACCUCCCUAAAGAUUGGAAGUUUGUCAUCAACCACCCACAAGAUCAAAUUAUAGGUAAUCCAUCUAGUGGGGUAAGAACUAGAUCAUCUCUUAGAAAUAUUUGCAAUAAUCUUGCUUUUAUCUCUUAAAUUGAACCUAAAAAUAUAAAAGAUGCACUAGUUGAUGAAAAUUGGAUGAUUGCUAUGCAAGAAGAGUUAAACCAAUUUGAAAGAAGUGAAGUAUGGGAAUUAGUGUCAAGACCUCAAAAUCAAAGUGUUAUUGGAACUAGAUGGGUCUUUAGAAAUAAAAUGGAUGAAAAUGGCAUAAUUAUAAGGAAUAAAGCAAGAUUGGUAGCCCAAGGUUUUAAUCAAGAAGAAGGGAUAGAUUAUGAAGAAACCUUUGCUCCCGUAGCUAGAUUGGACGCCAUUAGGAUGCUACUUGCCUUUGCAUGUUUUAAAGACUUUGUUUUAUAUCAAAUGGAUGUGAAAAGUGCUUUCUUAAAUGGCUUUAUAAAUGAAGAGGUAUAUGUUGAACAACCACCCGGUUUUCAAAGUUUUAACUUUCCUAAUCAUGUUUUUAAACUUAAAAAGACACUUUAUGGUUUGAAACAAGCACCUAGAGCAUAGUAUGAAAGAUUGAGUAAAUUUCUUUUGAAAAAGGGUUUUAAAAUGGGAAAAAUCGACACAACUCUUUUCAUAAAAACCAAAGAAAAUGACAUGCUCUUAGUGCAAAUAUACGUUGAUGAUAUCAUUUUUGGAGCUACUAAUGUCUCUCUUUGUGAAUAAUUUUCUAAAUGCAUGCAUAGUGAGUUCGAAAUGAGCAUGAUGGGAGAACUUAAAUUCUUCCUUGGACUUCAAAUCAAGCAACUAAAGGAAGGAACCUUCAUCAAUCAAGCAAAGUAUAUAAGAGAUCUCCUCAAAAGGUUCAAUAUAGAGGAAGCCAAAACAAUGAAGAGUCCAAUGAGCUCAUCCAUCAAGCUUGACAUGGAUGAGAAAGGUAAGUCCGUCAACUCAACUAUGUAUAGAAGCAUGAUAGGUUCUUUGCUAUAUUUGACUGCUAAUAGACCCGACAUCAUGUAUAGUGUAUGCUUGUGUGCUGGAUUUCAAUCUUGUCCUAAAGAAUCUCAUUUAAGUGCUGUAAAACGAAUUCUUAGAUAUUUAAAAGGGACAAUGGACAUAGGCCUAUGGUAUCCUAAGGGUGAUAACUUUGAAUUAAUUGGAUACUCGGAUGCUGACUUUGCCAGUUGUAAAGUUGAGAAGAAAAACACUACUGGCACUUGUCAUUUCCUAGGACACUCACUUGUUUCAUGGCAUAGUAAGAAGCAAAAUUCGGUAGCUUUGUUUACGGCGGAAGCCAAAUACAUAGCUGCCAGUUUAUGUUGUGCACAAAUCCAUUGGAUGAAACAAACACUUAGUGAUUUCAAUUUGAUUUCGAGCAUGUUCCUAUUAAAUGUGAUAACACUAGUACCAUAAACAUUUCAAAAAAUCCGGUGCAACACUCUAGGACUAAGCAUAUAGAGAUUAGACACCAUUUUCUUGGAGACCAUGCACAAAAGGGUGACAUUACACUUGAAUUUGUAGGCACAAAAGAUCAACUUGCCGACAUUUUUACAAAACCCCUAAGUGAAGAGCAAUUUGUUGAUAUUAGAAGACAACUAGGGGUGAUUUCUUUAUGAUCAAAUGAGUGCUUGAUGAAUUCUUGAUUGAAUAUACCUUAUGAUUGUGUGAAAUUCAUAUCAUAUGCAUCAUAUAGAAAUAAUCUGAGGAAAAAGGUCAAAUUUUGACCAAAAAUCAAAAUUCUCAUGGCAUUGACAUAAAAAAUUGGGAAUUUCAACUUAAAGGGGCAGAGGGAGGAUCACGAGACAAGAAAAUGAAAAAAAUUGGACCGUUGACCGUUGACCGUUGACCAAGCGGUCGACCGGUUCGUCGGGGCUGGGAAUUUAAAGAGUCCCCUACGCGUUAUUUCUCUCAAUGUUCUCCUUCACCCCUUGAAAACCCUUCACAUACCUGCUUCCAGAGACCAUUUUGGGUUGGAUUUUGGACUGAUUGAAGGCUUUGGAGUGGAUUUUAGGACGCAUUUGAGCUAGGGUUUCAAUAUGAAACCUAGGGUUUUCAGUUUUGGGAGCGUCUUCUCUCUAUACCACUCGCCUCGGGCUUGGUUCAGCUUCAUCUCCAUGCGCCUAGGGCUUCGGGUUCGUGUUUGCUCUCUCUUGUUUGGUUUCAUUCUCCUUUUAGACUUCUCCUUCUCCCUAUUCUGUUCGUUGGAUGGCUCCUAAGCGAGAGACGGGCACCUCCAGGGCUCAGGGCAAGCGCCAUGUUGAGACAUCUCAGCCCAAGCAGAUGGAGGCUCGCCGAAAGGCGAGGUAUGACAUGACCCUCUUUAGUUCCGUCGACGACUAUCAGCGAUACAAGCAAAAGUUCGCCCAGAGGAAAGUCGUUCCAGGGAGAAAUAUCAAUUUCUCCCAACUUCAGCACUUCGGGUUUGAGGGACUCUUCAGUGGGAUGGGAUGGCUGCCAGUUGUGACGAUUUUUGAGCCGAUCUUCCCGACUCUGGUGCAGACUUUUUAUUCACGAGCGACCUAUGGGCUUGGAGGACCGGUAUUGUCCACAGUUAGAGGAGUUGAGAUCAGAUUAGCCUGGAGAGUAUUUGCCGCAUUCUCAACAUUCCUUUAGUUGGACUCCGAGUUUAUGAGGCCAAGGCGUGGCCCACUGUACCAGGAUUCGAGCUUAGAGAGGUUGUUUAGAGGUUGUGCGGACUCGCAGAUGCCCAAGGGAUGGGAAAACCAUCGGCACACAGCCUGACCGUGCCCAUUCGAGUCCUUCAUCACAUGAUCUGCUCCAUCUAAUUGCCACGAGGAGGACAUCGAGACGAGGUCUCCUACCUUGAGGUUGUCAUUGUGGACUCGAUUCUGACUGGGAGACGGAUUCACGUAAGGUAUCUGAUCAUGAUGCAUAUGAUAUCCUACGUUGAGAGCAUGACACGAGUACUCCCCUACGACUGUUUCCUUACCCAUGUAUUCAAGGAUGUCGGGGUCAACUUGAGCAGAGAGACGGACUUCGAGGCCCCUACUAGCUAUGACACUUAUGAUGAGCAGUCCUUGGGGCGAAUGAAGUUCGAGAAGGCACCCGAUGGCUCCUAGGUUAGGAGAGCUGAGCGAUAGGCCCGGGGACAGAUGCAUCCCGGAACAGAGAAGGGGGCCGAGAUCAGAGAGAUGGAGGAUGGGUUAGACCCUCAGAGGGAUUUUGAGCAAAGAGGGCCCGAGCUUGACAUUCCGCCUCCACCUCAAUCAGAAAAGAUUCAUGUUGAGGCCACUUUCUCAUAGCCUAUGAUGACUGAGCCAUCUUACACGGCAGGACCAUCAUCUCAACCAUCAUUUACCGAGCUUCCUCACACAGAGCUACCAUCUCAGGCACCUCACGCUCCUGAUCAUGCGCCUUGGAUAGAUGUCUCAGCUCAGAUCAGCUCCCUUGGGACUCAUAUGGAGGAGCUUGCUUUAGUCCAUGACACUCGUUUCUACUCUAUGAAGGAGCACAUGGAUCAAUAUCAAACUGGUGUCACUUCUCGAUUUGAGCACUUCUAGCAGCGUUUUGAGCACAUAGAGGAGCGUAUGGAUCAGCAGCAGGCUAUAUUUGAGCAUCUCCAACAGAGUAUUGAUCGCAUUGAGAGUCGCCAGGCGAGUUAGCAUGAGGAGAUGAUGGCUUACCUCCGUUCUAUGUUUCCUCCUCCACCCCCUCAGCCUUGAGAUUAGCUAGAGUUCCCCCUCAGUUUCUUUUUUAUGUUGCCAAAGGGGGAGAAAUAUAUAAGAUCUAAGAGACCCUCAUGCAUAUCAUGGUCAUCAUUGUCAUAUCUAUCUUGUUUAACAUAUUCUUUCGUGUACAUGUGAGGUUACCAUAUAUAUAUGAUAUGAUAUUUUCAUGAUCCAUUGUUUCCUAUUCAAAUUUUCAUGCUUUACAGUGUUUCCUAUUAAAAAUUGUUUGAUUGAUCCAUGAUUGGUUUGAGGGGGAGAUUUUUUUCUCUCCUAGAUAACCAAGGGUUGUCAUCAUAAAAAAGGGGGAGAUUGUUAGCAGAAGGGUUCUCCUAAUCGGGUUUUGAUGAUAACAAACCAUGGUUAAGUGACUAAUUUGUUUAAUGGUUAAGAAUCUCAGGCAUAAACUCGAAAAUUUAUUAAAUGACCAAAUGGAUACAAGAUCGAGACGCUUGGAAGACUUGUGAUCAUAGGAAACUAAUGUAAGAUGAAUGCAUGAGUGCACUUAGGAUUUUCACACGUUUCAUGCAACUUAGAAAACUCGGUUUAUUAUUUAAAACUUUGAUUUCAUUAAAACCCGAGUUUUUAACUAAUGUACCUUAGGCAAAAUGUUUUAUAAUUGGUUUAAUAAUUCACCUAAAGACCUUGCCUAAGUGUUAGAAAAGAAAGAAAUUAAAAAAAAAAAGGUUUUUGGGGCUAAAAAGGCUCAACCGGUUGAGGAACCGGUCGACCGGUUGUGCUCAUCCGAUCGAGGACCGGUCGAAGAUGCACAAAAAGUUUCUCUCUCUCCCAGUAGCCUUCUCUUCUCGGUUGAGGUGAUUCUCUUCCCGGUCUAGGUCCGGUUGAGGCAACGGUAACCUGUCAAGCAUUAAAUGCUCCAACGGCUAGUGAACCGGUCGACGCCUAACUCGACCGGACGAGGUUACCUUUUGCUGUUUUUAACUACUGAGCUUAGAAACCUAUAAAUUGAGAGCUCCACUUCAUUUAUUAAAAAGAGAACACUUGCAUUCAAUAGUCUACCUACCUGUUCUUGAUCUAAAAGCUCACAUUUCCUUCAUAGUGCAUUAAAUCACCACUUGCAUAUCCUUUAGUGCACUCUUGUGUGUCAUCCUAGCUUUAUCUUGUAUUUGAGCUAUCCUUAAGCUAGGUUGAGGGAUUAUUUCUUUUAAAAAUCUAAGUGUUAAAGCCUUCAAGAGGUUUGAAUCUUGAAGAGAUUGUGUAAGAGCCCAUUGGAGCCGAAAUCCAAGUGUAAGAAGAUUGGAAGCUUGGUUGAAGCUUCAAGUUAGUGGAACCCUCACUCGGUUAGGAGAUUGAGGAGAGUGGACGUAUGAAAGGAAGUGUUGAACCACUAUAAACCCAAGUUUGAAUUCUCUAACUCUAUCUCUUUAUUUUGCUUAUAUUGUGUUUGAAUUUGUUGUGAUUGAAAAGAUUUUAAAAACCCAAUUCACACCCCCCCCCCCCCCCCCUUUGGGUGUUUUCCUUAAUUAAGCAUAACCUUUGUUUUCUCAAAACCUAUUUCUUACUUUUGUAAUAUGUAAAUGUGAAAUACACUUAAACACUUACAUUUGUUUCUAUUAUAUUUUUCAAAUUUCAAUACACUAAUUAGGAAUUUAAGGUACUUUUCAAUAGGGGUUUUUUUUUUUUUAAAAAAAAAAGGGAAAAAUGCAUAUAAUUUGAAAUUCUUUAUUUUCUUUAAGAAUGAAUAAAUAUAACAAAUAUAAGACAAAAUUUUUAUUAAUUAGUUAAACUUUUUUGUUUACUUUUAUUAUUUUUCCUUACUUUUUGGCUUACUCUUUCUGCUAGCAGAGCAAACAACUUUGGCUAGGGCGACAAGUAGAGAAAUGAUAAAAGUGUAAUGAACAUUGAUAAAUUUUAAUAUUUUUAAAGUGAAAUGACAAAAAGGGAAAAAAAUAUAUAAUGUAUCAAAUAAAAUAACAAAAAUAUCGAUAAAAACAAAUCUUUUAAAUUUUACUAAAAUAAAUGAUUUUUUUUUUUUUUUUUUGUAAAAUCUUUUUAUUAAGAAUUUUUUUUUCCAACUAAAUACUGAAUAUUUCAACAACGGGAUUUCGUUACUUGUAUAUGCAUCUUGCAAACAAAAAUUAAGUAUUGGUUUUCUCUACAUCCGUGGCUCUGUCCAACGUCGACAUGUUAUUAUAUGAAGAGAUUUUAUUGUAAAAGCAUUCAACUUCCUAAGGAUGGAGAAACAACAUAAACAAUAGGAAGAUACAAACAAAAAAACCACAUGAUACCACCACCAGUUGCUAGCAAUGGGAUUUCCAAGUGUUUCCUACACAUAAUAUUUUAGCAAUUAAAAUACAAAUAGUUUAAAUGAAAAAGGGUAAAGAGAAAGAGAAUGAAAGGGGGUAAAAAGAAAGAGAAAAAGUAGUUUUGUUUGGUCUGAGUAUAACUUCUAUUGAAUAUUUUCAUCAUAAUUAAUUAGGGGAUUUUGAGUGAAAUUAUGUAAGUUAUUGCUUUUUCUAAAUAAUCUAUAAACUUUUUUAUUCACUAAUACCUAAAUUACAUGUAGUUUCAAUUGAAAAAAACUUGAGAGGUGAGUUUUGCAAAUAACUAACCAAGUGAUGCAAGUUCACAUAACUGGUAGAAAUGAAAUAAAGGGCUCGUUUGAUUGUAUUUUUUUAAAAACAUGGGUGUUUAUAAGCAAGUUAUAUUUUAGAACAAUUUUUAAAAGUAAAAAAUAAAAAACUUGUUUAGAUAAGUUGUUUUAAAAAUAAUUUUUUGUUUUGGUUUUGUAAAAAUAUUGCAAUUUCAAUUUAUAUAUUAUAAAUUUAAUUUAAUUUAAGACUUAUUAAAAAUUAUAAUAAUUUUGUAGUUGUAAAUAAAUUAAAAAUAAAUAGUUUUUAGUAAAACAUGAAUAAUAAUCUAAUAAUAAAAUCAUAAAUUAUAAUUUUUUUUUAAAAAAAUACUAUUUUAGUAAAUGUUAGAAACAUAAGGAUAUUAACAUCUUUGUAAUUUAUUUUUUGGUUAAAAAUGAAUAAUAAUAAUUUAAAAUAACAAUGUUUAACAAUAUUUUAUUCAAAAUGAAUAAUGAAUAAAGAUUAACUUUUGAACAUAUAAAUAAGUCAAGUUUUUCAUUUCAUAUACACAUUUAGUACUAAAUUAUGAAUAUAAUAAUUUAAAAUAGUUUGAUUUAGUUUCCAUUUAAUUAGAUCUGUUGUUUGAAUUUAGAAUUAUUCUUAAAAAUUAUAAAAAUUGUUGAAGAAUUUAAAUUAUUAAUUAUGUCUUAAUUUAUAAUUUAUUAUCUGAAUUUAAAAUAUAUGUUUAUGUGCAAUGGAGAAACAAUAAAGUCAUGACUCAUAAUAUAUCAAUUUUGAUAUAUUAUUAUUAUUAUUUUAAUUAUUAAAUAUAUUUUUGAGUUCCGAAUUAUUUUUAAAAAAAAUUAAACUUAGUAAUAAAUUCAAUAAAAAGUGUCACUUGAUUUGAAUUUCAUUUUUAUAGUGAAAAAAAUUAUAAAAAUAUAAUUAUGCACAAAUAAUAAUAAUAAUAAUAAUAGAGUCAUUAUGAACCAAUUUUUAUCCAAAACAUUAUAGUAUUAAUAAGUUUAUUAUUUGAGUUUUAAAUUAUUUUUAAAAAUUACCAAACUGGUUUAUGAAUCCAACAUAUUAAGUUUGUUUAAUUUGGAGCUUUUUUGUUUUAAUUUGGAGCUUUUUUUGUCUAGUUAUAAAAAUGAUAAAAUAAUGAUUCUAUGUAGAAGAGAAACAAUAGUUAUUUUUGACCAAUUUUUGUCCAUAAAUUUCUAGUAUUGAUUACAUCAUUAUUUUAGUUUUAAGUUAUUUUGAGAAAAUUAAUAGACUUGUUAAUGAAUCCAACGCAUUAAGUCUUGUUUAAAUUGGAGUUCAUUUGUUUAGUGAAAUAAACAAAAAAAAAAAAAAAGGAUUCUAUAUAAAAGAGAAACAAAAAAGUUGCUAUAAACCAAUUUUUGCCAUAAAUUUUUUGUUGACAAUCAAGAGUAAUUAUCUCCAAGUUGGUUCUCCAACAUUCAAGCCCCUAAUUUUUCUCUACUGCUAGUUGUAUAUAUAAACAAAAAUUACUGGAACUUCGGUAAAUAUGUGAUUGUAUCUCGACAGUUAUAGUUUCCUUAUUGUUAGUCAAUCAGUUCUAAACUAUAGGAUCUAAAGCUUUGUACAGUGGCUAUUUAUGCCCAGCCAGUAAUAGAGAAAACUAUUGGAGUCUUCUCCUCACAAACUAUGUAUUUUUGACUUGGUAUUAGAGCAUGCAUUAUUAUCCAUUAAUAUCAUCACAACCGGAAUUCUUAUAUACCCCUCACACCAUGACUAAUAACAAACCCAAAUCAUCCUCUGUACCAAUUAUCCAUGUUCAAUAAAAAAAAACCCUAGUUUCACAACUAAUGUCAUCCUUAUCGAAACCAAUUAUGACGUCUGGUCUCAAUUCAUGGAAAUGCAUAUUAUAGAAUGUGAGAAGCUUGAAUAUUUUAUGAGUAAAACAUCUCUGAAGGUUACCAAUACUUCCUAUGCAAAGUCGUAUGCUGAGAAUCAAAAGGUCAAAGGAUGGUUGUUGACCUCUAUGUCACCGGAGAUUAUGAAACACUAUCUUAGAUUGCCCAUUACAUAUGAAAUUUGGAUUGCUCUUGCCAAAGCAUUCUAUGAUGGGGCAUAUGAAUCGCAACUCUUUGCACUGAAUCAACAAGCAUUCUCCACCAAAUAGGUUGGUUGUCCUCUUUCCACCUAUUAUGGUGAUCUGAUAGAAAAUUUUCAAGAGCUAGAUCAUUGUGAUAAAAUUGUCAUGAAUGAUCUCGAUGAUUUUAUUGCUUAUAAAAAAUCAGCUGAGAGACUGCAAGUGCAUAUUUUUUCUGAAUGGAUUAGAUGCAGAAUUUGAACAAAUUCGAGGUGAGAUUCUCAUGAGGGAUCCUAUACUGGAUCUUGAAGAAACUUAUGUGUAUGUUUGUCGUGAUUUUGUUCGCCGAGCUACACCAAAUGGCGAACCUGAACAUUCAGAGCUAUCUACUAUGGUAGCUCGCCGAGUCAAGUAUCAACAACUGUAAACAAACCCGAAACCAGAUCGAACAUUUGGUCCAUCGAAGCAUAAUCAUAAUAAGUCAUUUAGUUCACAAAAUUGUAGCUACGAAAUAGGAGCUACACAACCAGAACGUAUGUGUACUCACUAUGGUGAAACCAGACACACUAAGUCACGGUGCUAUGAAUUGAUUAGAUAUCCAGAAUGGUGGGAUUUUGCUAAGGCACCUCGUGAACAAAAUUCAAAGAUAAACCAUCAUGCUUCUAUUGUGCUAGUCAAGCCUAGUCAUGCUUUCACCAGCAAUCUUAAGAAAGCCUCCUCUUUCAUUGCUACUUCUGAGAAUGUGGGUAAGACUCUUCAUACCUCUAUUCCUGUUAGUCAUAGUGAAUGGAUAAUUGAUUCAGGUGCCACAAAUCACAUGACCUUUGACAAUAAUCAUAUUAAGUCCAUAAAAUCCUCAAACCAACAUAUAGUGUCCAUAGCCGAUGGUACCCUCUUUCCCGUAUUAAGAGAAGGUUCAAUUUCUCUUACAAAAAAUUUGAAUUUAGAUUUUGUUUUGGUUGUCCCUUCCCUUAAUCAUAACUUAUUACUUGUUGCUCAAAUAACCCUUGCUUUAAAUCGUGUUGUGAUUUUUUGGCCUAACCUUUGUGUCUUUAUGGACAUUCAAACUCGAAAGACAAUUGGUUAUGGUACUAGGAGAGAAAAGCUCUACUAUCUGGAUCUAAUGUUGGCAAGCUCAAAUUAGUUGGCUCAAGUUUUUUCAGCUAAUACACCUGAUAAACUUCAAAGUUCAGAAAUCUGGUUGUGGCACAAGCAUUUAGGCCAUGCAUUUUUUUUUUUUUUGAUAUUUAUAGAAAUUGUUUCCACAACUUUUUUCACAAUUGGCUGUUUCAGGUUUUAAAGUGUGACAUUUGUGAACUAGUUAAAAGUCAUCAUGUUCCAUUUCCCAUUAGUAUGAAUAAAAGUCCUAUACCUUUUAUGGUUAUUCACUCUAAUGUAUGGGAGCUUGCAAAUACUUCUUUGAGUAAAACACGUUGGUUUGUUUCAUUUAUUAAUGAUCUCACUCACAUGACUUGGAUUUGCUUGAUGAAAUCAAAGAGUGAAGUAAGUUCCCUGUUUCACCAAUUUCACAAAAUGAUAGCAACUCAACAUCAAUCUAACAUUCAGGUUAUCCGUACUGAUAAUGGAGGUGAGUUUGUGAAUCAAGACUUAAAACAGUACUUGAAUUUACAUGGAAUUGUUCAUUAGACUACUUACCCUUACACCCCUCAACAAAAUGGAGUAGCCAAAUGAAAAAAUCAUCACCUUCUUGAGGUUGUUUGGGCUUUCUUGUUAGAGCUCACAUGCCCACCAGUUAUUAGGGUGAAGCCAUCAUUGCUACAACCUACUUCAUCAACCCUAUACCUUCUAGUUUCCUACAAUUUUAUACUCCCUUUGAUGUCCUUCAUCAUACUGUAAAUGCUCCUACCAUACUAAAUUUGUCCCCUAAAGUUUUUGGAUGUGUAGCCUUUGUGCAUCUUCACAAAGGCUUGAGAACUAAGUUAGAACUCCAGACGCUUCAAUGUGUAUUUGUUGGCUAUGUCUUGCAUAAAAAACGCUAUCGGUGUUAUCACCCCCCUUCUCGAAAGCUUUAUGUUACCCUUGAUGUGGUCUUUCAUGAAAAUGAUAUGAAUUAUUCUGAGUCUUCACUUCAAGGGGAGAAUAGAGAUGAAGUGGAGACUUUACAUCAUCCUUUGGACAACUUGGAUUUUAUAAGAGGUGAUAACUUAGGAACUAGUGGUGAAUGUCCAAGUGAUGAUAACAACAUGGAUAACAAGGAGGAGUGUCUAAGUGAGACUGGUGAUGGUCCAAAAUUUUUUGAGGAUGAGAAUCAGGGUUAGAAGGAAGUUUAGAAUUAAAUGGAAAUGUCAUCAAUCUCGCAUGAUGUACUGGCUAACCAAUUGUCUUCUCCAAUCGAUUCGAUGCCUAAGUCUUAUGAAAAUUCUAAAUCUGAACCUCACCUAAAAGUGUUACCCAAUCAAGUCACAAGAGGGAAACCCAAAGUUAGCUAUGAACCUCUCCUCAACUCUAAAUCUAAAUAUCCCAUAAAUAACUAUGUAUCCUACCAUAGAUUGUCAAAGGAAAGUAUGACAUUUGUGAAUCAAUUAUCCAUUGUAUCUAUUCCUAACAAUGUGCAAGAAGUCUUGAAAGAUCCUAAAUGGAGGGAAUCAAUGAUGGAAGAAAUGAAGGCCAUUAAAAAAAACUCAACGUGGGAAGUUGUUGACUUGCCUAAAGGAAAGAUACCUAUUGGAUAUAGGUGGGUCUUCACCAUUAAAUACUUUGGAACUAUUGAACAAUGUAAAGCAAGACUUGUCGCCAAGGGAUAUACUCAAACAUAUGGAAUUGAUUAUAUGGAGACAUUCACACUAGUGGCUAAAAUUAAUACUAUUUGUAUUCUAUUAUCUCUGGAAGUGAAUCUUGACUAGCCUUUACACCAGUUUGAUGCAAAGAAUGCAUUUCUACAUAGAAAUCUUGUAGAAUAAGUGUAUAUGGAGUUGCCCCCUAGCUAUAAUCGGCAAACUGAAGGUAAUAAAUAGGUUUGUAGGUUGAGAAAAUCCUUAUAUGGUUUGAAACAGUCUCCUAUAGCAUUGUUUAGAAGGUUCACAAGUUUCAUGAAGUCUAUUGGUUACAAGCAAAGUAACUCAAAUCAUACUCUAUUCUUGAAGCAUAAUAACGAACAAAUCACAGCUCUUAUUAUGUACGUUGAUGCUAUGAUAGUGAUUGGAAAUGAUCCCAAAGAAAGGAAAACACUAUAAGAGCAUCUUGCUUUUGAGUUUGAGAUGAAAGACCUCGGUGAAUUGAAAUAUUUCCUCGAAAUUGGAAGUGUCAAGAUCGAAGAAAGGUAUUUUUCUAUAUCAAAGAAAAUAUGCCUUAGACUUACUAAAUGAAACUGGUAUGAUAGCAUGUAGUCCAACAAACACUCCUAUGGAAGAAAAUCUGAAACUAUGUGUGCAUUCAAAUCAAUUUCCUGCUAACAAGGAAUGCUUAUUAGAGACUAGUUGAAAUAUUAAUGUAUCUUGCACAUACUCGACCUGAUUUAUCUUAUGCGUUGAGUGUGGUUAGUCAAUUCAUGCACUCCCCAAGAAAAGAACAUAUGAAUGCUAUCAUCCAUAUCUUACGCUAAAUGAAGUCAUCUCCAAGAAAGGGAAUUUUAUUCACAAAAUGAGACAAAUAUUUGGAUAUUACCGGCUAUACAGAUGUUGAUUGGGCUAGGUCAAUUCAAGAUAGACGUCCUACAUCUGGCUAUUUUACAUUUGUAGGAGGAAAUUUAGUUACUUGGCGAAGUAAAAAACAAGAGGUAGUUGUUAGAUCUAGCAUUGAAUUUGAAUACAGAGGAAUGGCUAAGGCAAUAUGCGAAUUGUUGUGGAUAAAAAAUCUAAUGCAAGAUUUACAUAUUAAGCAAGUUAGCCCUAUGAAGUUAUAUUGUGAUAACAAGGCAACGUGUGAUAUUGCCCAUAAUCUUGUCCAACAUGAUUGAACCAAACAUGUUAAGGUUGAUAGGCAUUUUGUCAAGGAGAAAUUGGAAGCAAAAAUGAUUAAAGUUCCUCAUGUUUGGUCUCAAGACUAGCUUGCUGAUGUGCUGACCAAGGCAAUGUUAAACCAAGCAUUUAAUGGUUGUCUCAACAAACUAGGCAUAAGCGACAUCUAUGCACCAACUUGAGGGAGAGUGUUAACAAUCAAGAGUAAUUAUCUCCAAAUUGAUUCUCCAACAUUCAAGCCCCUAAUUUUCCUCUACUGCUAGUUGUAUAGAUAGACUAGAAUUACUAGAAUUCUUGUAUAUAUGUGAUUGUAUCUCGAUAGCUAUAGUUUCCUUAUUGUUAGUCAAUCAGUCCUAAACUAUAGGAUCUAAAGCUUUGUAUAGUGGCUAUUUAUGCCCAGCCAGUAAUAGAGAAAACUUUUGUAGUAUUCUCCUCACAAACUUUGUAUUUUUGACAUUUUUUGUAUUAAUUGGUUCAUUCAUUGAGUUUUAAAUUAUUUUUAGAAAUUAUUAAACUCGUUAAUGAAUCCAAAAUAUUAAGUCUUACUUAAUUUGAAAUUUAUUUGUCGAAUAAAUAUUUUUAUAAAAUUAUGAUAUAUAUAUAUAAAGAAUAAGCUAACCCAAACAUUUAAAAUAAUUUUUGUCUAUGACUUACUAAUAUUAUUAAGUUUCAUGACUUUUUAUUAUUAAUUAAAUGAUUUUUAAGUUUCAAAUUAUUUUUGAAAAUUAGUAAAUUUUAUGUAUCAAGUACAAUUUCAUUUGAAAUUUAUUUGUUUAAUGAAAAAUUUUGAAGACGUUAAAAGAAAUUAAGAAAAGUACUUGUAAUUUAAAGAAAUGUUAUAUUUUAAGAUUUUCAAUAUUAGUAUUAGAUUCUGGAGAGAGAAAGGGAAUGCAAUCAUGUUCAUUUUUUUUUUUGGUUUUUUUUUUAAAUUUAUGUUUUAACUUCCUUUUGUUUUUUAAAACUUGUGAAAAAAACUUAUACUUAUUUUCUAAAAAUUGUUCUCGAUUUUAAUUUGUUUUUAAAAAUUGUUUUUAGGGAACAACAACCAAACAGUAAUAAGAAUUUUAAAAAAUAGUUUUCUGUUUAAAAACAUAAAACUAUUUUUAAAUCAUACAACCAAAUAGGCUCAAACUUGUUAAAAAUGUGUAACUAAAAUAAUUACAGAUUUUGUAUCAUAAAAUUAAUUAUUUUUAAUUUAAAUCAACAUUUGUUAUCAUGAAUUUCUAUAAUUUCCAAACACAUGAAUCUAAUUUUCUCCAUAAUUAAUUUGAUCUCUAUAGUAAAUCCAUGGAAGGAAGCUCCUAUAAGUCUUAGAAAAUGCAAAAACCAACCAUAAAUAUCUAACCAAGAUAAUUGCAAUUUUAUAUGAUUAAAAAAAUAGUCAUUUAAGUUUGAAUUAGGGUGUCUUAUCAUGUUCAUGAUUAUCAAAUUAAUGCAUGUCAAAGAAGUGACCUUUUUUGGGAAAGAUUUUAGCUCACUAGCUGUCACAGGGUAUGAGGUCCAAUUCCAUAAAAGGUGACCUUGGGAAUAUGCUCAACAAUGUUAUAAUUUUUACCUAUGUGGGGUCGUAUACUAAGUUUUAAUUCUUCCUAUAAAUUAACAAAUCCAAGAGUUGUGAGCUUACUAAGGUGGUGAAUGCUAGGGGGUAGCUCCUCCAAUUGUGGGCAAAGUGAUUCAUGCCCAGCCGGUUUUUUAAUAAAAAAUAUUUAUAAAUCCUAUGACCUUAUACUGGCGUAGCAAAGCUACUAUAGUAUAGCAGUUCUAGGGUCGAACUCAGGGAUGGGUUUUCACUCUAUCAGUGACAAACUCUAAAUUAGAAAUUGAUUCUGAUGAUUUCCUUUAACACAAACUUGAACUUUAAAAGAAAAUAAAAUUGUUUUGAAAGUGGUGAUUGAAACUAAACUCACAUAGAACUAAGUAAAAAUAGAAGAAAGAAAGUCUCCCGGAGCUAAAGGUUGCUAGGUUCAAGUUCAGAAUGCAAAGUGGAAAAUUUCGGAUUUUUCUCCUCGCAUUGGGGAUUUAACCUAUAGUUAUUUCCCGAACCGAUAUAGGUUUGACAAUGAAGAUUGAAUCCAUAAAAAGUCAAUAGAGAUGGUAGUCAAGGUCCAUUAAUGGCUUAAGACACUAUGGGUUAUCACCUUGAAUCACUUUCCAAUGGCUCGUACAUGAUAACUAAUGGACUGAUAUGGAUCUAGCAAUAAGCAUCCACAGAGACCUGAAGCUUACCAUGUAUUGGCCAGUCAAAGUGAUUCUAAGGGAUUUAAAGCAAAACUUUGGAUUUAGAAGCCAUUUAUGGACUCCAACUACCUGAAUUUAAUGCACGGAAACUUUCCACCUUUUAAUCUGGACUUUUCACCUAGCUUCCUUCACUCCAAGAAACUAUACGUUUAGCCUCUCAUCCUCUGGGAAAACAUCCUCAGAGGCUGUUUGGCUUCCAAGAAAAUAGAAAAUAGUAGAGAGAAAAAGAAAGCAAAAGAAAUCUUUGUAUUUCACUAAGUGUAGAAUUUACAUCAGUUGGUCUCCUGGAGAAAGCUCCCCGAGAGUGGUUUUUUUCAGUGUUUACAGGAGAAUUUAUAUAGGAAGGUAAUUUUACCCUUCCUUCGAUACUUCCUAGCUAAGGAAAUACAUGAGUGGCUGAAUACAAGGAGAAAAUGGAAAUUUAGACACAAAAAUAUCAGAAGAAAAGAGUCGACAAAAAUAUCCAAUUUUCGCACGUUGGAGUUCCAAUUUCGCACUUGGUUCUGAGGUGUGCGAAAUUCCCACACUUUGGACUGAGGAAUUCGCACCUUGAUUUUCAUCGUGCGAAAUUGUCCCUCAGCUUGAUGCAGUUGUCUUCCAAAGGCCAUAUCUUCAUCAUUUCAGCUCCAAAUCGUACAUGGUUUGAAUCGUUGAAUUCUUGACUUUAUGAGAUUUGAAAUGGUAUAUAGAAUGUAGAAAAUGGACUUCGGGAAGUGCUCCAAAAAUGCGAAGGAAGACUGCAGCUGUGUCCCCUGUUUUCCUUACCCUGUUUUUCUUCUUCUCCAUUGUUCUUUCCUUGUAAACUUUAAACGACUAAGGCAAAGGAUUAUGAGACUCCAAAGCUUGGUUUCUUCAUAAAUUUGAGCUCUUCAAAAGCUUUGCCAUGAACUAUACAUAGCUCUCCCUCAUUCUUAAAUUGCUUUGGUGAGCAUAUAGCUAUCAAAAAGCACCAAAACUUAACACAAUUGUUAGAAACGAUUGCAAGGGUCCCUAACAUGUUAAUUAAGUUAAAUGGUAAUAAUUACUACUCAAGGGUGUUUAAAAGAGCUAAUUACAAGCUACAAAAUAGCAUGUUUUGAGUAGUAAUCACUCCCCCCAACCGACAUAUUGCUAGUCCCUUAGCAAUUAAGGAGAGAAAAAUUAAGCAAACGUAAUAAUAUACAUAAAAGAGGUCAUGCAAAUCAUUCCAAAAAAUAAUUGAGUGACAUGACUGAUAUCAAAACACAUCUCACAUGGUGAACUAAAGAUAUGAAGAUUCAAAAUGCAAUAGGAGUUGUCAAAGCUAAAACUUAAACAAAAAGUACAAAGAGUGGAGAUUAUGCAAUUAAGUAUCAAAAGAAUCUCUACUCUCCAGGUUCCAAAUCAAACUCUUCCAUAAUAAGCUAAGUGUUAAUGAGAUUAGCUUUCCGGAUAUAGUAUGUACAACUAUCCUCUCCUCCCAACCUAAGCUUUUCUCGAACAUUGGCAAAAUUAUCCAACUCUUAAUAGGUUAGGAACACACCUUUUUAUUCACAAUUCUUUUUACUCACUAAACUUAACCAAUUCACCUAUGUAGCAAGCAGAGGAUCGAUGACUCCCAACCAAUCAAGGUUUAGGGCAUCGGGUUUUAAAGGCUUUCGCCACUCCUUCAGAUCAUGCUUAGGUUUCAAAGAAAGAAUAGAAGCUUAUUCUUUUUUUUUUUUUUUUUCAAAAACUCAUUGGUCUUUAUGAGGUGUCCCAACACUAUUAAAGAGAGGUUAAGUAAUGAACCAAGUCAAAAUUUUCCUAAGCUUAGAAGGUGGGAAAGUUUUACAUCAUAUAUCCGGGAUCUAAUGUGCACAGUGUGUGUAAAGCUUGAAAUGGAAGAAAUAAGUUUGAAAUCAAAGAGGGCUUCAAUAGAUUAUUAACUUUGAAAGCAUAAAACAAACUCUAAGACUUAAGUAAUUAAGUUAAAACUUGACUUAUCCUAUCUUAUUUUUGAGAAAUUAUCUUUAACAACCAUAGAGAAUGAUUCAAAAAACUUUUAGAAAUUUUAAAAAUUAAGCAAAAAUCAACUAAAUUACAAAAAUAACUUAGCAUUAGUACAAAACUUCCUUUCUCAACUCUCCCCCCAACCAAGCUAAACAUUGUCCUCAAUGUUUAAAGAGCGAUUUAAAAGAAAAGGGAGGAAAUGGUACCUCCUGAGGUUCAAAGUCUGAGUGUAUAGGAGGUAUGGAAUACCUUAAACCACAUGUUCCAAAGACAAAAGAGUAAUGAGAAAAGGGAAUAUAAUAAAAAAGGAUAUAUAUAUAUAUAUUACUUGGAAAAGAAAUAUACAAUGCAUGAUGUUCAAGUAAUAUAUCCAAUCCCAUUUUAUAAACAUGAAAAAGAUGGGAUUGACAAGUCUAACAUAAAAAACAAGUAAAACAAAAAAACAUAAAAAGAUCAAAUAGUAGUGGGAUCAUGUGAUGGCUCUGCUCUGAUCUCCCCAGCUGAUAUGGGUUGCUCAGCUGGUAUGAUCUCCUCAUCUGGCACUAGAGGCUCGGAUGGUGCAGACCUAUCAUGCCCAAGAGGUGUCUGCAUACUCAGAUGUUGUUGGAUCUGAUGAAGGAUCGUGGUAUGCUGGGCUUGAGUAGCAAUGAUCUGAUCCUGGUGUGCACGAAUAGUGGCCAUCUGGUGGAUAAUAGAAUCCUGAGUAGUGCUCAGUGUCUACAAUGAACGCACUAAGCCUCUGAAUUCCGUAAGAGAAACGGUGACAGUGGGCUCAGAUGAAGGAGGAGGUGCUGGGGUAGCUGGCAUGACUGGUGGAGCAGCCUGAGUGAGAGGAGAAGUAGGAUGUAUAGCCUCAGGCAUAUGCACUGAGGUGUGUGCUGCAGGGGCAGGAGGUGUGGUGUCUGUGAGAAUCUCAUCCUGCUGGGCCUGAGGUAGUUGCUCAUCUCGGGGUAGCUCUGGAGGUGCAGGCACAGCUGAGGCUCCCUGAGGUGCAAAGUAGGCUGCCAAGUGAUGCCAUUUGUCGAGAGAGAAGUCCUCUCGGCAAUGGCGGCGCCUCUCAAGGCGGGGCUCUUCAGGAUAGCCCAGGUGCUCUAAAAUCUGGCAGAGGAGCCUCGGAAAUAAUAAUGGGAUGCCAUCUGCCCUUUGAAGCUUCUUCUGAUGGACUUUUUCUUCAAAAUGAAGAAGAGAAGUCAUAAUCAAAUGAGGAGGGCCGAAGUAAUAGCCCUUAGAAAUCCUAAAUAAUGCCUCAAGUAUAGCUCCUCUCCUCUGAACUUUAUGCUGAAGUGGGAAGAUGUUGGCACGCAGGAGCACAUUGAUUACUACUCAAAACAUGCUAUUUUGUAGCUUGUAAUUAGCUCUUUUAAACACCCUUGAGUAGUAAUUAUUACCUUUUAACCCAAUUAACAUGUUAGGGACCCUUGCAAUCGUUUCUAACAAUUGUGUUAAGUUUUGGUGCUUUUUGAUAGCUUUAUGCUCACCAAAGCAAUUUAUGAAUGAGGGAGAGCUAUAUAUGGUUCAUGGCAAAGCUUUUGGAAAGCUUAAAUUUAUGAAGAAACCAAGCUUUGGAGCCUCAUAAUCCUUUGCCUUAGUAGUUUAAAGUAUGCAAGGAGAGAACAAUGGAGAAGAGGAAAACAGGGUGAUGAAAACAGGGGACACAACUGCAGUCUUUCAUUGCACUUUUGGAGCACUUUCCGAAGUCCAUUUUUUACGUUCUAUAUACCAUUUCAAAGCUCAGAAAGUCAAGAAUCCAACGAUUCAAACCAUGUACGAUUUGGAGCUGAAAUGAGGAAUAUAGGGCCUUUGGAAGACAACUGCAUCAAACUGAGGGACAAUUUCGCACGAUGGAAAUCAAGGUGCGAAUUCCACAGUCCAAAGUGUGGGAAUUUCGCACACCUGAAACCAAAGUGCGAAAUUGGAACUGCAACGUGCGAAAAUUGGAUAUUUUUGCCGACUCUUUUUCUUCUGAUAUUUUUGUGUUUAAAUUUCCAUUUUCUCCUUGUAUUCAGCCACUCAUGUAAUUCCUUAGCUAGGAAGUAUCCAAGGAAGGGUAAAAUUACCUUCCUAUAUAAAUUCUCUUGUAAUCACUGAAAAAUAAUCUUUUCGGGGAGCUUUCUCUAGGAGACCAACUUAUGUAAAUUUGUUACUUAGUGAAAUACAGAGAUCUCUUUUGCUUUUUUUUUUCUCUCUUCUAUUUUCUAUUUUCUUCCAAGCCAAACACCCUCUGAGGAUGUUUUCCCAGAGGAUGAGAGGCUAAACAUUUAGUUUCUUGGAGUAAAGGAAGCUAGGUGAAAAGUCCAGAUUAAAACAUGAAAAGUUUCCGUGCAUUAAAUUCAGGUAGUUGGAGUCCAUAAAUGGUUUAUAAAGCCAAGGUUUUGCCUUAAAUCCCUUAGAAUCACUUUGACUGGCCAAUACAUGGUAAGCUUAAGGUCUCUGUGGAUACUUAUUGCUAGAUCCAUAUCAGUCCAUUAGUUAUCAUGUACGAGCCAUUGGAAAGUGAUUCAAGGUGAUAGCCCAUAGUGUCUUAAGCCAUUAAUGGACCUUGACUACCAUCUCUAGUGACUUUUUAUGGAUUAAAACUUCAUUGUCAAACCUAUACCAGUUCGGGAAAUAACUAUAGGUUAAAUCCCCAAUGCGAGGAGAAAAAUCCGGAAUUUUCCACUUUGCAUCUGGAACUUGAACCUAGCAACCUUUAGCUCCGGGAGACUUUCUUUCUUCCACUUUUUACUUAGUUCUAUGUGAGUUUAGUUUAAAUCACCACUUUCAAAACAAUUUUAUUUUCUUUUAAAUUUCAAGUUUGUGCUAAAGGAAAUCAUCAGAAUCAAUUUCUAAUUUAGAGUCUGUCACUGAUAGAGUGAAAACCCAUCCCUGAGUUCGACCCUAGAACUGCUAUACUAUAGUAGCUUUGCUACGCCAGUAUAAGGUCAUAGGUUUUAUAAAUGUUUUUGAUUAAAAGACCCGGCUGGGCAUCGAAUCAAAUGGCGUCGUUGCCGGGGAUGGUGCCACAAUACAGUGAUGCAACCUUUUAGAGGCAACUUGUGAAUUCAUCACAAGUUGGGUGAAUUCCUUUUUCAUUAACUUCAUUUCCUUUCAUUUUCCUUUUGUUAAGUUUAUUUUCGUUUUCUUCCUAACUUUAACCUUUUUUCUAGUUUCCUUGUUGUUUUUUGUUUUUUUUAUUAUUACAGAUAUUGUAACUUGUGCAUGCCCUAUUGGAUUAGGGACCAAGAGGGAAGAUUAGGAAGGAUUGAGAAUCCUCAAGACACAGAGUUGGAUAUCUGUGUAAACAUCAUGGACCCUCCACCAGAGGAUCAGAAUUCUCAACAAGGUCAAGGGGGUAAUCCCAAUGCAUAUCUAUCAAUGAGGGAUAGAAUGCAUCCACCAAGGAUGAGUGCACCCUCAUGCAUCCUACCCCCUCUUGAGCAGUUGGUUAUAAGGCCCCAUAUUGUGCCCCUCCUACCAAAUUUCCAUGGAAUGGAGAGUGAGAAUCCAUAUGCUCACAUCAAGGAGUUUGAGGAGGUGUGUAAUACCUUUAGAGAGGGAGGAGCUUCAAUAGACUUGAUGAGACUCAAGCUAUUCCCUUUUACUUUGAAGGACAAGGCAAAAAUAUGGCUUAAUUCUUUAAGGCCAAGGAGCAUAAGGAAUUGGGUUGAUCUUCAAGCUGAAUUUUUGAAAAAAAAUUUUCCCACCCAUAGGACCAAUGGGUUGAAGAGACAAAUCUCAAACUUUUCUGCAAAAGAAAAUGAGAAGUUCCAUGAAUGUUGGGAAAGGUAUAUGGAGGCCAUCAAUGCUUGUCCUCAUCAUGGUUUUGAUACAUGGCUCUUAGUGAGCUAUUUUUAUGAUGGAAUGUCUUCUUCCAUGAAGCAAAUUCUUGAAACCAUGUGUGGGGGAGAUUUUAUGAGUAAGAAUCCUGAAGAAGCCAUGGACUUUUUAAGUUAUGUGGCUGAGGUGUCAAGAGGCUGGGAUGAGCCCAACUCAAGAGAGAAGGGAAAGUUUCCCUCUCAACAAACCCAAAAUCCAAAGGCUGGAAUGUACAUGUUGAGUGAAGACGUGGACAUGAAAGCUAAGGUGGCAACAAUAGCAAGGAGGUUGGAAGAACUUGAGUUGAAAAAGAUACAUGAAGUCCAAGCCAUUUCCGAUACCCAAGUCCAUGUCAUGCCAUGCACCAUCUGCCAAUCAUGUGAUCAUAUGGUAGAUGAGUGUCCAACCAUGCCAGCUGUGAGAGAAAUGUUAGGUGAUCAAGUAAAUGUUGUGGGGCAAUUUAGGCCCAACAACAGUGCAUCCUAUGGUAACACCUAUAAUUCAAGCUGGAGAAACCACCCAAAUUUUUAUUGGAGACAAAGGCCACCUCCAUAUCAACCACAAGGCCAAACCCAAGCACCUCAACAACCCUCUUCAGUAGAGCAAGCCAUUGUAAACCUGAGUAAAGUCAUGGGUGACUUUGUGGGUGAACAAAAGGCAAUCAACUCCCAAUUGCAUUAAAAGAUUGAAAAUGUUGAGAGUUCUCAAAUUAAGAGGAUGAAGGGGAUGCAAAAUGAUCUAUCUCAGAAGAUAGAUAAUAUUCAGUACUCCAUCUCUAGGCUUACCAACCUAAACACAGUGAAUGAGAAGGGAAAGUUUCCCUCUCAACCAAGCCAAAAUCCUAAGGGUGUUCAUGAAGUUGAAACCCAAGAGGGGGAUUCUUCAAAGUUGAGGGAGGUUAAAGCUAUGAUCACUUUAAGGAGUGGAAAAGAGGUUGAUCAACCCCUGCCUAAGGUGGGGCAUGAUGAAGAACUCAUGUCAAAGAGACCCUUGAUUAAAGAGGGCAAUAGCCAAGAAAAGCAGAGUGGGAAGAAAAGUGCAUUCAAAUCAAGCAUUGAAGAAGAACCAAGGAUAGUGAUUAAGGAGGAUAUGAUGAAGAAACAUAUGCCUCCCCCUUUUCCUCAAGCUUUACAUGGAAAGAAAGAAAUCAAGAAUUCAUCAGAAAUUCUUGAGGUUCUGAGACAAGUGAAGGUGAAUAUACCCUUACUUGAUAUGAUCAAGCAAGUCCCCACAUAUGCAAAGUUUCUAAAGGACUUGUGCACAGUCAAGAGAGGUUUACAGGUAACAAAGAAUGCAUUCCUCACUGAGCAAGUGAGUGCUAUCAUUCAGAGUAAGUCCCCAGUUAAGUAUAAAGAUCCGGGAUGUCCCACCAUAUCAGUCAACAUUGGAGGGACACAUGUGGAAAAAGCUUUACUAGACUUGGGAGCAAGUGUGAAUUUGCUCCCAUACUCUGUGUAUAAACAAUUGGGACUAGGAGGAUUAAAGCCCACAACCAUGACCCUCUCCUUAGCUGAUAGGUCGGUCAAAACCCCAAGGGGAGUGAUAGAGGAUGUUCUAGUUCAAGUGGACAAAUUCUACUAUCCUGUGGAUUUUGUGGUGCUUGAUACUGAUUCCACUGUCAAGGAAGAGAAUUAUGUGCCAAUCAUCCUAGGGAGACCUUUCCUAGCUACCUCCAAUGCUAUCAUUAAUUGUAGGAAUGGGGUGAUGCAGCUCACAUUUGGAAACAUGACAUUGGAAUUAAACAUAUUCCACCUAUGUAAGAGACAUCUUCACCCUGAAGAGGAGGAAGGAUUUAAAGAGGUAUGCUUGAUCAACACUUUGGUUGAAGAGCACUGUGACAAGAGUUUAAAGGAGAGCUUGAAUGAAAAAUUGGAAGUUCUUGAAGAUGGGUUCCCUGAACCCUCUGAUGUGCUAGCCAUUAUGUCUCCUUGGAGGAGACGGGAAGAGAUCUUACCACUGUUCAACCAGGAAGACUCACAAGGAGUUCCUGUGGAGGACCCUCCAAAGCUUAUUUUAAAGCCACUUCCUGUGGGUCUGAAGUAUGCAUACUUGGAGGAUGAAGAGAAAUGUCCAGUGGUGAUUUCCUCAACUCUCACUAAUGAUCAAGAGGAUAGUCUUUUAGGAGUCCUUAGAAAAUGUAAGAAAGCCAUUGGAUGGCAAAUUUCUAAUUUGAAAUGGAUUAGCCCUUUGGUGUGCACCCACCAUAUUUAUAUGGAAGAAGAUGCAAAACCAGUGAGGCAACCCCAAAGGAGACUGAAUCCUCACAUGCAAGAGGUGGUGAGGAGUGAAGUUCUUAAGCUACUUCAAGCUGGGAUCAUUUAUCCCAUUUCAGACAGCUUGUGGGUGAGUCCUACCCACGUAGUCCCAAAGAAAUCUGGAAUCACUGUGGUCCAGAAUGAGAAAGGGGAGGAAGUCUCUACACGUCCUACCUCAGGAUGGAGGGUGUGUAUAGACUAUAGGAGGUUGAAUUCAGUAACUAGGAAGGACCAUUUUCCAUUGCCUUUCAUGGACCAAGUCCUUGAGAGAGUCUCAGGACAUCCUUUCUAUUGUUUUCUAGAUGGUUAUUCAGGGUACUUCCAAAUAGAAAUUGAUUUGGAAGAUCAAGAAAAGACAACCUUCACUUGCCCCUUUGGUACUUUUGCAUAUAUGAGAAUGCCCUUUGGUCUAUGUAAUGCUCCUGCAACUUUCCAAAGAUGCAUGCUAAGCAUCUUCAGUGAUAUGGUGGAACGCAUCAUGGAAGUUUUCAUGGAUGACAUCACUGUAUAUGGAAGUUCUUAUGAGGAGUGUUUGAUGCAUUUAGAAGCUGUUCUCCAUAGAUGUAUUGAGAAAGACCUAGUGCUAAAUUGGGAGAAGUGCCAUUUUAUGGUACAAAAAGGAAUUGUCUUAGGACAUAUCAUCUCCAAAAAUGGCAUUGAGGUAGAUAAAGCAAAGGUGGAGCUAAUUGUUAAGUUGCCACCUCCCACAAAUGUAAAAGGAAUUAGGCAAUUCCUUGGACAUGCCGGGUUCUAUAGGAGGUUCAUUAAGGAUUUCUCAAAAAUCUCAAAACCUCUGUGUGAGCUCUUGGUAAAGGAUGCCAAGUUUGUGUGGGAUGAGAAGUGUCAGAGGAGUUUUGAGGAAUUAAAACAAUUCCUCACAACUGCACCAAUAGUCAGAGCCCCAAAUUGGAAAUUACCUUUUGAGGUAAUGUGUGAUUCAAGUGAUCUUGCUAUGGGGGCUGUUUUAGGGCAAAGAGAAGAUGGAAAGCCCUAUGUGAUUUAUUAUGCAAGCAAAACUUUGAAUGAGGCUCAAAGAAACUACACAACUACUGAGAAGGAGUUGUUGGCAGUAGUUUUUGCCUUGGAUAAGUUUCGUGCUUAUUUGGUAGGGUCCUCUAUAGUGGUGUUCACUGACCAUUCUGCUUUGAAGUACUUGCUAACCAAGCAAGAUGCCAAGGCAAGAUUGAUAAGAUGGAUUCUUUUGCUCCAAGAAUUCAAUCUCCAAAUCCAGGAUAAAAAGGGGGUAGAAAAUGUGGUAGCUGACCACUUGUCCAGACUUGUGAUAGCACAUGACUCACAUGGUCUGCCUAUCAAUGAUGACUUCCCUGAGGAGUCUCUCAUGUCAGUAGAUGUAGCUCCAUGGUAUUCUCACAUUGCAAACUUUUUAGUUACUGGAGAAGUGCCAACUGAGUGGAGUGCCCAAGAUAAGAGGCAUUUAUUUGCUAAGAUCCAUGCCUAUUAUUGGGAGAAGCCUUUUCUUUUUAAAUAUUGUGCGGAUCAAAUCAUAAGGAAAUGUGUUCCUGAGCAAGAGCAAUCGAGAAUUCUUUCCCAUUGCCAUGAUAGUGCAUGUGGAGGUCAUUUUGCCUCCUAGAAAACAACCAUGAAAGUGAUCCAAUCAGGCUUCUGGUGGCCCUCUCUUUUCAAGGAUGCCCACUCUAUGUGCAACGGAUGUGAUCGGUGUCAAAGGCUUGGUAAGCUAACACGCCGAAAUAUGAUGCCCUUGAACCCCAUCUUAAUAGUGGAUAUCUUUGAUGUUUGGGGGAUAGACUUUAUGGGACCAUUUCCAAUGUCGUUUGGGCAUUCCUACAUUUUGGUGGGAGUGGAUUAUGUCUCCAAGUGGGUAGAAGCAAUCCCAUGUAGGAGUAAUGAUCAUAAAGUGGUUCUUAAAUUCCUCAAGGACAAUAUCUUUGCAAGAUUUGGAGUGCCAAAGGCCAUUAUAAGUGAUGGGGGAACCCACUUUUGCAAUAAACCUUUUGAGACUCUUCUAGCUAAGUAUGGGGUUAAGCAUAAGGUAGCUACACCUUAUCACCCUCAAACAAGUGGCCAAGUUGAGUUAGCCAACCGUGAGAUCAAAAAUAUAUUGAUGAAGGUGGUCAAUGUGAAUAGGAAGGAUUGGUCUAUCAAGCUCCUGGAUUCCUUAUGGGCUUAUAGGACCGCUUACAAGACCAUUCUAGGAAUGUCUCCCUAUCGCCUUGUUUAUGGCAAAGCGUGUCAUCUUCCAGUGGAGAUUGAGUAUAAAGCAUGGUGGGCAAUCAAAAAGCUCAACAUGGAUUUGACAAGAGCCGGAUUAAAGAGAUGUUUGGAUUUGAAUGAAUUGGAGGAAAUGAGGAAUGACGCAUACCUCAAUUCAAAAAUUGCAAAAGCAAGAUUAAAAAAAUGGCAUGAUCAAUUGGUAAAUCAAAAGAAUUUGAUCAAGGGACAAAGAGUUUUGCUUUAUGAUUCUAAACUUCAUCUCUUUCCAGGAAAAUUGAAAUCCAGGUGGACGGGUCCUUUCAUAAUUCAUGAAGUGCAUCCCAACGGAGUGGUGGAAGUAUUCAAUCCCACAGGCAAUCAAACCUUCAAAGUAAAUGGCCAUCGUCUCAAGCCAUUCAUAGCGCCUUACAGUACAGACAAUGAGGAGAUCAACCUCCUUGAACCACCACAACUCUGAGUGAAAGCAGGGUAUCAUGGGCUAAAUAAGUCCAUGAAUUUUUUGUUAUAGUUUUAUAGUUAUAUCAUUAUUUUUAUUUCUUUUGAUUUUAAUUCUUGCUCAAGCUUAGUUUAUUUUGUCUUAAUUUAAGUCAAUUUUGAUGAUAAAUUUCAGAAAAAAAUCAAGAAAAAUGUGGAGAGCUCUUCAAAAGCAAAACAGGGGAGCAAAACCAAGGAAACAGAGCACUGGAUUUCAAGAUGCGAGAAUUUCGCACACCUGAUUUCAAGGUGCGAAAAUUUCGCACACCUUAUUUCAAGGUGCGAAAUCCUCGGUCCAAAGGGAGCCAUUUUCGCACACCCCAAAAACAAGGUGCGAAAUUUAUCUCAAGGUGCGAAAACUGAUUUCAAGGUGCGAAAUUCCCUAAAAGCCAUUUUCGCACACCACUGUUCAAGGUGCGAAAAUUUUCGCACUAUGCGAAAUCCCCUCCUGGCACACGAGUGCCAUUUUCGCACACCUCAUGCCAAUUUUCGCACCGUGCGAAACAAGGUGCGAAAAUUUCGCACACCUGAUUUCAAGGUGCGAAAAUUUCGCACACCUCAUUUCAAGGUGCGAAUUCCACUGUCCAAAGGGGGCCAUUUUCGCACACCUAAAUCCAAGGUGCGAAAUUUCCAGUCCAAGGUGCGAAAAUUUCGCACGGUAAUAUUUUCAGCUCUAAAAAUUUUAAACUGACUUUUAAAUUAAAAUUUUACCCCCGAAAUUGUGCCUAACGUCUAAAAACGACUUUUCGGUUGCCUUGGAAAAUUUUUAAACAUAAACCCCCCCCCCCCCCCAUUCCAAUAUAACCCCUUAAACCCCAAAAACCCAAAAGUCUCCCCCCCCCACCACCUAAAAACCCCCGGAAAUCCCAAAAACCCACCCUNNNNNNNNNNNNNNNNNNNNNNNNNNNNNNNNNNNNNNNNNNNNNNNNNNNNNNNNNNNNNNNNNNNNNNNNNNNNNNNNNNNNNNNNNNNNNNNNNNNNGGGGAAAAUUUCCCCUCCAAGGGGGGAAAAAUUUCCCCGGGUAUUUUUUUCCACCCAAAAAAUUUUAAAAGGCUUUUAAAAAAAAAAUUUUCCCCCCAAAAUUGGCCCAAACUUUAAAAAAACCUUUUUUGGUUCCCCGGAAAAAUUUUAAAAAAAAAACCCCCCCCCCCCCCCCCCCCCCCCAAACCCCAUUCCUAUAUAAGCCCUUGAAGCCCAGGAACUCAACAGUCUACCCCGCGCACCAGCUGAGAAGCCUCUAAAAUCCCGAACAGCCACCUCCCUUCAUUUCGGCCAUGGCAAAGACCAGAGGAGGCCUUUCCGCCUCCCCAUCCUCACCGACACCGCGACCACAUCAAGCUGCCAUGGGAACCGUAGCUUCGCCCCCUGUUCAGGCCCCGGCNNNNNNNNNNNNNNNNNNNNNNNNNNNNNNNNNNNNNNNNNNNNNNNNNNNNNNNNNNNNNNNNNNNNNNNNNNNNNNNNNNNNNNNNACAUCAAGCUGCCAUGGGAACCGUAGCUUCGCCCCCUGUUCAGGCCCCGGCUAUACCCCCAUUUGAGGGGGGAACCCCUUCUCAGCGCCGAUACCCCACCAGGAGGCCACCCACGCACCCUGUGCAACCAGCAGAUCAAGCCACAAGACCUGCUUCUCGACCCCCUGCGAAGAGAACCAAGUUCUCGGGUCCUGGAGAGCCAUCCCAUGCGCCUCAGGCAGAGCCGCCUACAGAGGAACCUCGGAUUCCUGUGGGGAUUCCUCCCGAGACCGUUAUCAGGCAUCCCAUGAUAGCUGCACCACCGAUAGAGGGCAACCUGGAUUGCAGAGAUCGAUCCUUCCACUCCAAGACCUACUUUGAUAUAGAGGCCCUCAGACAGCAGCCAGAGCUCAGAGAUUCAUUCCGACUGCUGCAGAGGUAUCACAUGGAGGAUCUUCUCACUCCUAGGCAAUUCUAUUAUCCCAGAGUAGUUCUAGAUUUUUAUCAAUCUAUGACUACUCGAGGCCUCCGCAAUCCUACUCUCAUCCAAUUUGCCAUAGACGGACGCCAGGGUGCCAUUGGAGCUCGCCACAUUGCUGAGGCCCUCCGUAUACCUUAUGAGCCUGUGAUUCAGGCAGAUUUCAAGGAGUGGUCCUCAUUCUCUCAGAGCGACAUGGUCCGUAUUUUGUCCAGGGGGACUUCUACAGCCUCAGUGUUGACUAGGAGAGAGCUUCCAUCUGGGAUGCUCCUUAUUGAUGUCCUCCUGCGUGCCAACAUCUUCCCACUUCAGCACAAGGUUCAGAGGAGAGGAGCUAUUCUUGAGGCAUUAUUUAGGAUUUCUGAGGGCUAUUUCUUCGGCCCUCAUCAUUUGAUUAUGACUUCUCUUCUUCAUUUUGAAGAGAAAGUCCAUCAGAAGAAGCUUCAAAGGGCAGAUAGCAUCCCAUUACUAUUUUCGAGGCUCCUCUGCCAGAUUUUAGAGCACCUAGGCUAUCCUGAACAGCCCCGUCUUGAGAGGCGCCGCCAUUGCCGAGAGGACUUCUCUCUCGACAAAUGGCAUCACUUGGUAGCCUACUUUGCACCCCAGGGAGCCCCAGCUGUGCCUGCACCUCCAGAGCUACCCCAAGAUGAGCAGAUGCCUCAGGCCCAGCAGGAUGAGAUUCUCACAGAGACCACACCUCCUAUCCUGUGGACAAAUUCUAGUUCAAGUGGACAAAUUCUACUAUCCUGUGGAUUUUGUGGUCCUUGACACUGAUUCCAUUGUCAAGGAAGAGAAUUAUGUGCCAAUCAUCCUAGGGAGACCUUUCCUAGCUACCUCUAAUGCUAUCAUUAAUUGUAGGAAUGGGGUGAUGCAGCUCACAUUUGGAAACAUGACAUUGGAAUUAAACAUAUUCCACCUAUGUAAGAGACAUCUUCACCCUGAAGAGGAGGAAGGAUUUGAGGAGGUAUGCUUGAUCAACACUUUGGUUGAAGAGCACUGUGACAAGAGUUUAGAGGAGAGCUUGAAUGAAAACCUGGAAGUGCUUGAAGAUGGGUUCCCUGAACCCUCUGAUGUGCUAGCCAUUAUGUCUCCUUGGAGGAGACGGGAAGAGAUCUUACCACUGUUCAACCAGGAAGACUCACAAGGAGUUCCUGUGGAGGACCCUCAAAAGCUUAUUUUAAAGCCACUUCCUGUGGGUCUGAAGUAUGCAUACUUGGAGGAUGAUGAGAAAUGUCCAGUGGUAGUUUCCUCAACCCUCACUAGUGAUCAAGAGGAUAGUCUUUUAGGAGUCCUCAGAAAAUGUAAGAAAGCCAUUGGAUGGCAAAUUUAUGAUCUGAAAGGGAUUAGCCAUUUGGUGUGCACCCACCAUAUUUAUAUGGAGGAAGAUGCAAAACCAGUGAGGCAACCCCAAAGGAGACUGAAUCCUCACAUGCAAGAAGUGGUGAGGAAUGAAGUUUUGAAGCUACUUCAAGCUGGGAUCAUAUAUCCCAUUUCAGACAGCUUGUGGGUGAGUCCCACCCAAGUAGUCGCAAAGAAAUCUGGAAUCACUGUGGUCCAGAAUGAGAAAGGGGAGGAAGUCUCUACACGUCCUACCUCAGGAUGGAGGGUGUGUAUAGACUAUAGGAGGUUGAAUUCAGUAACUAGGAAGGACCAUUUUCCAUUGCCUUUCAUGGACCAAGUCCUUGAGAGAGUCUCAGGACAUCCUUUCUAUUGUUUUCUAGAUGGUUAUUCAGGGUACUUCCAACUAGAAAUUGAUUUGGAAGAUCAAGAAAAGACAACCUUCACUUGCCCCUUUGGUACCUUUGCUUAUAGGAGAAUGCCCUUUGGUCUAUGUAAUGCUCCUGCAACUUUCCAAAGAUGUAUGCUAAGCAUCUUCAGUGAUAUGGUGGAACGCAUCAUGGAAGUUUUCAUGGAUGACAUCACUGUAUAUGGAAGUUCUUAUGAGGAGUGUUUAUUGCAUUUAGAAGCUGUUCUCCAUAGAUGUAUUGAGAAAGACCUAGUGCUAAAUUGGGAGAAGUGCCAUUUUAUGGUACAAAAAGGAAUUGUCUUAGGACAUAUCAUCUCCAAAAAUGGCAUUGAGGUAGAUAAAGCAAAGGUGGAGCUAAUUGUUAAGUUGCCACCUCCCACAAAUGUAAAAGGAAUUAGGCAAUUCCUUGGACAUGUCGGGUUCUAUAGGAGGUUCAUUAAGGAUUUCUCAAAAAUCUCAAAACCUCUGUGUGAGCUCUUGGUAAAGGAUGCCAAGUUUGUGUGGGAUGAGAAGUGUCAGAGGAGUUUUGAGGAAUUGAAACAAUUCCUCACAACUGCACCAAUAGUCAGAGCCCCAAAUUGGAAAUUACCUUUUGAGGUAAUGUGUGAUUCAAGUGAUCUUGCUAUGGGGGCUGUUUUAGGGCAAAGAGAAGAUGGAAAGCCCUAUGUGAUUUAUUAUGUAAGCAAAACAUUGAAUGAGGCUCAAAGAAACUACACAACUACUGAGAAGGAGUUGUUGGCAGUAGUUUUUGCCUUGGAUAAGUUUCGUGCUUAUUUGGUAGGGUCCUCUAUAGUGGUGUUCAUUGACCAUUCUGCUUUGAAGUACUUGCUAACCAAGCAAGAUGCCAAGGCAAGAUUGAUAAGAUGGAUUCUUUUGCUCCAAGAAUUCAAUCUCCAAAUCCAGGAUAAAAAGGGGGUAGAAAAUGUGGUAGCUGAUCACUUGUCCAGACUUGUGAUAGCACAUGACUCACAUGGUCUGCCUAUCAAUGAUGACUUCCCUGAGGAGUCUCUCAUGUUAGUAGAUGUAGCUCCAUGGUAUUCUCACAUUGCAAACUUUUUAGUUACUGGAGAAGUGCCAACUGAGUGGAGUGCCCAAGAUAAGAGGCAUUUCUUUGCUAAGAUCCAUGCCUAUUAUUGGGAGAAGCCUUUUCUUUUUAAAUAUUGUGCGGAUCAAAUCAUAAGGAAAUGUGUUCCUGAGCAAGAGCAAUCGGGAAUUCUUUCCCAUUGCCAUGAUAGCGCAUGUGGAGGUCAUUUUGCCUCCCAGAAAACAGCCAUGAAAGUGAUCCAAUCAGGCUUCUGGUGGCCCUCUUUUUUCAAGGAUGCCCACUCUAUGUGCAAGGGAUGUGAUCGGUGUCAAAGGCUUGGUAAGCUAACACGCCGAAAUAUGAUGCCCUUGAACCCCAUCUUAAUAGUGGAUAUCUUUGAUGUUUGGGGGAUAGACUUUAUGGGACCAUUUCCAAUGUCGUUUGGGCAUUCCUACAUUUUGGUGGGAGUGGAUUAUGUCUCCAAGUGGGUAGAAGCAAUCCCAUGUAGGAGUAAUGAUCAUAAUGUGGUUCUUAAAUUCCUCAAGGACAAUAUCUUUGCAAGAUUUGGAGUGCCAAAGGCCAUUAUAAGUGAUGGGGGAACCCACUUUUGCAAUAAACCUUUUGAGACUCUUCUAGCCAAGUAUGGGGUUAAGCACAAGGUAGCUACACCUUAUCACCCUCAAACAAGUGGCCAAGUUGAGUUAGCCAACCGUGAGAUCAAGAAUAUAUUGAUGAAGGUGGUCAAUGUGAAUAGGAAGGAUUGGUCUAUCAAGCUCCUGGAUUCCUUAUGGGCUUAUAGGACCGCUUACAAGACCAUUCUAGGAAUGUCUCCCUAUCGCCUUGUUUAUGGCAAAGCGUGUCAUCUUCCAGUGGAGAUUGAGUAUAAAGCAUGGUGGGCAAUCAAAAAGCUCAACAUGGAUUUGACAAGAGCCGGAUUAAAGAGAUGUUUGGAUUUGAAUGAAUUGGAGGAAAUGAGGAAUGACGCAUACCUCAAUUCAAAAAUUGCAAAAGCAAGAUUAAAAAAAUGGCAUGAUCAAUUGGUAAAUCAAGAGAAUUUUAUCAAGGGACAAAGAGUUUUGCUUUAUGAUUCUAAACUUCAUCUCUUUCUAGGAAAAUUGAAAUCUAGGUGGACGAGUCCUUUCAUAAUUCAUGAAGUGCAUCCCAACGGAGUGGUGGAAGUAUUCAAUUCCACAGGCAAUCAAACCUUCAAAGUAAAUGGCCAUCAUCUCAAGCCAUUCAUAGAGCCUUACAGUACAGACAAGGAGGAGAUCAACCUCCUUGAACCACCACAACUCUGAGUGAAAACAGGGUAUCAUGGGCUAAAUAAGUCCAUGAAUUUUUUGUUAUAGUUUUAUAGUUAUAUCAUUAUUUUUAUUUCUUUUGAUUUUAAUUCUUGCUCAAGCUUAGUUUAUUUUGUCUUAAUUUAAGUCAAUUUUGAUGAUAAAUUUAAAAAAAAAAAUCAAGAAAAAUGUGGAGAGCUCUUCAAAAGCAAAACAGGGGAGCAAAACCAAGGAAACAGAGCACCUGAUUUCAAGGUGCGAAAAUUUCGCACACCUUAUUUCAAGGUGCGAAAUCCUUGGUCCAAAGGGAGCCAUUUUCGCACACCCCAAAAACAAGGUGCGAAAUUUAUCUCAAGGUGCGAAAACUGAUUUCAAGGUGCGAAAUUCCCUAAAAGCCAUUUUCGCACACCACUGUUCAAGGUGCGAAAAUUUUCGCACUAUGCGAAAUCCCCUCCUAGCACACGAGUGCCAUUUUCGCACACCUCAGGCCAAUUUUCGCACCGUGCGAAACAAGGUGCGAAAAUUUCGCACACCUCAUUUCAAGGUGCGAAUUCCACUGUCCAAAGGGGGCCAUUUUCGCACACCUAAAUCCAAGGUGCGAAAUUUCCAGUCCAAGGUGCGAAAAUUUCGCACGGUAAAAUUUUCAGCUUUAAAAAUUUUAAACUGACUUUUAAAUUAAAAUUUUACCCCUGAAAUUGUGCCUAACGUCUAAAAACGACUUUUCGGUUGCCUUGGAAAAUUUUUAAACAUAAAACCCCCCCACACCCCAUUCCUAUAUAAGCCCUUGAAGCCCAGGAACUCAACAGUCUACCACGCGCACCAGCUGAGAAGCCUCUGAAAUCCCGAACAGCCACCCUUCAUUUCGGCCAUGGCAAAGACCAGAGGAGGCCUUUCCGCCUCCCCAUCCUCACCGACACCGCGACCACAUCAAGCUGCCAUGGGAGCCGCAGCUUUGCCCCCUGUUCAGGUCCCGGCUAUUCCCCUAUUUGAGGGGGGAGCCCCUUUUCAGCGCCGAUACCCCACCAGCAGGCCACCCACGCACCCUGUGCAACCAGCAGAUCAAGCCACAAGACCUGCUUCUCGACCCCCUGCGAAGAGAACCAAGUUCUCGGGUCCUGGAGAGCCAUCCCAUGCGCCUCAGGCAGAGCCGCCUACAGAGGAACCUCGGAUUCCUGUGGGGAUUCCUCCCGAGACCGUUAUCAGGCGUCCCAUGAUAGCUGGACCACCGAUAGAGGGCAACCUGGAUUGCAGAGAUCGAUCCUUCCACUCCAAGACCUACUUUGAUAUAGAGGCCCUCAGACAGCAGCCAGAGCUCAGAGAUUCAUUCCGACUGCUGCAGAGGUAUCACAUGGAGGAUCUUCUCACUCCUAGGCAAUUCUACUAUCCCAGAGUAGUUCUAGAUUUUUAUCAAUCUAUGACUACUCGAGGCCUCCGCAAUCCUACUCUCAUCCAAUUUACCAUAGACGGACGCCAAGGUGCCAUUGGAGCUCGUCACAUUGCUGAGGUCCUCCGUAUACCUUAUGAGCCUGUGAUUCAGGCAGAUUUCAGGGAGUGGUCCUCAUUCUCUCAGAGCGACAUGGUCCGUAUUUUGUCCAGGGGGACUUCUACAGCCUCAGUGUUGACUAGGAGAGAGUUUCCAUCUGGGAUGCUCUUUAUUGAUGUCCUCCUGCGUGCCAACAUCUUCCCACUUCAGCACAAGGUUCAGAGGAGAUGAGCUAUUCUUGAGGCAUUAUUUAGGAUUUCUGAGGGCUAUUUCUUCGGCCCUUAUCAUUUGAUUAUGACUUCUCUUCUUCAUUUUGAAGAGAAAGUCCAUCAGAAGAAGCUUCAAAGGGUCGAUGGCAUCCCAUUACUAUUUCCGAGGCUCCUCUGCCAGAUUUUAGAGCACCUGGGCUAUCCUGAACAGCCCCGUCUUGAGAGGCGCCGCCAUUGCCGAGAGGACUUCUUUCUCGACAAAUGGCAUCACUUGGUAGCCUACUUUGCACCCCAGGGAGCCCCAGCUGUGCCUGCACCUCCAGAGCUACCCCAAGAUGAGCAGAUGCCUCAGGCCCAGCAGGAUGAGAUUCUCACAGAGACCACACCUCCUGCCCCUGCAGCACACCCCUCAGAGCAUAUUCUUGAGCCUAUACAUCCUAUUUCUCCUAUCACUUCGGGUGCUCCACCAGUCAUGCCAGCUACCCCAGCACCUCCUCCUUCAUCUGAGCCCACUGUCACCGUUUCUCUUACGGAAUUCAGAGGCUUAGAGCGUUCAUUGCGGACACUGAGCACUGCUCAGGAUUCUAUUAUCCACCAGAUGGCCACUAUUCGGGCACACCAGGAUCAGAUCAUUGCUACUCAGGCCCAGCAUACCAUGAUCCUUCAUCAGAUUCAGCAGCAUUUGAGUAUGCAGACACCUUUUGGGCAUGAUAGGUCUGCACCAUCCGAGCCUCUAGUGCCAGAUAAGGAGAGCUUACCAGUUGAGCAGCCCAUACUAGAGGAGGAGAUCAGAGCAGAGCCAUCACAUGAUCCCACUACUAUCUGAUCUUUUUAUCUUUUUGUUUUACUUGUUUUUUAUCUUUUUGUUUUACUUGUUUUUUAUGUUAGACUUGUAAAUCCCAUCUUUUGCAUGUUUUAUAAACUGGGAUUGGAAGUAUUACUUGAAAUCAUACAUUGUAUAUUUCUUUUCCAAGUAAUAUAUAUAUAUAUAUAUCCUUUUUUAUUAUAUUCCCUUUUCUCAUUACUCUUUUCUCUUUGGAACAUGUGGUUUAAGAUAUUCCAUACCUCCUAUACACUCAGACUUUGUCUCACUCAGGAGGUACCACUUCCUCCCUUUAUUUUCAAUCGUUUUUGAAACAUUAGGGACAAUGUUCAACUUGGUUGGGGGGAGAGUUGAGAAAGGAAGUUUUGUUGUUAAUACUAAGUUAUUUUGGUUUUUUAGUUGAUUUUUGCUUAAAAUUUAAAAUUUUUAAAAGUUUUUUGAAUCAUUCUCUAUGGUUGUUAAAGAUAAUUUCUCAAAAAUAAAAUAGGAUAAGUCGAGUUUUAACUUAAUUAUUUAAGUCUUAGAGUUUGUUUUAUGUUUUCAAAGUUAAUAAUCUAUUGAAGCCCUCUUUGAUUUCAAACUUAUUUCUUCCAUUUCAAGCUUUACACACACUAUGCACAUUAGAUCCCGGAUAUAUGAUGUAAAACUUUCCCACCUUCUAAGCUUAGGAAAAUUUUGACUUGGUUCAUUACAUAACCUCUCUUUAAUAGUGUUGGGACACCUCAUAAAGACCAAUGAGUCUUUGAAAAAAAAAAAAAAAAAAGAGAAUAAGCUUCUAUUCUUUCCUUGAAACCUAAGCAUGAUCCGAAGGGGUGGCGAAAGCCUUUAAAACCCGAUGCCCUAAACCUUGAUUGGUUGGGAGUCAUCGAUCCUCUGCUUGCUACAUAGGUGAAUUGGUUAAGAUUAGUGAGUAAAAAGAAUUGUGAAUAAGAAGGUGCGUUCCUAACCUAUUAAGAGUUGGAUAAUUUUGCCAAUGUUUGAGAAAAGCUUAAGUUGGGAAGAGAGGAUAGUUGUACAUACUAUAUCCGGAAGCUAAUCUCAUUAACACUUAGCUUAUUAUGGAAGAGUUUGAUUUGGAACCUUGAGAGUAGAGAUUCUUUUGAUACUUAAUUGCAUAAUCUCCACUCUUUGUACUUUUUGUUUAAGUUUUAGCUUUGACAACUCCUAUUGCAUUUUGAAUCUUCAUAUCUUUAGUUCACCAUGUGAGAUGUGUUUUGAUAUCAGUCAUGCCACUCAAUUAUUUUUUGGAAUGAUUUGCAUGACUUCUUUUACGUAUAUUAUUACAUUUGCUUAGUUUUUCUCUCCUUAAUUGCUAAGGGACUAGCAAUAUGUCGGUUGGGGGGAGUGAUUACUACUCAAAACAUGCUAUUUAGUAGCUUGUAAUUAUCUCUUUUAAACACCCUUGAGUAGUAAUUAUUACCUUUUAACUCAAUUAACAUGUUAGGGACCCUUGCAAUCGUUUCUAACAAUUGUGUUAAGUUUUGGUGCUUUUUGAUAGCUUUAUGCUCACCAAAGCAAUUUAUGAAUGAGGGAGAGCUAUAUAUGGUUCAUGGCAAAGCUUUUGGAAAGCUUAAAUUUAUGAAGAAACCAAGCUUUGGAGCCUCAUAAUCCUUUGCCUUAGUAGUUUAAAGUAUGCAAGGAGAGAACAAUGGAGAAGAGGAAAACAGGGUGAUGAAAACAAGGGAUACAGCUGCAGUCUUUCAUUGCACUUUUGGAGCACUUACCGAAGUCCAUUUUUUACGUUCUAUAUACCAUUUCAAAGCUCAGAAAGUCAAGAAUCCAACGAUUCAAACCAUGUACGAUUUGGAGCUGAAAUGAGGAAUAUAGGGCCUUCGGAAGACAACUGCAUCAAACUGAGGGACAAUUUCGCAUGAUGGAAAUCAAGGUGCGAAUUCCACAGUCCAAAGUGUGGGAAUUUCGCACACCUGAAACCAAUGUGCGAAAUUGGAACUGCAACGUGCGAAAAUUGGAUAUUUUUGCCGACUCUUUUUCUUCUGAUAUUUUUGUGUUUAAAUUUCCAUUUUCUCCUUGUAUUCAGCCACUCAUGUAAUUCCUUAGCUAGGAAGUAUCCAAGGAAGGGUAAAAUUACCUUCCUAUAUAAAUUCUCUUGUAAUCACUGAAAAAUAAUCUUUUCGGGGAGCUUUCUCCAGGAGACCAACUUAUGUAAAUUUGUUACUUAGUGAAAUACAGAGAUCUCUUUUGCUUUUUUUUUUCUCUCUUCUAUUUUCUAUUUUCUUGCAAGCGAAACACCCUCUGAGGAUGUUUUCCCAGAGGAUGAGAGGCUAAACAUUUAGUUUCUUGGAGUAAAGGAAGCUAGGUGAAAAGUCCAGAUUAAAACAUGGAAAGUUUCCGUGCAUUAAAUUCAGGUAGUUGGAGUCCAUAAAUGGUUUAUAAAGCCAAGGUUUUGCCUUAAAUCCCUUAGAAUCACUUUGACUGGCCAAUACAUGGUAAGCUUAAGGUCUCUGUGGAUGCUUAUUGCUAGAUCCAUAUCAGUCCAUUAGUUAUCAUGUACGAGCCAUUGGAAAGUGAUUCAAGGUGAUAGCCCAUAGUGUCUUAAGCCAUUAAUGGACCUUGACUACCAUCUCUAGUGACUUUUUAUGGAUUAAAACUUCAUUGUCAAACCUAUACCGGUUCGGGAAAUAACUAUAGGUUAAAUCCCCAAUGCGAGGAGAAAAAUCCGGAAUUUUCCACUUUGCAUCUGGAACUUGAACCUAGCAACCUUUAGCUCCUGGAGACUUUCUUUCUUCCACUUUUUACUUAGUUCUAUGUGAGUUUAGUUUAAAUCACCACUUUCAAAACAAUUUUAUUUUCUUUUAAAUUUCAAGUUUGUGCUAAAGGAAAUCAUCAGAAUCAAUUUCUAAUUUAGAGUCUGUCACUGAUAGAGUGAAAACCCAUCCCUGAGUUCGACCCUAGAACUGCUAUACUAUAGUAGCUUUGCUACGCCAGUAUAAGGUCAUAGGUUUUAUAAAUGUUUUUGAUUAAAAGACUCGGCUGGGCAUCGAAUCACUUGGUUCUCUUUGCAAGGGGCCGAGAAGCUGGCCUCUUAGCUUGGUCGACAGGUGGCACAGGUUCAGUGGGCGGCCUCCUGGUGUGGUAUCGGCGCUGAGAAGGGGUUCCCCCCUCAGAUGGGGGAAUGGCCGGGUCCUGAACAGGUGGCGAAGCGGCGCCUCCCAUGGUGGAUUGCUGUGGCCGAGGCGUCGGUGAUGAUGGGGAGGCGGAAAGGCCUCCUCUAGUCUUUGGCAUGGCCGAAAUGAAGGGAGGUGGCUGUUCGGGAUUCCAGAGGCUUCUCAGCUAGUGCGCGGAGGAGUCUUUUGAGUUUCUGGGCUUCAAGGGUUUAUAUAGGAAUGGGGUUUGGGGGGGUUUUGAUGUUUAAAAAUUUCCAAGGCAACCGAAAAGUCGUUUUUGGACGUUAGGCACAAUUUCGGGGGUAAAAUUUUAAUUUAAAAGUCAGUUUAAAAUUUUUGGAGCUUAAAAUUUUACCGUGCGAAAUUUUCGCACCUUGGACUUAAAAUUUCGCACCUUGAAUUUGGGUGUGCGAAAAUCCCACCCCUUGGACUGAGGAAUUCGCACCUUGGAAUCAAUUUCGCACUCAAAUUUGCACUGUGCGAAAAUUUCGCACCUUGUUUCGCACGGUGCGAAAAUUGGCUUGAGGUGUGCGAAAAUGGCACUCGUGUGCCAGGAGGGGAUUUUGCACGGUGCGAAAAUUUCCGAACCUUGAACAGUGGUGUGCGAAAAUGGCAUUUAGGGAAUUCGCACUUUGAACAGGGGAUUUCGCACCUUGAAUUAAAUUUCGCACCUUGUUUCUGAGGUGUGCGAAAAUUGCACCCCUUUGACUGAGGAAUUCGCACCUUGAUUUCCAUCGUGCGAAAAUUUCGCACCUUGAAAUGCAAUGCUCUGUUUCCUUGGUUUUGCUCCCCUGUCUUGCUUUUGAAGAGUUCUCCUCAUUUUUCUUGAUUUUUUUCUGAAAUUUAACAUCAAAAUUGACUUGAAUUAAGACAAAAUAAACUAAGUUUGAGCAUGAAUUAUAAUCAAAAGAAAUAAAAAUAAUGAUAUAACUAUAAAACUAAAACAAAAAAUUCAUGGACUUAUAUAGUCCAUGAGACCCUGCUUUCCCUCAGAGUUGCUGUGGUUCAAGGAGGUUGAUCUCCUGCUUGUCUAUACUGUAAGGCUCUAUGAAUGGCUUGAGACGAUGGGCAUUGACUUUGAAGGUUUGAUUGCCUGUGGGAUUGAAUACUUCCACCACUCCGUUGGGAUGUACUUUAUGAAUUAUGAAAGGACUCGUCCACCUGGAUUUCAAUUUUCCUGGAAAGAGAUGAAGUUUAGAGUCAUAAAGCAAGACUCUUUGUCCCAAAACAGCCCCCAUAGCAUGAUCAUCAAAAAAACUUAAGUUAAAUCAAACCAAAAUAAAAUUAAAGCGAGAAAUCAAAAUUAAAACAAGUUUUAAAAUAAAACAAAAAGAUAUGGACUAGCUAGUCUUUAGAAAGACUAAGUCCAUAAAAAAAUUGGAUCCGGAUUUAGCUUGCCCGGAUCCCAUAUGAAGUUUGCAUUUAAAUCAACAGGAAGUGGCUUCAAAACUAGCUUUGGAGGGUCCUCCAUAGUUGCUCCUUGUGAGUCCUCCUCAUUGAACAAGGGUAAGAUCUCUUCCCGUCUCCUCCAAGGAGACAUGAUGGCUAGAACAUCAGAGGGUUCAGGUAACCCUUCUUCAAGCACUUCAAGGCUUUCAUUCAAGCUCUCUUCUAAAUUCUUGUCACAGUGCUCUUCAACCAAAGUGUUGAUCAAACACACCUCCUCAAAUCCUUCCUCCUCUUCAGGGUGAAGAUGCCUCUUACAUAGGUGGAAUAUGUUUAAUUCCAAUGUCAUGUUUCCAAAUGUGAGCUGCAUCACCCCAUUCCUACAAUUAAUGAUAGCAUUGGAGGUAGCUAGGAAAGGCCUCCCUAGGAUGAUUGGCACAUAAUUUUCUUCCUUAACAGUGGAAUCAAUGUCAAGUACCACAAAAUCCACAGGAUAGUAGAAUUUGUCCACUUGAACUAGAACAUCCUCUAUCACCCCUCUUGGGAUUUUGACCGACCUAUCAGCUAAGGAGAGGGUCAUGGUUGUGGGCUUCAAUCCUCUAAGUCCCAGUUGCUUAUACACAGAGUAUGGGAGCAAAUUCACACUUGCUCCCAAGUCUAGUAAAGCUUUUUCCACAUGUGUCCCUCCAAUGUUGACUGAUAUGGUGGGACAUCCCGGAUCUUUAUACUUAACUGGGGACUUACUAUGAAUGAUAGCACUCACUUGCUCAGUGAGGAAUGCAUUCUUUGUCACCUGUAACCCUCUCUUGACUGUGCACAAGUCCUUUAGAAACUUUGCAUAUGUGGGGACUUGCUUGAUCAUAUCAAGUAAGGGUAUAUUCACCUUCACUUGUCUCAGAACCUCAAGAAUUUCUUAUGAAUUCUUGAUUUCUUUCUUUCCAUGUAAAGCUUGAGGAAAAGGGGGAGGCAUAUGUUUUUUCAUCAUAUCCUCCUUAGUCACUAUCCUUGGUUCUUCUUCAAUGCUUGAUUUGGAUGCACUUUUCUUCCCACUCUUCUCUUCUUGGCUAUUGCUCUCUUUAAUCAAGGGUCUCUUUGACACGAGUUCUUCAUCAUGCCCCACGUUAGGCAAGGGUUGAUCAACCUCCUUCCCACUCCUCAAAGUGAUUACAGCUUUGACCUCUCUCAAAUUUGAAGACUCAUCAUCUUGGGUUUCAACUUCAUGAACACCCUUGGGAUUUUGACUUGGUUGAGAGGGAAACUUUCCCUUCUCAUUCAUUGUGUUGAGGUUGGUAAGUCUAGAGAUGGAGUACUGAAUAUUAUCUAUCUUCUGAGAUAGAUCAUUUUGCAUUCCCUCCAUUCUCUUAAUUUGAGAACUCUCAACGUUUUCAAUCUUUUGAUGCAAUUGGGAGUUGAUUGCCUUUUGUUCACCCACAAAGUCACCCAUGACUUUACUUAGGUUCACAAUGGCUUGCUCCACUGAAGAUGGUUGUUGAGGUGCUUGGGUUUGGCCUUGUGGUUGGUAUGGAGGUGGCCUUGGUUUCCAAGAAAAAUUUGGGUGGUUUCUCCAGCUUGAAUUAUAGGUGUUACCAUAGGAUGCACUGUUGUUGGGCCUAAAUUGCCCCACAACAUUAACUUGAUCACCUAACAUUUCUCUCACUGCUGGCAUGGUUGGGCACUCAUCUACCACAUGAUCACAUGAUUGGCAAAUGGUGCAAGGCAUGACAUGGACUUGGGUAUCGGAAAUGGCUUGGACUUCAUGCAUCUUUUUCAACUCAAGUUCUUCCAACCUCCUUGCUAAUGUUGCCACUUUAGCUUUCAUGUCCACGUCUUCACUCAACAUGUACAUUCCAGCCUUUGGAUUUUGGGUUUGUUGAGAGGGAAACUUUCCUUUCUCUCUUGAGUUGGGCUCAUCCCAUCCUCUUGACACCUCAGUCACAUAACUUAAAAAGUCCAUGGCUUCUUCAAGAUUCUUACUCAUAAAAUCUCCCCCACACAUGGUUUCAAGAAUUUGCUUCAUGGAAGAAGACAUUCCAUCAUAAAAAUAGCUCACUAAGAGCCAUGUAUCAAAACCAUGAUGAGGACAAGCAUUGAUGGCCUCCAUAUACCUUUCCCAACACUCAUGGAACUUCUCAUUUUCUUUUGCAGAAAAGUUUGAGAUUUGUCUCUUCAACCCAUUGGUCCUAUGGGUGGGGAAAAUUUUUUUCAAAAAUUCAGCCUGAAGAUCAACCCAAUUCCUUAUGCUCCUUGGCCUUAAAGAAUUAAGCCAUAUUUUUGCCUUGUCCUUCAAAGUAAAAGGGAAUAGCUUGAGUCUCAUCAAGUUUAUUGAAGCUCCUUCCUCUCUAAAGGUAUUACACACCUCCUCAAACUCCUUGAUGUGAGCAUAUGGAUUCUCACUCUCCAUUCCAUGGAAAUUUGGUAGGAGGGGCACAAUAUGGGGCCUUAUAACCAACUACUCAAGAGGGGGUAGGAUGCAUGAGAGUGCACUCAUCCUUGGUGGAUGCAUUCUAUCCCUCAUGGAUAGAUAUGCAUUGGGAUUACCCCCUUGACCUUGUUGAGAAUUCUGAUCCUCUGGUGGAGGGUCUAUGAUGUUUACACAGAUAUCCAACUCUGUGUCUUGAGGAUUCUCAAUCCUUACUAAUUUUCCCUCUUGGUCCCUAAUCCAAUAGGGCAUGCACAAGUUACAAUACCUGAAACAAAACAAAAACAACAAAAACAAAAGAAACCUAGAAAAAAGUUAAGGUUAGAAAAAAAAAAUGAAAAUAAACCAACAAAAAUUAAAUGAAAGGAAAAGAAGUUAAUGAAAAAGGAAUUCACCAAACUUGUGAUGAAUUCACAAGUAGCCUCUAAAAAGUUGCAUCACUGUAUUGUGGCACCGUCCCCGGCAACGGUGCCAUUUUGAUUCGUGCCCAGCCGGUUUUUUAAUCAAAAAUAUUUAUAAAUCCUAUGACCUUAUACUGGCGUAGCAAAGCUACUAUAGUAUAGCAGUUCUAGGGUCGAACUCAGGGAUGGGUUUUCACUCUAUCAGUGACAGACUCUAAAUUCGAAAUUGAUUCUGAUGAUUUCCUUUAACACAAACUUGAAGUUUAAAAGAAAAUAAAAUUGUUUUGAAAGUGGUGAUUAAAACUAAACUCACAUAGAACUAAGUAAAAAUAGAAGAAAGAAAGUCUCCCGGAGCUAAAGGUUGCUAGGUUCAAGUUCAGAAUGCAAAGUGGAAAAUUCCGGAUUUUUCUCCUCGCAUUGGGGAUUUAACCUAUAGUUAUUUCCCGAACCGGUAUAGGUUUGACAAUGAAGAUUUAAUCCAUAAAAAGUCAAUAGAGAUGGUAGUCAAGGUCCAUUAAUGGCUUAAGACACUAUGGGUUAUCACCUUGAAUCACUUUCCAAUGGCUCGUACAUGAUAACUAAUGGACUGAUAUGGAUCUAGCAAUAAGCAUCCACAGAGACCUGAAGCUUACCAUGUAUUGGCCAGUCAAAGUUAUUCUAAGGGAUUUAAAGCAAAACUUUGGAUUUAGAAGCCAUUUAUGGACUCCAACUACCUGAAUUUAAUGCACGGAAACUUUCCACCUUUUAAUCUGGACUUUACACCUAGCUUCCUUCACUCCAAGAAACUAUACGUUUAGCCUCUCAUCCUCUGGGAAAACAUCCUCAGAGGCUGUUUGGCUUCCAAGAAAAUAGAAAAUAGUAGAGAGAAAAAGAAAGCAAAAGAAAUCUCUGUAUUUCACUAAGUGUAGAAUUUACAUCAGUUGGUCUCCUGGAGAAAGCUCCCCGAGAGUGGUUUUUUUCAGUGUUUACAGGAGAAUUUAUAUAGGAAGGUAAUUUUACCCUUCCUUCGAUACUUCCUAGCUAAGGAAAUAUAUGAGUGGCUGAAUACAAGGAGAAAAUGGAAAUUUAGACACAAAAAUAUUAGAAGAAAAGAGUCGGCAAAAAUAUCCAAUUUUCGCACGUUGGAGUUCCAAUUUCGCACUUGGUUCUGAGGUGUGCGAAAUUCCCACACUUUGGACUGAGGAAUUCGCACCUUGAUUUUCAUCGUACGAAAUUGUUCCUCAGCUUGAUGCAGUUGUCUUCCGAAGGCCAUAUCUUCAUCAUUUCAGCUCCAAAUCGUACAUGGUUUGAAUCGUUGAAUUCUUGACUUUCUGAGCUUUGAAAUGGUAUAUAGAAUGUAGAAAAUGGACUUCGGGAAGUGCUCCAAAAAUGCGAAGGAAGACUGCAGCUGUGUCCCCUAUUUUCCUUACCCUGUUUUUCUUCUUCUCCAUUGUUCUUUCCUUGUAAACUUUAAACGACUAAGGCAAAGGAUUAUGAGACUCCAAAGCUUGGUUUCUUCAUAAAUUUGAGCUCUUCAAAAGCUUUGCCAUGAACUAUACAUAGCUCUCCCUCAUUCUUAAAUUGCUUUGGUGAGCAUAUAGCUAUCAAAAAGCACCAAAACUUAACACAAUUGUUAGAAACGAUUGCAAGGGUCCCUAACAUGUUAAUUAAGUUAAAUGGUAAUAAUUACUACUCAAGGGUGUUUAAAAGAGCUAAUUACAAGCUACAAAAUAGCAAGUUUUGAGUAGUAAUCACAAAGCCCAAUCAUAAGCUUCUCCAAUAGGGGCAAUGUUCCAUCCUCUAUUUUCACCUUCUUCAAUCCCAUCCAAUAAUUGAGAUUGAGCCUCUUAAGUUUUUGAAACCAUUGCAACAAAGCAUAUUUGCUCAUCGAUAGAGGUUUGGGAUAGGGAAGGCUUCUACAAGCUAGGUAAGGCUUCAAGAACUUGCAUUGGAUUACUCAUUAAUUUUGAACCAAGUAAGGCUACUUCGACUAAAUUUUGAAGUUUAGAAAUCUAGUUAAACAACUCCUCCAAACACCCAUGCAAGUAGAGAGUUGAAAGAAAUGAAGGUGGAUGAGACAUGUAUUGUAAAUCCAACUCUCAUAUUCACUCAAUGAACAAAUAGACAAAUAUUUAAGAUGCUUCAUGUUAGUAAUGGAGGAACAUAAAGACUGCCCAUUUUCUUUAGAAAUUUUUGUAAUACAAGCUUUCUUAAUUUUUGUAAUACAUAAUCCCAUGAGUUAAUGUCCACAGAAGUUAGCUUCUGCAGGUCAUCCAAAACCUCAAUACCCUCCUUUACAUGCACUCCUCUAAUAUAACCCCAACUCAAAUCAACAUAUUGCGCAACUUUUGAAGUUUAUUGAUCUCAAUAAGGUCUUCCACAAGGGAAUAUUUUAGAUCUGAAGUCUAUAGGUUUUGUAGUUUACCUAUGGACCUUCAAAGCAUCCUCACUCUUGUCUUUCUCAGGCUUAAAUACCUCAAAUGCAACAAAUUUCCCAAAUCUUCAGGAACACUAUCUAAGCUAGCACAAGUAAAAUCCAAUACUUUUAGAAGCCUAAAUUUUGAAGCCAGUGACCUUAGAAAAAACUUCUGAGAGUUGUAAAGAAAAAUGGAGCAAAAAGGACCCUUAGCAAGCCUAUAGGUUCUAAGAUCAAAAUUAUCUUAAUUUUAAUCCAUCCUCAUCCUAAAGAUGAGUUAAGCUGAUGAAUCAAAGGAUAUGAAUUUCUUUUUAAGUACUAAACUAUAUGUGUUAAUAGUGCAAGUGACCAAUCCUAAAGAUGGAAAGUGGUAGAAUCACCUAAAAUGGUCUCACUUCCAUAGUCUAAGGGCUAAAUGAAAAAUGUAUAUUAAUCUUGCCUUAGAAAUUCUCCAAUUAUAAGGCAAAAAAAUUUAUUAAAGAAGGUCUCUACCUAGUAAUAAGAUCAUGAUCUACUUAAAGUAGGUUUGAUUCUUAUGAUACUAAGAUAUCUUGCAUGGAAUAAAUUUAGUAAUUCAAGAGCACUAUAUCCUUACUAACUUAGCAAUUUAUUAAUGCAUAUCAAUUUUAUUGUUACAUGAAAUUUAUCUCACAAUCCUAUCAUUCUCAUUCUCUCAUCAAAUAAAUUAAGUGUGUCUAAUUAUGUGGACUAGAAAAUAAAUUUGGAUAUAGUACUCACAUUAAAAGAGUUAAAGUGGGUGACAUAGAAAUAUACUCAUUUUCCUUGCAAGAGGAUAGAGAAGCUCAUCAAAGGAGGCAUAAGGCGCAUGAAAAGGCUAAGUAUACCAUACUUAAGUCUUUGGAUAAUGUGUUGCAAUAGUAGCACAUGUCUUAUGCCACCACUGAUGAUAUUCUUUUUAACUUAUAAGAGAUGUUUGGUGAUAAGGGUAGGCUACCUAAACAAACUACCCUUAGGACUAUUAUGAACACUAAGAUGACAAAAGGAACUCUCAUUAGAAAUCAUAUGGUUUGUAUGAUCAAACUCUUUAAUGAGAUGAAGAUCCUUGGAGCCAAAAUUGAUGGUGAGAACAUUAUUUUAGAGACUUAUCAGAUUUCUUCAAGUAGUUUAAGCUCAACUAUGGUAUGAAUAAGAUAUUGUUAAACUAGGUAGACUUGAUGAAGGAACUCCAAAUGGUUGAGGGGGUUCUCAAAUAUUAGAGAAAGGUCUUCACAUAGUAGUUAAACGUUCUUUAAGUUCUUCUAACAAGAAGUAGAAGAACAAUAAAGAGGGUAACACCUAGGAAAGUCCAAGUCUAGGAAUGAAAAUAGUUAGGAAAGGGUAAGUGUUUCCUUUGUGGUAAGAAGGAUCACUUAGAAAAGAGUGCCCUAAAUACCUAAAGAAAAAGGAAGGUACAAAUCAUUUUCUUGUUGUUGAAUUUUGUUUAGUGGUAGUGGAUUUCACCAACUCAAGGUGGAUAGAUUCCAAGGUCACUGAUCAUGUUUAUAAUUCUUUACAAGGUUUUCAGCUAAGAAGAAGGUUUGUUAGUGUCGUAAGAUCAAUAUAUUUUUGUUAUACCUAUACAUUGGCUUCUAUAUUAAUGUAUAAUAUUGGUGCAUUAGCAUUUUAUACUUUGUGAAUUAAAAGUAUAAAUAAUUUUUAUAAUAAAACUAUUGGGGAGAAACGAUGUUGUUCUUAAGCCCGAGAUGGGUCACCCAAAUGAUAUUGGUGGUCAAAUACCAUAAAAGACUUAGCUUACCCUCAUUGGACAUUAAUUGAGUUUUAGAUGAGAUAGUCAAUGCCUAAUCCAAGAAUUAGUAUCCGACCCAAAGAUCAUGAAUUGAACCACAAGCACAUCAUGUUGGUGAAGGGGUUGUUUGGGAUUAUUGGGAUGCAAUGAUGCCUCAAAUGAUGGUAGUCCAUUGCCAUUAUAGGCUUAGUCUACCUCAUUGAACAACAAUUGAUUUGGUUUAUAAUAGAUGACACCUUAUGAAGUAGAAAAAAAAAAGUCUUUUAGGAUCAGUUUAUACUAACAAUAAAAAUAUGAAUAAUAAUGUUAACAAUAAUCAUUACAAUUGGUAUAAUAUUAAUAAAAAUAAUAUUAUUUCUACUAAUAAUAUGAAUAAUAUAACACUAAUAUUCUAACAAUAAUAUUAAGAAUGUGUUAUUAUUAAUAAUGACUAUAAUAUAAUAAUAAUAAUAAUACAAUUAGUCUUAUUGGAGUAUAUAAUGCAUUAAAGGCAAAAAAGAAAAAUAAAUAAAUAAAAGCAUGAUUUUAAUAAUAAAGCUUACAAGCCUUAAUAAUUAAAAAAAAAAAAUUGUAGUUUAUAGGAGAUGGCAUCAUAAUAAUAAAAAUAAAAAUAAAACAAUAUUAAUAUUAAUAAUAUGAAUAAUAAUGUUAGUAAUAAUCAUAAUAAUAUUAUUUUUAUUAAUAAUAUGAAUAAUAUAAUAUAUAUAUACUAAUAUCAUAAAUAUACUAUUUUAACAUUAUUAAUAUUUAAUAAUAAUAAUAUAAUUAGUCUUAAUAUAGUAUAUAAAACAUAAAAGACAAAAAAAAAAUUAGAAAAGUAAAAUUAAAUGAGAUAAGGAGGAAAAGAAAAGUAGAGAUAUUUAUAUUUGGAAUUGUGGGAUGGUCAAAUUUUAAAAAUAUUAGUUAUGGGCUUUUAAGAAAUUAAAAUUAUAGAUUUGGUGACCAUGAAAAAGACUUAUCGCCUACAGGCCAUCAAUUUUGAAUAAUUCUCCAUCUUAAUACAUAUGAUAAUUAGUUCUUAAAUGAUUCACAUAAAUUCUUAAUGAUACACACAAAGCAUUGGUUGAGCAUUAUUGUAAAACAUUCACAUCUCCCAAGAAGGAGAAACAAAGAAAUGGUUCAGACCAACAAAUGUGAACCAAAUGUGAGCUGUGGGUUUUACAAAACCUAAAUCAAUGGACACUACUAGACUUGAGUUGUAGAAACCAACAAAAAUAAAUAAAUAAAUAAAUUGCACAAAUAUUUAACUAAAAUAUAUGGAUGGAGAUUGUAAUAAGUCAUAGAAAUAAUGGGGGGAAAAUCUUGCUAUAAAUGUGUAACUAAAAUAAUUGCAAUUUUACAUUCUAGAAAAUUAGGUAAUUCAGUCUCACAUAUAUAAAAUAAUAAUAUAUGUGUGUAUAGAAAUCAAAUUUAGGUUGAACUCAAUUUUGGAUGACUUCUGCUCCCUUUUUUUUCUAUUUCCACCGAAAUUUGCCCUUUCCUUGAUCUAAAAUGAACUGAACUUAUUAGGAGUGAUAGCCCUAGAAAUACAUGUUAAAGACUUACCUCUGCUUGGAAAGAUUUCAUUAGCUAGCUCUCCAAGAAAUGGAUGUAUGGAAUAUGCUUAACAAUCUCAAAAUUUCGGCCUUGGUCGGGUAUCAUACUAAGUUUCAAUUCUUCCUGCAAAUCAAUAAAUGUAAGAGUUGUGAGCUUACUAAGGUGGCGGAUGCCAGAGGGCAGCUCCUCCAGUUGUGGGCAAAGCCCAAUCAUAAGCUCCUCCAGAAGGGGCAAUGUUCCAUCUUCUAUUUUCACCCUCUUCAGUCCUAUCAAGUCAAUGAGACGGAGCCUCUUAAGUUUCUGAAACCCUGUUGCCCCAAAACACAAUUGCUCAACGACAGAGGUUACAAAUAGGGAAAGAUCCUGCAGGCUAGGCAGGGCUUGAAAGACUUGCAUUGGAUCAUUCGCUAAGUUAGAAUGAGCUAAGCCUACUCUUACUAAAUUCGGAAGUUUAGAAAUCCACACUACAAGGAAAAUGUCAAAAGAUGACGCUUUUUAAAAGCGUCAUAUAUUAGACUAUCAUCUUUUUAAAUUGCAUACGUUGACACUUUUUAGAAGCAUCAUCUUCUUUGCACGUCAACCAUGACGCUCAUAGUAAGUGUCAUUAUUUGAAACAUUGACGCUUUAUAAGUGUCAUCAUAUGUUAAUAAUUUCAUUCAUGUCAAUAUUGACAUUCAAUGAAGCGUCAUUGUAUAGGUAGAAGCAACAUUGACACUCAAUAUAAGUGUCAUCUUAUAACUUUUUAUUUGUAGGAGCAACGUUGACACUUAAUAAAGCGUCAUUGUAUAAGUAGAAGCAACAUUGACACUAAAUAUAAGUGUCAUCUUAUAGUCUUUUUUAUUUGUAGGAGCAACAUUGACACUCAUAAUAAGUGUCAUCGUAUAGCAUUUUAUACCUUGACACUAAAAAAAAUGCCAUGUUUUUUUUACAUCAACCUUGACGCUUUUGAGAAGUGUCAUCUUCUGUUUAUUCAAGUAAAGCAUGACGCUUUAAAAAAACGUCAUCUUAUCUCAUAUAAAAUUUUAAUAGCCCAUAAAUUAAAAUGUCCUAAUUAUGCCCUGUUUUAUAAUUUUCUAUCAACAAUUAAAUUAAUAAUGAAAACUUAAUUUAAGAAUCUCCAUUGACAAAAAGUAUCAAAUAUGGUCUUCCUUUUUCACUAUUACAAUUUAUCCAUAAACAUCAUACAUAAUCAACAACUAAAACCAACAAUUUUACAGCUUCUUCUUCAACUUUGAAUUCUUCAUAACCUUCACUACAUCUAGUUUUACAUCAUUUUUCUUCCAAGUGCAAAAGGAUGGUUGUAACUCACUUUCUAGAUGCUCAAUCUGCAAAAUAAUUGAGAGGGUUACAUAUUUAUUAGUAUUAACAAAUAGUUAAGAAGCAACUUUGUAAAUGAAAUGUGUAUAUGCCAAUUUUUAAAUUUCCAAAAUAUCUUUCUUCCAUUGCAAUAAAUUUCAAAAUAUCAAAAGAACUCAACAAACUCCAAUAAUUUUAUUACACCAAAUUUCUAAAUAUUUUAGAACUCUUAUUCUAUUUUUUUUUUUAAAAACAGAAAAAAAAAAAGUUUUUAUCUCAUUGACUAUUUUGGUAUGAUUUUUAUCUUAUUUAUGAAACUUCAACCAUUAACAUCUUCUCAUUCUUCUUAUAGGUUGUACAAGACAUUAGAUGUUUUGCAUGAGAAUGAACUAAGGAAUGAAAAAAAAAAAACAAAAAAAACUAGUAGUCCGAAAAAUUAUAAAAUUGUAAAUUAACAUAUUUAUGUAAAAUUAUAAAAUUGUGUUAAAAUAUCUAUGUUCUUCUUAUUGUAUUAGUAUAUCAACAUUUAAUCAUAUGAGGAUAUCUAUUAUCUAAAUAUGGAACUUGCAUGAAAUGAUCUCUAAACAUGGAAUUGAUUCAUAAAACUUACAAUAACCACAACAUGUUACCUCAAAAUUCUUUUGAUGAUAUAUUUUGAAUUGUUUGUGGGUGUCCUUCAUCAAGAGCAGUAGUGACGUUGUUAAUAGAAUGACCUAUGCCUUUUUGUACAACCUGAAGAAUAUAUAAUAAAUAAUUUAACAACCAAUUAGUAAGAGGUGUUAUUUCCUUCCAUAGGCUUAUUUGUAAGAAGUCUUAAACUAACUUCUUAUUUUUUAUGCAAAAGAAAAUGGAAGUACAAGAUAUUAUAGACUUUAAGCCCAUUAGUAUAGUAGGAGACCUUUAUAAAUUUAGAUUAAAGAAGUUUAUAAAGCUAGUAAUCUUAAACACCAAAAAUGCUUUUGUAGAGAAUAGACAAAUUCCUAAUUCAUGCACAUGUAAUGAAACUAAAGGCUCUACGAAAAUAAGCUUGGACAUGCAGGAAUUUUUGUAGCUAUGCUAUUGUAGGAUUUCUCCAAAUCUAACUGAUAAUAAUUUGUAGAGGAAAUAUACAAAAUUUGUUACACCUACCAUGUCUACUUGGCUUCACCUCUCAAUAUGCCAACUAUACAUCAAUCAUAAUAGAGCAACCCCCAAAAUGAUCCAUAUUGGAAACACUGCCAACUAGGAGUACAAAGAUAUACAUUAACAAAUUAUCAUUGUGAAUAAAUCCAUUAUAAAAUUAACAUUAACAAAAUAUUGACUACAUCUUUAAAAGAAAAUGAAGUUGUAUUAGACUAUAAGUUAUAAGAGGUACCUUCAAACAUGAGUAAUGAUUAACUGAGUCACUAACAUAACCCAAUCUAAUCGAACUUCAUUAAUUUCCAUUUCACUAUAUGAUUUCUUCCUGCAAAACUGAAUUGGAGUGACAUAUACAAUUCACUAUGUUCAAUUGACCAAAAAAAAAAAAAUGCUAUAGUAAAAUGACCAACCAUAUGAAUUGAAUUGAGUGCAAACCUUUGAUGUUAGUUGGUUUGGAUUAGCAAUGAUUUCCUUCAUAUAUCUCACCACGUAAUACCCACAUUCCAUACUACCUGGUUGUCUUGGGCACUAUGGGAAAAGUAUCAACAAGUGCAAUAAACACUAGAAUGAUGUUCUUACUUCUUUAGCAUCUUAUUGAUGAUCAUAUUAAUAACCAUCCAUUUUCUAAUUUUGUCAUAAAUUAAGUGGUGAAGCAAUAUAUUUUAAUCUAAACAAAUAAGUACUUACAACCACUUUCACCCAAGUUGGCUCCCUCUUUGAUGUUUUCUGUUUUUCGGGUGGGUUGAUUUUCAUUGCCCUACAAAAAGAAUUAAAAAGAUGUUAUUUAGACACUAUCAAUUGUAUUAAAAUAGGAGAAAAUAUAUACUUACAUGUUAACUAUGUCCUUAAGAUCAUCACAUGGUUGACAGGCCAUUGGAUCAAGGUAAGAUGCAAUCAUUUUCUUCAUCUCCAAUGCCACUAACACCCAAUGGAAACUAAAGAAAAGAAAUGAAAAUUGUAAUAUAGUAUCCACAAAUUCAAACAUCACAAACUAACUUACAAACACCAUAUUGAUAUUUAGGAUAAAAGGUUACUCUGGGUUGUAUGGAAUAAGCAUAUAUUCAGCAUGCUUUGUAUUCUUUAGUCGAUCUGCAAUAACCCUUGACCUGUUUUCCUUGCUUCCCUCUCCCAUUCCAGCUUUUGAGACCAAUGUUGGAUUGACAAAAACAUAUCGUUCGGCCUGCUUUGCAUCAAUCAACUUUCUAUGCAAAUGCUUGAUUAUAACCCACAUGACAAGUUAUCAACAAUCAUUAUAGGUCAUUAGAAAAUAACCUUCUAUCUCAUAAUCUUGUGAAAAGUCAUUCAAAAAUUAUAAAAUCCCUUACCAGAUGUAGUAUAAAAUACAAUUGGAGGACACUUCUUUUGAUGAUAUUAUCAUUUCCAUAUCUUCUUUCAUCAUGAAGGUCUUGAAACUCUCACCAAAAACAUCAUCUGGGAAGUUUAUAGGGUGUGUUCUUGAUGUACUCAGCAUGAGGCCAACCAAUGUCUCAAAAAUUUUCAUAUCUUGUGGUUUUUCACCCUUGGAUUUGACUUCAACUUCAUUUACUUUUUGUUUCUUUGCUUUCUUAGAUGCCUUUACAAUUAAGAACCAUGGUACAAAUCAAAUUAACUAGUUUAUAUAUAUAUAUAUAUAUAUAUAUAUAUAGAAAGUCACUAUAAAGUUUGGUAAUUAAAUUUACUUACUAAGAUGGGAGUACGGAUGAUGACCAAAUCAGUUGGCCACAAAACUUGGUAACCAAUUGCAGCCCCAACAGUAGUAGUUUGUCCAGGAAUAGGAAUGGGAAGGGGUGCACUUGAAUCAUAAGGAGCAUCAACAACUACUAAAUAGUUGGGACCACAUUCAAGUAUAAUUGUUCCACCUGCCACUAUAUUUUCCUUGGUGCCUAUGGCCAGCUCACAUUUUCUAACCUACAAAACUCAAUUCACAAUAAUCACUUCAAUAUUAGUGGGUUUAUACAAAACUAACAUAAAUGCAUUAUCAUCAUCAAUCACCUUAUAGCUCCUAUUACAAUGAUAAAUGCAAUUUCAUUUACAUUCAAUUGCAACAAACUUGCAUGAUAACAUUUCAGUCCAUUGCAUAUAACUCAACCCAUAAUUUAGACAUAUCCUAUUAUAUGUUGUCACAUCAAAGAAGACCAUAUAUGUUGCCACCAACAUUUGAAGUCAAUUCAAACAACAAAAUUAAAUUAAAUUAUUUCUCGUAUUAGAGGAAACUUUGUCAUCAAAUUAGCUUAACUGAAUAAAUACCUUCUUCUGUGGUUCUAUUGCUUCUGGUGGGGUCACAUCUUCAACUUUACGGAUUGGCUUAUCCACUGCUUCUGGUAGGAGAAGUUGUUUUUGCUUCAUGUUUAAACUGCUAACAUCAGAUUGGGGAGUAACAACUCCUACUUGAGACAGUUUUACUAGCACUUCUGCCUGAAAUAUUCUUUGUUCUUCUUUAGAUGCUGCUAUGAAAUCCCUGACAGCACGAUCUGCAGCACUAUUGAAAUAUUGGCGAGGUGUGUAGUGCUUCCCUUUGGCCCUAACUCGACCACUAUACUCAGGAGUACCCAAUGCUUCCACAAGUAUAUCAUUACUUCCACUAACACUUCUACCAUUCUCUUGAGACUCUUUCAAUAGUUUGUCCUUAAAAAAUAUUAAUUAUAAAGUUAAAUUGCAAAUUUGUUAUUGUAAAUAACUUAUUAUAAAUAUAUGUAAUUAAAAUUGAAAAAUAUUCACUUACUAUUUUCUCAAUUACUGGUAUGGCCACUUCAUCAAAGGUGUCGUCCUUUUUUUCCCUUGCUUUCUUCCACAAUAUGCUUCGAUCAAUAGUUUCAGUUGAUCCACUUGCAACCAUCUUUCAAAAUAGGACAAUGUAUAAUAUAAUUAUCAUAUAACCCUAUUAUGUAUUAUGCAUAAAAUAAAUAAAAAACAAUUAAUAAGCUUACACUUACCAUCUCUUCCUCAAGACCGGCAUAUCCUUUCCUACUUAGAUGGUGAUUAUAAAUGUUUCUCUUUCUUCUUUCUUUUUGAAUUUCUCGAUAUUCCUAUAAAUUAAAAUUUUAUAAUUAAUGAAUGUGAAUAAGAGGUAUGUAAAGAGUCUUAAUUAUACCUUAAAGUUGUCAGACAAUCUAUCUUUGACAAAUAUUGUCCAAUCUUCAUCCUCAAUAAAAGUAUAUUGAAUUGGUGGUCUUUUGAGGAGCUCCGGUUGGUCUUCGAAAGGAAGAAUGUACUUCACUGUUAGCAAGUUCUUAAAGGACCGAAAGCAUUUUCCCAUUGUUAACAUACAAUUCCUCCUGCUUUUAUGAUUUAAUGAAAAAACAGUCUGCACAUUAAUACCAAACUUUAGUAAUUUCAAGAGGUUAAGAAUGAUAGACAUUUUGCAUCAAAGUGAUUUAAAUAAGAAAUGGUUACCUCAAUGCUGUCCCAUAACUUAUCCUUCAACUGUUUAGGUACAACAUGCCAAGUUUUAUAUCUUAUUGGCACCAUAGUGCGUGCUAACACGCCUAAGUAGCUUGUUAGAUGAACUGCUGAUUCUCCUAUGAAAAUGCCAUCAAGAUUGUACUUAACCGGCAACUUAACCCUCUUGCUUCUAUUUUUUAUAAUCAUAUGCUUCUGUGUCAUCCCUCUGUACUUCCUUUUUAUGGGGUUUUCUCCUUCCUUUGUCUCCAUUCUUAUAACAAAAAAAAUAAAAAAUGAUAAAGAUUAGUUAAAAUUAUAUUGCAUAUAACCUAGUCAAAGAAUAAUUGUAAAACAUAACUUUUCAAAGAAACAAAUCCAUAAUCAUUGCAUAAUGAAAUGAAAUAGAUCAUGAAUUCAAUAGAUCUUUUUAAAAUUGUUCAUCAUAUAACAAGGAUAACACUUCAUUUAAACUUUUUUUUGUCCCGCUUUGUUUAACAUUUCAUUUAUUUUAAGCAACCCAAGGGCCUUUGUAUAAGAAAGCUAAAUUUGCAGUAGGAAUUUCCUAUAAGAAUCAACAUGGAAGGAGCACGUGGUUUCAACAAGUUCAUCAAUUCCAUAAGAACUUAUGAAAGCUUUUGGACUAUCGGUUUGUGUUACAUUAAGUUUGGAAAACACAACAUGCAUAUUGAUAAUAAAAAAUUUCAUAAUUUUUUUACUCACAAACAUAACUAAUUUAGUAUCUUCCAUGCACAAUUUAGGGAAAAGGUUCUAGUAAAUAUGUUAUUGGGAGAUGUUAAAGAAUGGUCAAUAUUUUGUGCAAAAAAAUAAAGAAAUGAUAAAAAUUACCUAUUUUGUGGCUGUUGCAACCCAUUCCAUGGCCUUUAUUCAUACAUUAGCAUUAAAAUACAGCUACAUAGAGGAUUUGUUCUCAAUCCAAAUCCCCUCACAAUCGCCUCGCAUACAUGUUGCAUCUGAGUCAUCCAUUACAUCAAACGCUUCAAUUUGUGGCAAUGCCCCUAUAAAGGGAUGGUGUUCAAUCGAAUUGUCAACAAAGUCUUCACCUCCUUCCAUAUCCAAGAAACCUUUUUGAGGAGUUGACAAAACAACCGGCCAUCUUGGAUCAAGUUGGUCUUGCACAUAAAAUACUUGCUUAGCUUGGGAUGCCAAAAUGAAAGGAUCUGAUUUAUGAGCAAUUUUGCUAAAGUCAACUAAUGUAAAGCCAAGAUCAUCAACUUUUAUGCCAUUUUUAUUAUCAACCCAAUCACACUUGAAAACCGGUAUCCUAAACAUGGUAUAAUCAAGGUCCUAGAUCUCAAUAAUAAUGCCAUAGAAACAAAGCUCACCAAACACUGGAUUUUGAUCCUUUGCACUUGCGAUUUGCAUUGUUGAAGCUACAAUACUAACUCCACUAUUUUGGGUAUCUCGUAAGUCAUCUCGUUCCUUGGUAUGGUAUCGACACCCAUUAAUGACAUAUCCAUGAUAUUUAGAGACAUAAUGGCUAGGACCAUGAGCUAUCCACUUAAGGGUUUCAGAUAUAGGUUCAUUAUUACCAAUUGCAGCUUCAAUCUGUAAUUAUAAAUAAUAGUUAUUAUGUAUGUUAAACAUUAGUAAAAAGAAUACUUCACAUUUUAACACCAUUCCAAUACCUUUUUUCUCAACCAAUAAGUAAAAGUCCGCAGGUGUUCAUCCUGGAGCCACUUUUGUCUUUUUGAUUGACGAGGAUUUUUCAAUUUCAACCAUUCCAUGUGCUCUCUAUGUAAUUAUUUAUAAGAAAUUCAAAGUUAAUGUCUUAAAGUUAUUUUAAGUAUCAGACACAAAUAUUAAGUGUUAGUGGUUCUUACUCAAUAUAAGGUUGAACAAUAGUUGUAUUCUCUAAAACAUAAUGAUGUGCAUGUAACCACAAAUUGGAAUCAAUUGUCACAACUUGACCUCCUGGUAUUGGUGCCCCAACUUUUUGGUCAAUGUUUGCACUAAUAGGAAUCCCAAUCGCAUCUACAUUUGAUAAAUACUCUGUACAAAAUUCAAUAGCUUCCUCUGCAAUAUAGUAUUCAACGAUACAACCUUCGGGCCGAUUACGAUUUCGUACAUACCCUUUCAAAACUUUCAUGAAUCUUUCAAAUGGGUACAUCCACCUUAGGUAAACUGGUCAACAAAGUCUCACCUCCCUUACAAGAUGUAUAGUAAGAUGAAGCAUGAUAUCAAAUAAGGAAGGUGGAAAGUACUUCUCAAGCAAGCAUAAUGUCACCACCAAAUCAUUUUGUAACUUAUCCAAUGCAGACACAUCAACCACUUUGCUACACAGAGCAUUGAAAAAAAAACUCAAUCUGCAAAUAUCAUGCCUUACAUGCUUUGGCAAAAGGGAUCGUAAUGACAUUGGCAAUAACUAUUGCAUUAAUGUAUGAUAGUCAUGCGAUUUAAGACCAUAAAGCUUCAAGUCUUCCAUUGACACAAGGUUUCUCAUGUUAGAGCAAUAACCUUCAGGAACCUUUAAUUGUGAUAAAGUUUGGCAAAAAACCUUUUUCUCCACUUUAGAUAACGUAUAACAUGAAGGUGGGAGAUAAGUUCGAUUUGAUUCAAACCUUGGCCCCAAUUCACACCUUAAGCCCAUCUCUAGCAGGUCUAGGCGAGAAUUAAGUCCAUCUUUCGUCUUACCUGGAAUGUUGAGUAAGGUACCAAUGAUGCUUUCACAAACAUUCUUCUCUAUGUGCAUUACAUCCAAGCUAUGACGAACAUGUAGGUAUUUCCAAUACUCAAGAUCAAAGAAUAUGGACUUCUUUUUCCAACAAUUUGUAGUAUUGACAUUCAACUUGCCUCGAGAGUUUUAUUUUUUUCCCCAUGAAUUAGAAAUGACAUCAAUUUUCCUUAGGAUUUCCUCUCCACUCAAUGGUUGCGGAGGUGAGCUAAACUCUUGUUUACCAUUAAAUGCCUUCUUUUGUUUCCUAAAAGGAUGGUUGCAAGGAAGAAAUCUUCUGUGACCUGUAUAUGAGUUCUUUUUCCCAUGCUUCAAUCUGUGAGAGAAUGUAUCUUCCCCACAUAUGGGACAUGCAAAAUAUCCUUUAACUACACAACUAGAUAAGUUUCCAUAUGCAGGAAAAUCAUUGAUUGUCCAUAGUAGAACAGCUCUUAAUGUAAAGACCUCUUGCUGAUGCACAUCAUAACAUUCAACCCCUAUAUCCCACAACAUUUUUAAGUCAUCCAAUAAUGGUGCUAAAUAAACAUCAAUGUCAUUUCCAGGUUGUCGUGGACCUUAUAUUAAUAAAGAUAGCAUCAUAAACUUCCUUUUCAUGCACAACCAAGGAGGAAGGUUGUAAAUGACCACUAUAAUAGGCUAACAACUAUGUCUACUGCUCAUUGAACUAUGAGGAUUUAUACCAUCUACUGAAAUGGCAAGUCUAACGUUUCUAGGUUCUGAAGCAAAAUCAAGCCAUCUGUGAUCAACUAGCUUCCAUGAUGGGGAGUCAGAUGGAUGACGCAUUUUACCAUCAAAUUCUCUUUCUUGAGCAUACCAUAUGAGGUCUUUUGCAAUUUUUGGGGACUGAAACAAUCUUCUAAAUCUUGGAAUAGGAGGAAAAUACCACAUUACUUUUGCAGGGACUCCCUUCCUCUUUUUAGUACCUGUUCCAUCUAACUUCCACCUUGAAGUUCCACAAGUAGGACAAGAAGUUGCAUCCUUCAACUCAUUUCUAUACAAUAUGCAAUCAUUGGGACAUGCAUGUAUUUUCUCAUAUUCCAUUCCCAAUGUAUUCAAUGUUUUUUUUGCUUCAUACAUAGACAGAGGCAACUCAUUGUUUAGAGGCAACAUAUCUCCAAGAAUACUUAAAAGCUCUGAAAAGCUUUUAUCAGACCAUCCAUAUCGUGCUUUCAGGUUGUAUAAUUUGACCAAUGCAGAUAACUUUGUAAAGUUUCUACAACCAGGAUAUAAAGGUUUUUGAGCAUCUUCAAGUAAUGUUUCAAACAAUUUUGGGUCAUUCUUACGAUCAUCAUAUGCAACUUGAACCAUUUCUAUUGUACUAUCCACAUCGUUAAAUUCAACUGUAUGAUGCCAUUCUGCCCUACUAGUUGGUGGUCCACUUGGAGCAGCGUCUCCAUGCCAAUACCAUGUAUGGUAACUCUGAUCAAUUCCAUAGAAGAAUAAAUGUUCUCUAAUUUUUUGAGGAGUGUGGAAUAUCAUAUUACCACACUGAAAGCAUGGACAUUUAAUGGAGUUUUUAUAUGUGGAAUAUUGUAAUGCAAAUGCGAUAAAGCUUUCUACCCCAUCUGCAUAAUCCUUUGAUCUCCUAUCCUUUGACAUCCAAGAAUGAUCCAUUUGAUGUACAAGAGAUAAACACAACUCCUAGAUACCACCAACAACUAAAGUUAUUAAUAAAAUCCUAUUAAUAGGCUUAAAAUAUAUAAUCUACCAAAUUAAAAUUUCCCACAUUGUCACAAAACUUAGACCAAUCCAAAAAACGACAAUGUGCAAGUCAUCUAACAAUAAGCAAUAUGACAAGAAGCAUAAUUAGUAUAUUAGGUUAUUCAAUAUUAGCAUAAAAAAUGGAUCUUAGUUCAUUCAUGAUGUUUGCUUUAUUCAUGAAUAGGAAUGAAAAGCAAGAUCUAACUUUUCGUUUUCUCUUAUAUUAUUGAAUACACCAAGUUUGAAAAUUUUAAAAACACAUAACCACAUGAGACAAUGAUACCAUGAACUAAAAACAAUUAACGAAUGGAACUAAGAUUCGAAUGAAUAGAAGCAAGUGAUUUAUACAUGAUUUAGGCAUUCUAACAUCUCCAACAUCCUUAAUUAGGUGGUGGUUCCUAUCCCAUAUAGGAAUACAUAAUCCCUAUGUGUCAAUUGCCAAUAUACUUAAAUUCAUUUUAAAGAAAUUUCGACAGCAUUUCCCUAUAGUUCUCCAAGUACACAAAAUGGAUAAGGCACAAUAUGUGACCUUGUCCAAAUAUGCACCCAGAGAACAAGAAGAAAGACUACCAAAUUUUCUAAAAAUUGAAUUAAGAACAAGCAAUUAACUUCAUAGAUAUCAUGUUUUCCUAUACUGUCCAACUGGACAAUUCAAACAUCAUUUGCAGAGAAAAGAUCUUUAUCACAUGGAAGACAAAUUUAGUAGUUGUCAACUUGAAAUUGGCUUAAAUAUACCCACAUUUCACAUUUUGACAACUUAUUGUCUUAGUAUGUAAUAAGAGAAACUUUUGUCUCACAAUGAUACUUGAAUGGGAAUUCUAAGGUUUCAUGCAUGCAUAGUUGAUUAAAACUAAAACAUAAAUACUUAUUAAAAUAUUACAUCUAGUUAUGUAUUAUAAAUUAUUCAUAUCAAUUGCAAUGGUGAGAAUAGGAAAAUAUUGUUUGUAAGCAUCACAUUUUAGGCCUAAGUUCACAAACUUGGUUAAAUCCAUUAAAGGCCCACUACAUAAAGUUCAUGUUAAAAUUGUUUCAUCUCCAACCCCCAAAAUGAUUUAUCAAAGUUACUCAUUUUUUAGAGUCUUGAUUAAUUAGAUAAUCAAUAUAGAUACAUAUAAUUUGUAUUAAUAUAAUAUCAUGAUAUUUUUUUCAUUUUGUUUUUAGGCUUAGACUUGGGUAGAUUUCCCAAGUAAGGUUAAAGUAAAGCUAAGCCGCACCUUGACAUGUGUUCUACUUAUGUUGGGGGUGACCAUUCUAGUUUGUGGUCAUAAGUGGGGUGUCAAAUCUCAAUUAGUUUAUUGAAUAGAUGAACCAAACAUGAUGUUAUUAUUAAUUAGAUAACAUGUUGUGUAACCCAUUUAAAAAUGAAGUUGAAUAGCAUCUUUUGUAACAUAAGCAAUGAAGCCUAUGUCAAAUUGUGAAGCUUAAAUUAGUAGUAAAUGUUGCACUUCUCUCGGGAUGUCGGGGGUCGAGCUGCCCGGUCAGCUUGCGGGGGUUGAAGGGGGUAGUGCCCCCUAAAGAAAUUUUUUUUAUUUAAUUCGAAAGCCACAUGAUUCUGCUCAUAGGCAGCAAUUAUUGAGUUCCAUGACACUACAUCCCUUAAUAAAAAUUGUUGAAAAACUUUCUAUGCAUUCCAAGAGCCCAUAUCUCGAAAUGGCAUUUCAUCAAACAAGUUAUAGGCAGUACUUACAACUCCAUGGAAAGCAAGCUCCUUUCGGCAUGAACCAUUGUACACAAAUGGAACAACACCAUAACCAGUUCCAAAUCUUCCAGAGAACAUAAGAACCAGAGAACAAAAACAGAGGAGAGACACAACUGAGCCUAAAAACAGAGGUAUAAUAUCUUUUUAUCGGAGAUGCAAACCAAGAAAAUAACUGAUAAUAAACAAAAAUCACAACAGAUUUACAAGCAUUCACACUCAAAUCCCAGAAAUCAAUAGUGAAGAAUGUGAAUCCAUGGGAAAACGAGAACAUACGGGCUCGUACCCGACAACUCUCUCUUCUGGGUUUUUUCUUCUCCCUUCUUUUCUUUCCUCUAUUCCUCUGGUUCUUCGACCUUUUCUCCUUGCUUACCUCUUCAACCAAAGGCACCUGCCUUUGCUGCCUCUUGCCUCUCCCAACCUAUGAAUCUAAAAAAACCCUAGCUUUCUCCCAUAUCUCCAUUCAUUUCCUUUCUCUCAAUCCAGCACCCAAAUAGUCAAAUCGGUGGAACAUCCAUGAAUGCUAUCUUCUUGAUUUGGAGUAAGAACUUCAUUUUCUCAAUCGAAAUUGGCUAGAGCUUGCUUGUUCAGUUAGAGACAGAUUUGGUAAUGAAACUUGAGUGUGGGCAUCGGGUAUGGAAAAGUCUUUAUUACAUUUAUCUCUUUUUUUUUAAUUGAAAAAUGUGAGUAAUUAUAAAAUGAACAGAAAAUAACGCUUUUAAAAGCGCCAAGGUUGAGGUUCUCCUACAAUGGCACUUAAAAAAGCGUCAUUAUUUGAAAUUCAUUGUACAAUGACGCUUAAAAAAGCGCCAUUAUUUAAAAAUGUCAUUAUUUCUCCCAAUAAAGCGCCAAGAUAAUGCAAGCGUCAUUAAUACCAAUUUUUGAGAAUAAAUAAUGGCACUUUAUAUAAGCGUCAAGAAAAAAAGCGUCAUAAAUUACAUUUUUUGUAGUAGUGCCAGUCAGGUAACUUCUCCAAACGCCCCAUUAAGUAGACAGUUGAAAGAAGCAGAGGUGGAUUUGAUAUAUACUGUAAAUCCAGAAUCUCAUCUUCACUCAACGAACAAACAGACAAAUAUUUAAUGUGGACCAUGUCUGAAAUGGAGGCACAUAAACGCUGCCCAUUUCCUCUAGAAAGUUUUGUAAUACCCAGCUUCCUCAACUGCCUCAGCUUUCCCAACUCUGUUAUUAUCGGCACCCCAUAAGUUACGUCAACAGAAUCUAGUUUCUGUAAGUCUUCCAAACCCCCAAUACCCUCCUUUACAUGCACUCCUCUAACAAAAUCCACUCUCAAAUCAGCAUUAUAUGAAAAAUCAAAGCAUAGAAUAUUGCGCAGUUUUUGAAGCCUAUUGAUCUCAACAGGAAGAUCUUCCACAAAGGAAUAUUUCAAAUCCAAAGUCUGUAGGUUUUGUAGUUUACCUAUGGACCUUGGAAGCAUCUUGACUUUUGUCUUUCUCAGGCUUAAGUAUCUCAAAUGAAACAGAUUUCCCAAAUCUUCAGGAAUUCUGUCCAAAGGAGCACCACCAAGAUCCAAUACUUUCAGAAGCUUAAAUUUUGAAGCCAAUGUCUCCAGAGAAAACAUCUCAGAGUUGUAAAGAAAAAUGGAGCGGAUGUGAGACUUUUUACUGGUAAUGUCUAAAACAUUAUUUGAGCUAUUCUGAAUUGAUAGGCGCCUAAAUCUUCCAUCAAAACACGAGGCUUCUCCAGCCAUUACAGAACAAAAACUCAACUCCUCAGCCUUUUUGAGAAUAAUCUCACGCAUCAAGUCAUGAAUGUGGCAUCUUUUAAUAUUUCCAUCAAUAUAUAC